CCGCCCAGCCGCCCUCCUGCCUUGAGCCGCCCUCCUGCCUUGAGCCGCCCAGCGCCCUGUGCCCGGGCAGGUGAGGCGGCACGGGGAGGUGGCUCCGGCGGGCCCGGUGGGAGCGGGCUGGGGCGAGGGUCCGGGGUCCCCGGGGAGGGAGUUCGGGGUUCCGGGAGAGGGUCCGGGGAGGGUAUCUGGGGGUCUGGGGAGAGAGUCCGCGGACGGAGUCCUGCGAGGGGGACCGGGGCCGCCGGAGAGGCGGUCCCGGGGUCCGAGGAUCUGGGGAGACUCGGGGAGGCGGAUCGUGGUCGAAGGGGAGGAGGUCCGGGAGUCCUGGGAGGGAGUCUGGGGACAGAGUCGAGGGUCUUGGGAGAGAGCCUGGCAGGGAGGCCGGGGAGGGAGUCUGAGGGUCUGGGAAAAACUCAGGGGAGGGGGUCCGGGGGUCUGCGGAGUCUGGGGAGGGAGUUCGGGGAGGGGAAUGGGGACGCCGGGGACAGUGGCCAGGGUCUCCAGUGCAGCAUACGGGGCUUGUGGGCGGUUCCAGAGCGGCUUCGGGUGGGUCCUGACCUGUGCGUCUUGCUGGUACCCUUGUGGACCGCUCUGGGCCAGGGGCGUCCCCUUGUUCACUUGUUGGCUGCUGUCAGGUGUGGUUCCCGUGGCUCCACGGUGGACCCUGCCUUCCAGCCGCUGCUGGAGACUUUAAGCGCCUGUGCAUAUCCUCUGCCUUUUCUGGAACUUGUGCAAGGUGCCUUGUGGGUACAGGGGGCUAGGUACAUCCCAGGGAGUUCCAGGGGGCUCUGAUCUGUGCCGUCUUUGGGGACUUACCCCAGGGGCCACCUGUUAUUCUCAGAUUGGCAUCUCCUUCUCCCUUGGCCCUGGGAACUCGUACCAUUUUGUUCAGGAUGGCAGCCAGUAGCCACAUAAAGCUUUUAAAAUUGACCUUAAAGUGAAGCCACAAUGACUGGUGGCUGCUGGAUUGCAGAGUGCUGAUAGGGACACCAUGGAAAGUUCUGUAGGUUAGGGUGCUGCUCCUCACCCUGUCAGGCUCCAUUCCAGCCAUACAUGGUACCUUUUCCUUGAUUGAACCCCUUACUGUCCUUCCCUUAGGUCCCAGCCUGCAGACAGAUCCUAUCCUCUGCAGGUAUGGGCUCCUGGUCACUGGCUUAACUUCCUGCCCUGCCUCCUGGUAUUUCCCAUCUUGCUGCAUCUUUCCCAGCCCUUCUUAUUUGACCAUUGCUACCUUUCUGGUUGUUUUCUGUCUUUAGUGUCUGUGAGGCGGAGAUUGGGAUUGUUCCUUACCAUCCCUCAAUGUGGGCACAGUAGUAGGUGGAAAGAUACAAAUGAAGUUUGUUAAUAGCCUCGGGUGGUUAGACCACACUGUGAUGUGGUUCAGCCUGGUACACUGUAGGUCCUUGGUAGAGAUCCUGGGCAGCGCAUGGCGGCACACACAGGGCAGUGCAGGGUCAGGAGCCAGGCUGUGCUUACAGAUGGCUGUGGGAGGCUGGUGGAACCUAGAAGGCUUUCUGCUGGCUGGGUCUGCUCCAUCCCUCACCUCAGCUGACAUGGUCUGUGCACAUCCAGCACCCUUGGCUGCCCUGACUGCCCAGCCUCUCUUUUCUGGGCACACCUCAGGCCUGGUCCUCUGCAGGCACUGGAGUGACAACUUAGACCCGGGCAGGCAUCUAGGUGUGGGGCUCAUGGGCAGGCAGGCUUCCUCAAGUCCCUUCCAAAGCUUCUCGCUGCUGGUAGGGUAGGUCAGGAUGUGGCUUCUGCCCAGGAUUCCAGCCACAUCAUUCAGUUCUUGCUUCAUGUGUCACAGCAACUGUAGAGGUCCUUGUUUUCUGCACACUGCAUGGCUUUUCUUAUGCGUGUGGGCGUGUGUGCUGAGCUGCCACUUGGAAUGCCCUUGUACUUGCAUGUUUGUCUCAAGCACUUCCACCCUGGUUGCCUUUGUGCCCUGAGCACCCAGCCUAACAUCCAGAGCAGGGUGGGCACUGGGCAGGUUUUGAUGAAUGAGUGAGCUGUGAGAGGAGAAGGUAGGAGGAGAAGUGCAGGUAUGGAAGUUCAAGAUUUGGGAACCUCCAAGCAGGAGUUCCCAAGGGGAGAAAAGGUGCACAGACCGUGACCACAGGUGAACCUAGCCAUUCACAGCAAGACUUCAGUAUGUGGUGGUGGCCCUGGAGAGGGUCUUCCCAGGUUGUGGAGUUUAAAUCAGGCUGUGUGGCCGAGGUCUGGUUGGCAGACAGGAGGGUCAUUUUGCAGGCGUUAACAUUGAUUAUACUAUUCAUACCCACUUAGCAGUCCCCCUGGGGGAGGGCCUGCUGCCAUCCCCAUUGUAUUGAUGAAGAGUCUGGGCCAUCGGAAGAUGAACUGGCUGAAUCCCUUAACUGAAGUUCUAAGACACCGUCCACUAGACCUGGAUGUUAUGUACUGCUUCCGAGGUUGUUGGGCAUUUUAUCAUUCCAAUUUUUUUUUUUUUUUAAAUGAACAAGGUGUUCCUGUGGUUGUGGGAUUUGUUUUGGUUGUAUGAAUGGAAUUCGGCCUGUGUGGCUCAGUCCAGCUGUAAUGCAUUAUGUUCCUCAGACUCUGACUUUAGUGCAACAUCUGUAACAAUGGGCUGGUUAACAGCCGAGCGUGACCAACUUUCUGACUACUCUGUUGGCCAUCAUGCCCGAUGCCGCCUGGCUCCUGAGUAUUUGAUCGAUGUGUGGAUGGGGUACCAAGUGACCAAAAGACUAAAGGGGAGAAAGAGUGGACAGAUUGGAAGGGUGCAAGGCCAGACUCUUCUUCAGGGGUUAUUUUCAGUUGUUGCCUAUUAAUUCUGAUGUUUGGGUUUGCAGCAUCUGUAUCCUGUCCUACUGGGGUAUACUGAGGCCAGCAGGGAAGGUUUAUUAUCCCCAGAUUUUUGGUGAGAAGUUGGACUGCAGUUAUUCUCUGACUCCCUAUCUGUCACUGUGGCUCAGGACCUGUGAGACCUGGCCCUGGUGGAUAUUUGAAAUGUGUGUGGCUGGGUGGGGGGUGUCAUGGCACAGUUGACCCUGAACUUACACCAUUCUUACUCCAAUAUGCUUUGUGAAUACUGCUCAGGAGCCAUUGAGAACCUUCUAUAGGAAGAGUUGUCUUGGCCUGAGUCCUUUGGUAUAGAAGGUGUGACUUACCAAUAAGUCCAAAGUUCUGUAAGAGUUUCCUGAAGAUGGUUGAGGUGGUGCCCUUGCUGGAGGAGCUGACUUGGGCUGGGGCUUCUGAGGAGGCCUUGACUCAGGCUGCUGGGUCUGCCAUCCAGGGCUGUCCUCAGAGCCUGUUGCAGCUGUUUCUUAGGCCUUAUCCCUACUAUAGGAUUCUCCGAGUGCAGGGUGGGGUGAGGAUGACUCUGCUUGUCUUACCAGAUUGCAUUGGGUAGACUCCUUCCUGGCAUGGGUGGGCUCUAUUAGGACUUGAACCUGUUUUGUGGUCACCACAGGCAAGCAAGGAUGGUCUGCUAGGGUGGUCUCCCUACCUGGACAGGGUCAUUGGCAGGGCCCCAGCCACAGCCCUUGUGGUCAGGACCUCUAUCUGAAAAGAUGAGAGUUUUGUGUGAGGAUAGUCUCAGAUCAUUAUCUUGCAUGGGGUCAGUGGCCAGCAGGAAGGGGCUGCCUUGUAGUCUCUCCUGCUCUCACUGGGGACACUGCUGCUCACCUGACAGAGUAAGGACAUAGAGAGUUGUCAGUGAGGGGGCACAGAGAGGGCACCCACCCCGUGUGUGGAGCUGUGGGAAGAAGUGGGGGAGGGCUCUGGGUCAGACUCCACCCAGGGCCUGUGGCUGUCGCUAACAGUGUCCAGGUCUGUCUGGGCCCAGGGCUUGGCAUUGUAUGGCAGGGUUGUCGUGGUAGCAGCACCAUACCCACUUUGGUGGAUCGAUGGACUAGCUGGGGGCAGUUGAGUCCUUCUUGGGCUGGCAGCCGGGGCUGCUGGUUAUCCUGGUUGUAAGCACCAAUGACAAGGCAGGAGGCCCUGCUGGAGUCAAUCAGGGAUGUGGCAGCAGAAAAUGGGGCAGAAAAUGGCAGCAGGCUGAAGCAAGAGUCUGGGUUGUAUAGGCUUCAUUUAGGGUGGGACUGCAAGGUAGCUCCUGGGUAUGGGUGGGAUAGUAGUGUGAAUGGGGAAUUUCAGGUUCAAGUUCCUUUUUGUUCCUUUACUCUGGCCGAGGCCUGGGCUUUUAAAUGACAAAAGCAUCGAUUUUACCCCAGAUAAGACUGGUGGGGGAACUGGCCAGAGGGGAAAUGUCCUUGGACUAGUCUCCAUGUCCUUCACUGGGUCCCUGGGUUCUCAGCUAUGGGAGAGUGGCCUUCCCUGACUGGAAAUGAGUGAGCAGGGGUAGGUGGUUCUGCGGGCCCUGUGAGACCCCGGCCAGGUGUUCUGGCCCAAUAAACCUUUAUUAUUUUUUUCUGCUGGAUUGAUAGAAGAUUGUAUUGUUUUCUGCCUCUGAUUUUGUUAGCACAGAAGGACUGGGCCAGACAGACUUCAUGGAUGAGCACAGCUUUGUUCAGGGCGGAGUGACGCCUCUGAUGGACCCACUUUCUUGGUGGAAAAUGAACCACUGGCCAAAGAGGGAAUUUAGGCUUAUAUAGGUUAUACUGAGAGGUGACUCAGUUAAUGGGCUUGUCAGUUUGGGCCAGAUGGAGGGUGUGGGGUCAGUGGUCAAUAUCUGGGAAAGUUUAGGGAUAUCUCUUCCUGAGGCUUGUCUUGUCACUGGGAAAAAUUGGUGAAGGAUCAGUGUAUUGAAGGAUAUGGAGAAUAAGUUCAAGGACAUUUCCCUAAGCUUUUGUCAUUUUAAAACCCAGGCCUUGGCCAGAGUGAAUAACCCAAAAGGAACUCACUGGCACCUGACCCCCACCCAAAUGGGUCAGCUGACCCCAUACCAUAAGCCCCAGGAAAUUCCCUAUUCACACUACUGUCCUAUCCUAAUUAACCAGCCAACCCCAAUACAUUGGACCCCCUAAAGUACCCUCCUGUCUCACCCUGAACAAAGCCUGAAACCCAGACCCUUGUUUCAGCCCUCUGCCAUUUUCUGCCCAGUAGGCCAGGUGUUUGACCCGUCCUCUGCUGAAUCCUGAAUAAAGAAAACCUUGCUGAUCCACAGUCCUUCCUGAGCCCUGCUCUUGCUCCCAGUAGCUUCCAUGGGGUGGGUGACAGCAUGGCCAUCUCAGAGGCAUGGAUGCUCAGGGCCUUUUGAGAUAUCACUUGAGGGAUUUGAAGCCAGAUUUAAAGAUAGAUAGAUAGUGUAGCUAGGUAAAUUAGGUCUAAUAUUGAGUUUAAUAAAGAAAAUGGAGUCCAGUCUGAGCCUGGGAAGCCAGAACAACACCUGGGAGAUUGGAACGUUAAUGUUCCCAAGGCCCAGGUCCAUCCCAAAGAACUGUUAGUGAAGUAGCUCCCAGCAAAAUGGGGAGCCGCUAAUCAAAUCACUCCCCCAGCUCACUCCCCCCCAUUGUUUUCUACCUUCUGUCCUUCCCACCUGCAUCCCCCAUCACCUGCCAGAUAGAGGGAGACAGGCAAAAUAAAAUCAGGAAUGCAGGAAGACAAAAGAAGACCUUAGAUACGAAAGGAAGACCUUUCCUUCCCUGGAUCCCCUUCUCCCUGGGAGCUGGGGGCCUUUCUGCUGUCCUUUAAUAAAGCCUUACUUUCCACUCUACCCUGCCUCGCGUGCUUCUCUGGUGUUGUACUUCAGCCUUUGGGGAAGCAGGAGUCCUUACGGUAACAGGCCUGUCUGAUUUGGGAAGAACUCCCAAGGCAAAAAGGGACUGGGGGAGUUUAGGGAGUGCAGCCCCAGGCCCAGAGGGUCUGCCUUUCUUCACCCCCAAGGGGUGCAAGUCACUCUGCACAGUCCUCCAGAGUGCGGUCUGCUUUUCAUGGAUUGGGGUAGAACUGACCAUCGUUGGACUGUCAGUAGUUGGUACUACUGUUUACCAUCGGGUAUCUGCUGGCACCUGCUGCUGCUUUCUACAACCAGGUCGGCGGACUCCUGGGGUUGAGUAGCUUAUCCCAGGUAGGGCCAGGUCAUCACUUGAAGCCUCAGCCUACGUCCUGGGCACGUUAACCUGCUCUUGAUGGUCUAGCUCCUCUGGCCCUGUCACUCAUGGUGGGAGUCCUUGCGUGUACCGACUGCUGUGCCACCUGCCUGCCUUGUAUUCCUGUUCCUCUGCUUCUGGGAUGGCUAGGUUAGGAGAAGCUUUUCAAACUGGCAGGUGUGCUGGGAGCUGGAGACGUUGUUGGCCAUGGUGGCUAUUGUGUUGUUGAGGCCUUUGUACUGGCCUGCCUUCCCUGUCCAGGUGAUGUUCUUGAGAAUGUGGUACAGGUUUGAGGGCUUGGGGCGUCCUGGUGUGCAGGUUGGCAUUCUUGAUGGAGAGAAUGGGGCAGAACUCGGGAUUCCUUUUCCCAGGAGAUCUUGCUGUGAGGUAGGUAGAAGAAACUCAUGGUGGCUGUGGCUGGCCCCUGGCGGUGGAGGUGAUAAGUCCUUGAGUUGGGAAGCUCCAGCUCCAGGGCUGUAGGGCAGGUGCCAUACUCAGGGAAUCUGUCUGUUCAUGUCUGUUGCCUGGCCUUUCAUUGCCUGAGCCUGACCCUGGGUGUGGUCUGAGGAGUGCAGAUAGGCCUGUACCCAAGAAAUGCUGGGCUCUUAGAGUGGGAUGUGGUCUGGGGAACAUGAGGGCCAGGCGUCCCUGGGGGUCCCCAGGCAUCGAGUUCUAGUCAGGGAAUCAUGGCCACAGGGAGCACAAGGUCCUAGUCAGGGAAUCAUGGCCACAGGGAGCACAAGGAACUUGCCCUGGGCAGAGCUGGUGAGGAGGAAAAGGGGUGCAGCUCCCACCCUGUUCCACCUGACCAUCUUGGACUGCCCUCCGCCCAGAUCCACAAUCCUUUUAGGCCAUGUCUUUGGAAAGGAACAUAAUUUUAAAGCUGAAUCCCAGAACCUCUUCUCCCAACAUUAAAAAGCACACAACACAACCGCCCCUUCCUGGGCCUGGCUGCCCUUUCGGCAAAGGCUCUCAGUGGCAGUGCUAAUGAGUGGCUGGAUUCAUUUCUUGGAGUCUGGCCUCCUUCCCGUGCUUGUCACCCCCAGUGAGGGUGCUAAUGAGUGUGGCACGGGGGCAAGGCUGGGAGGAUGCUGGUUCUGUUUCUUCCUGGUACAGGAUCCAGUGAGUCUCGGUGGCAGGGGCUCCCAGCUGGUCUUCAGCCUCCAGCCUGAGCUCUUUAAUUCGCUCUUAAUGUUCUGGCUCCUCUGGCCUGGUGGUUGUCUGGCCCUGUUACUCCUGGCUGAGAGUCCUUAAGGGUGCCCUGUCCUUGCCACAUAAAGUCAGACUCUCACUUGGCAUUGCACUUUUUCCUUCCAGCCUUAGAAAUCUGUUGGACUGACUUCCCAAAGCUGCCUCCAGCCUGUCCUUGGGUGUCUGGUGGGGCUGUCCUCUACCUGGAAUGGCCCCGGCUGGUGAUCUCCCUGAGGAAGUCACCAUACUUGUUAAAGCAUGAGGAAGCCUGCCCCUGCCUGAGGGCCUGGCACCUUGACUGGCAUCUGUCUCCUCUGGGAAAGGCAAGGCAGAGAGAAGGCGCAAGGUAUCAAUAAAAUGUCUGGCCUGGCUCCUUCCGUGUGGACUCUGGGCGUUUGUUCCUGUGCUGGGUGCUGCCUGUAGGGCUGGGCAGGGUUUUUUUUUGCAUCCCCAAUAUAAGGAAGUGCACGUAGUAGGCACUCGGUAAGCACUCACUCAGGCCUGGGCACACAGCUGGAGGAGCACUGUCUUUUCAGCUUCAGCUUUUGGCCUCAGCCUCUGAGUGCCUGGGCUCUUCACCCCUCAAAAUGAUAGGGAGUGUUGAGGACCUGAUAACAGUAGGUGCUUGACGAGGGCAAUACUGCUUGCAGAGUGGUCCCCGAGGCCACACCCUUACCCCCCUUUUGCCGAAGGGAGCCUGGCUUGCAAAUCCUGCCCUGGUCUCGCCCUGUGGAGACUUGUCUCCAGGCCCGGCUUCUCUGUGCACCUUGCUGUGUGCACACAGCCCAGAUGCUGUGAAUGGAGGGGUGUCUGGCAGGGGAUGUGGCCAGGCCAUGCUGAUGGGUAGGAAGCGGUCAGUGCUGCAGUGGCCCUGAGGAAUGUCUCAUGGCUCAGAGCUUAGUGGGCUGGUGGUCCUGUUGCCACUGCUCAGAAGGAAGUGGAGUCCUUUUCUCUCUGGCCUGAGAGGUGAUGUGAUUUCCCAAGACCUUAUGUUAGGUGCAGAGGUGUGUGGUAGUGUCGGCCUGGAAUUCCAGAGACUAAUUGAGGUUAGCUUGGGCAACUUAGCAGGACCCUCUUCAAAAAUAAAAAGGGCUAGGGAUUGUUGCUCAGUGGUAGGGUGUCCCUGGGCUCAAUCUCUAGUAUUGCAAAAGAACUGAAACCCCCCAAAACAUGCAGAUAGCACUGGGAGUCAAAUCCGGUUGGGCCUUCUGGUCUACCUUGCUUUGCUCUCUGCAGGGGUCCAGGUCCUGGAUGGGAGCAUGGGGUUAGCUGCUUCUCAGGACCGUCAGGGCUCUAGUCACUUCUCUUCGAGCAGCAGCCUCUCCUGUUUACCAGAGCAACUCUGAUUUGGUCUGCUUGUCUGUGUGGUCAGGAGAUGGCUCACAUUCAUGGUCCAGGAGGGCUGCAGAGACUCUUGUAAUAGGCCUGGUGUCUUCUGAGUGCUGUUGGUAGGGUGGACUGAGAGCUGGGGACAGUGAGUGGCUGGGGCCAGAGCCGUCUGUCCCAGUGGCCUGCUGUGGGCUGCAGCCGUGUUCUGCUUCCAUUAUCCCAACAGGAUUUCUGGGUCUCUGCCCACCUGAGCCUGCUGCCUUGACACCUCACCUGUGUGUGUGGGCUGUGGAGGCUGGGGAAGGUCAGGGCCAGCAGUGUGGUCCCACUGAAGCCCAUGGGGCUGUCUUAUUUGGUGCCAGAGGCCUGAGUGUGCAGGUGAGACCAGGCAGCUGGUGGAUGUUGCUGUGAGGGGUGGCGUACAUGUGGGUGGACGGGCACAGGCCAGGUCAUGCUCACUGGCAGAUAGCCCCAGCUUUCAGUAGCCUGGAGGCAAAGGUCCAUGUCCGUUGGUAAUUUGGAAUUUGUGGCCAGAGGAGCCAAACGGCUGUACCCUCACUAGGAUGGGAAGCCCAGUGCCACCAUGCUCCCUUGACAGGAGGACUGGAAAUCGUGGGUGACUGAAUCAAGCAAUGCCCACGUGAUCCAUCUGGCCAUGUGGUGUUGUGGUUUGGACAGGCCACCCUCCUCCCUGGAUAAUCCCCCUGUGAGUCCUCUGGCACCCCCUCUGCCUCAGGAACAUUUAGACUAUGUGAGGGCUCAUGGAUCUUCUGCUGUGACCACCAGGAUGCAGGGUGGUGGAGGGGACAGAUCAGGCAAGUAUGGGUCUGCUCUUGGUUAGCUGGAACCCUGGCAGGGAGUUUGACGUUCAGGGCCAUUUUAAAAGAAAGGAAACCUUUUGUGGGCAGUUGUCGCUUCAUGCCCAGUUGUAAGGAGGCACUGCCUUCCCGAGCACCCUUGCCCAGCGUCUCCUGUAGUAGCAUCUUGGAGAACUAGCACAACAGUGUACCCAGGAGGGGUCCCUGGCUCUGUCACCAGAAGCCUCACUGGGGCGCGUGCCCUCUGGAGCCGUACCUGUUUUGUUUCCACCCACUGCUGCUUGGUGCCCAGGAGCCACUGUCCUUUCCCCACGUCUGCCACGUCGCUUCGAGUGUUGCCGGGUGGAGCCAAGCAAUGAGCCACCUCCAGAACUCACUGCUUCAUUUUCUGGAGCUGCUGCCUGGGCCGUGGUGGUUUGUAUGUUGCUGGGUCCUGUUCUGCAGCGUGGGUGGUCCACAGUUGAAAUAUGUGGCAGCCUCUUAUUUUAGUGUUUUGAAUUGUUCAGGUAAUUCAACAGUAAGAACAUGGGAAGAAGCACGCAGCGGGAAGUUCAGGUCUCCACAUCCCCACUGGUUAGGCUUGGUCUCCAUUGUGACUGUGUGGUGGCUUUCCCACACUUCCUUCCAGAGCCUCACGAUGCAGUCAGGAAAACGCUGCUGUGAAUCUUCAAGUUUCCUUCCGCCUUCCACAGGCCGUCCCCCGGUGGACUGCUGCCCCCACCUCCCACACACUCGGUCCUGCUGGGGAGAGAGUUCUUUGCAUCUGACCCAAAACUCCCUUUCCUUGUGCCGGCUCCUGUGGUCCAUGGUGUGGAUGUGCUCACACUAUGCGUCUCGCCCUCCAUGAUGGGCAUGUAGGACACGGUAGCCUUCUCUGCUCUGCUGCGCCUGUCUUGGCCCAGCACACAUGGGAGGAGCAGGUGCUGGGUCACAGGUGCGUGUCACGUAGCUCUCCAGGUGUUGAUGCUGUGCUGCACAGCCUGGCCAGUGGGUUUGCCAGGCUGGGUUCUGCGUCUUGGAGUGCACCUGCCUUUUGUUGUGAGUUGGGCAUCAUUUCAGGAGUGGAAACCAUUCAUGUUUCCCCUGUGGCCUUUCCUCCGGGGUGUGUUUGUGAAUGCUGGUGGUUGGUCUGUGCUGCAGCUUGGCCCCGGGAGGUCUGAGCUCAGCUGAUUUCCCUGCCUUGGGACACCUCCUGACCUGUUGUUUUGCCACUGCAGAAGCUUGUAAGGAGUCAGGUUGUGGGUUUUCAAGCUGAAGCUUUGGCUUUUGAGUUAUAGUUAUGGAAGGAGCUUCGAGUUUAUAAAGGAGUCUUGCAUUUUCUUCUAGUUUCUGUUGUUCCACUUUUACAGUGUCGACUGAUUUGUCUGUGUCCUGGUGUGCAGAGUGAGCUGUAGCUCUGAUUUUGACUCUUUCUGGAUGACUUCCCGGUUGUCUCCUCCAGACCACGGGUAACUCACAUCUCCUGCUGAUUCUCUCCUCCGGCAGAGUCACAUGCUGAAUUUCCAUUUCGGUUUAGGUGGGUUUCUUGCAGGCUGUUCCGUUGGCUGAUGUGCAUCCUAGCUGGUAUUGUGAUUAUUAAAGCUUUGUGCUACUUUUUUUUAAAGAGAGAGAGAGAGAGAGAGAGAGAGGUUUUUUUAAAAAUAUUUUUCAGUUUUCAGUGGACACAACAUCUUUAUUUUAUUUUUAUGUGGUGCUGAGGAUCGAACCCAGCGCCCCGUGCAUGCCAGGCGAGCACAUUACCACUUGAGCCACAUCCCCAGCCCAGCUUUGUGCUGUUUUAAUACAUCAAAGAAUUCAUUGCUUUUUAAAUUUUUUUUUUAGUUGUAAGUGGACACAAUGCUUUAUUUUUACUUAUUUAUUUUUAUGUGAUGCUGAGGAUGGAACCCAGUGCCUCACCCGCGGUAGGCGUGUGCUCUACCACUGAGCCCCAGCCCCAGCCCCCGAAUUCACUGCUUUUUUGUCAGAUUUUUUGAGCCUAUCUGGUUCAUUUAUUUUGACAUAGGAACUUUAAAUUUGCUUGUCUGUUCUUCAUGCAGGCCUUCCACUGGAAACACAGAUGCUGACACUCAUGUACACAACACACAGCACUAACCCCAAACCUGGUGGGUUUUGUCUUGGAAUUGGGUUAAACUGAUAAACUAGCGCAGGGAGAGGGUGUCCUCAUGCCAUGGAGUCUCCCUUUUCAAGCAUGCUGUAUGUCUUCUCAGUAUAGUCUCAUUUGUUCUUCAGUAGUGCUUAAAAUUCUUGUUAAAAAUACUAAUUAUUUAUUUAACUGACAAAAAAUGGCCUGUGUUCGUGGUGUGCGACCUGGGGUGUGGCGCUGCUGGGGGGUGGUGGGACUGGCGGGAUUCAGGCCUCGCCCCUCCUCUCCUCCGCAGGAGCAGGCAGCACAGCACCAUGCUGCGCGCUGGCUCUCUUGAACCUACUUGUCCCUCAGUCCUUUGUCCCUGUUGCCCUCCUCCCCAGCCGUCACCCACGCUAACAGCCCUGGGCCCUGCUUCGGAGGUGGCUUUGCGAUGCCGAGUGGGUGAGCCCCGCAGUCCUGGUUAUUCUGGUCCUGCUUGUUUCCCUUAAUGAAGGGUCUUUGAGUCUUCCCUGCUGUCACAGACCACACGACUUCCUUUCUCUCAAACCCCCCGGGGGCUUUCCUGCUCCACUCCUCAGCCGAUGGACAUUCGGGCUGCCCGUUCCUGGCUGCUGUGCACCGGGCUGCAUGACACAUUCUGACUCCGACUCUGCCACCUGCGGGGCCCCGGCGGUGUCGGGCCCCCUUUCCUGCCCCUUGGUCGGCACUUGCUCUCUUUUCUCUGAUCACGUCCUUGCUGCAGGGUGGGGUCCUAGCUCCGGGGGUCUCCCUUGCAUUUUCGGAUGGAGAGUGCGUCGUCUUUUGAGAGGCGUCUGUUGAGCUUGUUGCCAUGUCACAGUAACCUGACGUGCCUUCAUGCCGGGGUUCUUCACGAGCUUGGGCUUUCCCUCCUGUCAGAGGUGCGCUCUGCACGUCUUGUCCGCUCCGCGGGUUCUCACUGCCGUCCCCCCAUGCAGCUUCUUAGCUGGAUGUGGUCAUCUGUCUGCUUUCUCGUUUCUUGUCUGCUUCUGAGGUCCCAGCCACAGGCGGCUGCCCAGGCUGUGUCCUGAAGCAUGGCUCCCCUGUGUUUUCCUCUGGUGGCUUUGCAGCAGGUCUGCCGGUCUCAGGUCUGCCGUCCUUUUCAAGGGCACCUUCGACCUGUGCGCUCCCACCGGGAGUUCUUGGAAACUCUGUUGACAUCCCUGUCUGUAACCCGAGGCUCUGUUUCUGGGCUCUCCCUCGGUUCUUUUGGUUUCUGUGUUUCUGCUGGUACCAUGCUGUUUUGGUUAUUGUGGUUUUUGUGUGCUUUGAAUCAAAUUUUAUUUAUUCUCAGGAAUUUUGUCCUUUUGUUAUUAUUGCAAGGAGUUUCCUUUGAUUGCGUUUUCGUCUGUGUGUGUGUGCGUGUUUCUAAUUUCUGGGUGUCCCUUUGUCUAUGGCCACCCUACUGAAGUCUGUUGAUCUGGGUUGGUUAUUUGGGGUUCUCUAGGCAUCUGGUCAUGUCAGCUUCAUCCCGUGAUGGGGAGCCUUCUCCUCCCCAGCUUUACCCCCAGUUUCUUUCUCUUACCUCAUUUUGUGACCUGAGGCUUCAGCGGAGUGGUGAUUCCCAGGUUGCUCCACUGGAGAUGUCCCUGGUGUCACCUCCUAAGCAGAAGGUGACUUUGGAUUGAGGUAGGUGGUGUUUCUUAUUAUGAGAGCCCUUUUUUAAAAAAUAAAGAGUUGUUGAAUUUUGUCAGUUGCCUUUUAAAGUCAUGUUGGGAUAAUCACGCAGUCUCUCCUUGUAUGCGUGAGUAUGGUGAGUGACAGUGAUGACCUUGGUCUCCUUAAGGUGCUGCGGGAUACUCUGCUGGUGGUCAGUGUUUGUUCUUGUAUUGCUGUUGGUAAGUAAGGUUGCUCUGAAGUUUUUAUUUUUGUGUGUGACUUUUUGGUUUUGAUGUCCAUGUUAUGCUUAUUUCAUAAAAAUAAUGUAAAAUUCUUAUUUCUUUUGCCAUACUCUGGAAUGGCUCAAUAGCAUUACCUGUGAAUCUAGUGGGACGUGGGGCCUUUUUAUUUUGAGGGGGUAAGUUCUUUUAUGAUUAAAAAAAGAAAUUUCCCUUUGGAAAAGAUUCUGUUUAAAUCUUUUUUGGGGGGGAUUGGUUUUUAAGCUUACAUUUUCCUAGAAAAUUAUCACUUUCUUCCAGUUCAUCAUGUUUAUUCAUGAAAGUUUAAGUAAAAUGAUCCCCUAGGACUCCUGAUUUCUUCAGUUUCUGUGGUUAUUUCCCUCUCAUUUUCUCCCUUUUCUUGGUUGGGUUAGCUAGUAGUUCCAUUUUGUUGUGUUAAUUUUUCUUUGAAGAUUCAGUUUUUGGGGUUUUUAAAGAAUUAAUGGUCCUAUUUCUGCUGAUCUUCUUCUUUCUUUCUGGUAAUGGGGAUUGAACACAGGGAUGCUUUACUCUGAAUCACGUCCCUUGUCCUUUCUGUUUUUUACUUUGAGUCAGAGUCUUGCAAAGUUGCUGAGGCUGGCCUCACCUUGGGAACCUCUUGCCUCAGCCUCCUGAGUUGCUGGGAUCACAGAUAUAUAUCACUGUAUCCAGCUACUUUUCUACUUUUUAACUGAUUACUUUUUGUUAAUGAUUAGUCCCUCUGCUUCUCCUCAUUUUAUUCCAUCACCCUUUUUCUAAAUGCUUGGUUUGUGGUUGGUUCAUUUGUUCACUUCCUUCUAGAAAGUCUUGACCUUCAGGGUUGCUGCUGCUGUCCUGGGGGACAUCAUUUCCCUGGUGUUGUUGCUGCUCUGGGGCUCGGCAGUGAGUCUCUUUUCUUGUGGUCCAGGAGCUGUAGGAGCAAGCGCGAACAUUUGGAGUGGAGGCUUCUGACUCCUGUGUUCGUCGGCACUUUGUCGAUUCGUUGCUUGCCCUUGGGCACCGGUUCCAGCUCUGCUCUCUGCGCACAAUUGGUCCUGGGGUUUGCUCGUGGCCCGCCGUUCCAGUGCGGUGGGGGAGAAGGUGGAGUCUCUGUUCUGGCUUACAGAGUGGAUGGACAUCAAAGGCUGACCAGGCUCACAUCUCACUGUGUGACUCCAGCCUGUGGGUCUGCACUUGGCCUCGGCCCUCCUGCUCUGGUGUGGCAAAGAGCAGGGCAUCUUGCCACCUUCUUCAGGGGCUGCUGGCAGGUGGCUGCUUACCAGGCGCACAGCUGUUUGACCGUCUGUGCGCCCACUGCUCCUGCAGACGGCACUCCUGGAUCUGCCCCGCGUGGGUUCCCCUCGCCUCUCUUCCCCUUUUCACUCCUGGUUUUACGUGUCAUGUAAGCUCUGUAUUUCUUUGUGAUUCAACCUGAGAAUCUUUUUUCUUUUGCUAGUUAAACUAAUUUAUUUUUAUUGAUAGUUCGGAUGUGUUUGAUCUUAGUUCUCUUCUGCUUUGCAUGUGUGCCUGUAUUUACUUUUAAGUCUUUUAACUCGGUUUUCUAUUCUUUUUGUAUUUUUUUUUAAAGUUUAUCAGAUUUUUUUGCUAUUUGGGGGAGUCGGUGCCUUUGUCUACAUGAGAUGUUGUAGUAAUAUCUCUGGGUUGUCUUUCAGUGUCCCUCUCCCAUGGACUCUAACUCAAGACACCUGAGAGUGUGCCGUGUUCCCCCCAAAGUGUGCCGUGUUAAAUGGCAAAAUGAAGUUGCAGAUGUGCUUUUGUUUAUGAACUAUGAGGUAGACAAGUGGGCUGUCCUGGAUCACCUGGGAGGGCUCCCCAACCUGGUCCUGAACACAGAGAACUCUGUAGCAUCAGUGGGGAGAUGGGUGAGGGCCGGCAGAGUUGCAGAAGUGGGAAUGAUUUGGCCAGCCCCUGCUGGCCUCAAGAUUCAGGAGUGCAGAGGGGUCUGGAAUUGAGGCCCCGGCCCCCUGGCAUGGGCAAGGACACAGACUUCAGUCAUGCAGCCACCUGGACCUGCGUCUGCCUGAACCUCGAGGUGCUUUCCCUGCUGCAGGAGGCACAGCCCAGCCUGGAGACCCUGACCUGUAGCAACUGCCACAGAGCAGGCUCUGGAUGCUAAGUUUGGGCCAUCUGAUGUGCCAGCAGUAGGAAGCUCAUCCACUUCUCUGGGCAAUUGUACAGUUACUGUGCUUGGUGUUCUAGCUCCCAUCCCCAGCUUUAGUCACCCAUAGUCCUUUGUCUGUGUUGGCCUUUGUGCUGUGGAAUCUUCUUGUCUUCUGUUACUGGAUUGUCAGCUUUAAAUGCUGUCCUCGGCUCUGGUGCUUGCUGGCUUCCUCUCUCCCCUCUCGUCCUUGUAGCUGUCACUGCUUGGGUCAGGCUCUACCUCGGCCUGGCCUGCUGUCUCCAGAAUCCCGCCUGGCCCUGGUCAUCCAGCACUAGGUGAAUGUAUCCAGCGCCCACUGACAGCCUGUUCAGAGUGUUUUCUUGGGGGGCUGGUAGGAACUGCUGUCCCCCAGCACUGUGGGUUCAGAGGGCAGUGUGGGACAGCAUGGCUGUGGGUCAGCACUGCUGGGCUUUGACUCUUUAGCUGAUGUCACUCCCCCUUUCCUGACUUGGAAGGUUGCUUUGGAAAAACCUGAGGCCGGCUUGGUUUUUCUUCCCUGUACAAGUGAUUUGCUUUCCUUCUUUUUGCCUCACUUUUGCCCACCGUCCUAGUCUCUGUCAUUUGUGAUGCUUUUAACUGUGUUUUGAUUACGUCUUAGGAAUUCACCCAGGGGCAGGCUGCAGGAGUCUCUGUCUCCUCCUUGCUGUUGAUGGUGGACUUAAUGCACAGGAGUCCUGAUUUUGGUGAAGUCUCAUUUGUCUGCCUUUUACUUUUGUCAUUUGUUAUUGAGUGUCAUGACUAGAGACCACUGCCACUCUGUCUUGGAGUUCCCUGUUUCCCACGCGUUGCGUUCAGUUCUGGGGUGUCCUUCUUGUUCGCCUUGGUGUGGGGUUUAGGGUUGGGGUCCAGUGGUGUUCUUUUGCAUGUGGCUAGUUUACUUGGCACUACUUGUGGAAAGGACGCUCCUUUCCCUGUGAAAAGGUCUCGGCAGCUCGUCACAAUCCCUGGGCCGUAUAUGAGGGGUUGUGUCUGGCUGACUGUCCUAGUCUCUGGAUCUGCGAGUGUGUCUUUGUGCCACAGUCAGGCACACCAUUUUGAUGAUUGCAGCUUUGUACAAUGUUGAGAGCCACAGCCGAAGGGGCCCCAGCAAACUUCCAGCUGCCAGCAAACUUCCAGCUGCCGGCUGAUGAUUGGCUCACAGCGGCCCCAGCAACAUCUAGCUGAUUGGCUCCUCUGCGGUGAUGCUCAUUGGGCUGUUUCCCUGCCCUUUCAGACCACGGAGCUGCUCAUUGGGGGACUUUUUUGGCUCCGCCCACGUGACCCAGCCAAUCGGCCUCAAGAGCAGGAGGAUUGUGAGAGGUGGGGAGAAGCUUGUGUGGGAGAGAGAGGCUUGUGGGAAGCCCGUGGUGGCAGUUGAGGCUCUGAGGGUUUUUCCUGAGAGGCUGUUUUGUUUAGCGUGUGUGGUUCUAAAAAUAAAGUUAGUUUCUUUUGACAAGUGGCUCCUGAUUGUGCCCAGCCAGACUGCGGCAUUUGGUGGCCUGCACGGGGAGCGACUGAGGGUAAGUGAACUGCUCGCCCCUGAGGGCAGGGCGAGAGGAUGGGUAGCCAUUUUAAGAUUCUUCUUUUAUUUUGCUUCACUUUUGUUUUAAGUUGCCUGUCCCUGGAGAUGAGUGAGACGGAAGAAAAACCGCUCACAUCUGAGGAAAAACUAUUUACGUCUGAGGAACAGAUAGGGAGAAAGGACGGAUGCACAUGUCAGGAGGAUAGAAAGGCUAUAAUGACUUUUUGUUGUUCCCUUUUUAUUUCAUUCUGUCUCGGUUUUGUUUGGCGUCAUCUUGUUGGGUUGUAUUAUAGUAGAAAUACGGGAUCAGAAAUUAGUAAAAAACAAACUGAAAGAGUGUUAAGUAAAUUGUUAGAGGAAGGAGGCAUCUCAGUAAAAUCAAGAACAAUCAGGGCAUACGUUGAUACAAUACAAAAAUGUAGCCCAUGGCUUUUUAAGGAGGAGUUGUUAAAUAUAUCACAAUGGAACCAUCAUGGUGAAGAUUUAAAAAGAAUAGAAAAGAAAAGCCCAGGGACUCUGCCAGUUGGCACAUUGCCAUUGUGGACGUUCAUAUCUUGUUUGCUUAGUCCAAAGCCUUCAGUUCAGACAAUGGUAGAGGAAGGAGAAGACAUAAUGAUUCAAGUAAAAGAGAAGGUCUCUCAAGUUAGUCAGACAGAGGAAAAGAUUCAAGUAAAAGAGAAGGCCUCUCAAGCUAGUCAGACAGAGAAAGAAAGUGUAAAACAGAAAAAGCCAUCAGGGGGAAAGUUACAACAGGAGACUGCUACUAACACCUUUCUAUCACCAGAGGGUGUAAGUGUCCAACCAACAGCACCACCUCUACAGGAGACUGCUACUAACACCUUUCUAUCGCCAGAGGGUGUAAGUGUCCAACCAACAGCACCACCUCUACAGGAGACUGCUACUAACACCUUUNUACGCACAAAUUGCUGCAGAUGCAAUUAAGGCAUGGAAGACUUUACAAGGACAUGGAGGUUUACAAGGUCAAUUAUCUAAGGUAAUACAAGGAGCUAAUGAACCUUAUGCUGAAUUUGUAGAUAGGCUUAUUCAAACAGCUACCAGAGUUUUUGGGAAUACAGAACAAGCAAUGCCAUUACUAAAACACCUGGCUUAUGAGCAAGCGAAUCGUUGGUGCAGAGAUAUCAUUAGACCAUGGAAACAUGAAGAUUUAAACACAUAUAUUAAAUUAUGUAGAGACAUUAAUGAACAAGAGCAAGUCGUGGCAGCUGCAGUAAAACAGGCUUUAGAUGCCAGGCCAAGAACAUGCUACAAUUGUGAACAAACAGGACAUUUUAAAAGGAAUUGCCCCAUUGGAGGAGGGUUUAACAAAACUAGGUAUCAAAGGAGUAGAAUACCAGGUAUUUGCCCACGAUGCCGUAGAGGGAGACAUUGGGCUAAUGAAUGCCGUUCUCAAACCACCAUAGAGGGUACUCCAUUAUCAAAAAACGAACAAGGACCAGGUGUUUAUCCACGAUAUCGUGGAGAAAGGCAUCGGGCUCCAUUGCCAAAAAAUGGACAGGGGGGCCCAAUGCUCCGGGGCCCAAAACCACAAAUAUACGGAGCACUGGAGGAACCCAGCAACCCCAUCAGGGUAGUGCCCAGGACACAUUGUCCAUCAGAUCCCUCAUCAGACAAACCAGAGGGAGCGCAGGGUUGGACAUCUGCGCCUCCGCCAGAGCAGUACUAACUCCAGAGAUGGGAGUUCAAAUCAUUCCCACAGGGGUGAAAGGACCUCUUCCCAAAGGAACAGUAGGCUUAUUAUUGGGACGCAGCUCUUCUACUCUAAAAGGACUUAUGAUAAGUCCUGGGGUAAUUGAUCCCGAUUAUGAAGGUGAAAUAAAAAUUAUAGCCAGUUAUCCAAAGGGUAUAUCAGUAAUUUCACCAGGAGAUAGAAUAGCACAGUUACUAAUAAUACCCAGCCUACAUGAUAAAUUUUCCAGUCGUACUGUAGAAAGAGGUUCCAAGGGAUUAGGCUCCACAGGUGUAGAUUGGGCUAUGCUUUCUUUAAGUUUAGAUUCUCGCCCCAUGCUAAAACUAAAUAUUCAAGGACAUGAAUUUAAUGGGCUACUGGAUACAGGUGCAGACCUUAGCAUCAUCUCUCGUCAAGAAUGGCCAAAACAUUGGCCAUUACAACAAGCCACUCAAGUUUUGGAAUCAUGAAGAGUGUGACCUGUGACUCUAUUCUUUCUCAAGAUUGUUGUUGGCUGUUCAAGUUUAUUGUUCAUUUUGGAAUGAAUUGGUUUUUUCCUGGGUCGGCUCUUUGUGAGAGCCCCCCAGCCCCCGUCUAGGAUGGGGUGAUGGGGAUGUGAGCUGGACAGCUCUGCGAGUCCUGUGCUCUCCCUGGGGCUGCACAGAGGCAGGCUGCUUCCUGCAGACCCCUGCCGAGUCCUUCUGAUUCUGGGUGUGGCCGGUCCCCUCUCCACUGCUUGGUCUUGGUGACUUCACGGGAGGCCCACUUCCUUGCUGGUUCAGGCUGCCCAUCAUGCAGGGGGAGUGCCUUUCUGUGGGUGCUCCCUAGACCUGCUUCCCAGGCCUUGCAGCCUCGCCAUGCCCAUGCCCUUUCCCUGCCUGGCAAGGCUCUGCCUACUUGCUCACUGCCUGGGUGCCAGCCCUCACCUGAGGUAGGGGUCUGUGGAUUGCAUUUCCUGUUUUGUCUAAAUAGGAAGUUUGGCUUCUUAAACUCUUCAUUAGUUUGGGGAGCAUCCUCCUUGUUGUUUGAGUGUGAUUUCUAGAAAGAAAUAGGAAAGACAUGCCAAUAUAUAUUGCCAGGUCUGCUUGCCAUCAGGGCCCUCCCUUUGAUGACCCCCCAGAGUGUGAGCAUGCCUUCUCUGGCACUUGCAAAUGGGAGGUCUCACCCACAUCCUGUCCUCUCUGCCAGGACAGUAGAGCUGCCAACCUUGACUGACAGCACCACUCGCGGUUCCUAGGGGUUGUGGGCCAGGCCAGCAGGAGGCUCAGGGACUGCUGCUCUCAGCACCAUGGACAGUACCUGCAUGGACGCCUGCCCUGCAUCUGCAGCCUGCAUCUGUAACUGUCCUGUCCACCUGGCACCUCCUGCCUGCAGGCCUUUGGACAAGUGGCAGGAGGCACAGGGUUGCCCUGGUAUCCCAGCCACUGGUCUGGCCUGCCGCUCAGUGCCACUCAGUACCAGCUGGUGCAAAGGCAGCUGGGGAGGGGCUGAGGGCAGGAAAAGUUUUGGAGGUGAGAGGAGUUAUGGAGAGGAGAAGAGAGCCCCUAGGGCCGAGAGGAGCAGUCAUCCUUUGCAUUGAUGAAGCAGACUCAUCAGUGUCGCCCUGUGGUGGAGGAGGGGGACCCAACAGGCUUGGUUGUUGUCAGUGUGGAAGGGGACUCCAAGCCUCCAGGGGGCUGAGGCCCUGUGAGGACCUCCCAGGUACAAGGGAGGAUGUCUUGAUCCUUCCCUGGUGUGUUUAGUUUGGGGAGGUGUGUCUGUCACUGGCUCCGAGCCCCCCAGCCCAGGCAGAGUCUGCUCAAGUGUUUGCCAGUGGGUGAACUGUCAUCUGUCAUGUCUUUACACUGACCACUUCCCCAGCCUGAGGGAGACAUGUGACUCCUCAAGUUAUUUGAGAGCUUCUGAAACUCUGUGAACUCCUGGGUAUUCCAUCACUGCUCCCACCCCAUGGAGCCCUUGGGGCUCCUGGCGGAGCACCCAGAUUCUCUCCUGCUCUUGCCUCUGGCCAUGCUGUGGGCCUCCUGGGACUGCCAGGCUGGCUGCCUGUGCUGGUGGCUCCCGAGUGUGAAGCUCAGAGCUGAGUUGAAGAGCUGGCUGGCCCAGUCUGCUGAGGAGGUUCUGGCAUUGAGCCGGUGCCACUGCAGAUGGAGGGAUAUCUGCCCCACGUCUUCCAUCCUGGUCCAUCUGUCUGGUACCUGGGGGGGUGGGUCUUCCAAACCUUGUGGUGGUGAUGGAGUGCCUCUCUUGGGAGUCCUCCCCUGGACCUCUAGAGCUGCCCUGGGUAUGGUGGCUACAUGACAUCCCUUCCACUGGCUGCAAGCUCACCAGGUUGAGCUUGUGCCCAUCCUUAGUGACCUCGUGGGGAGCCAGGCUAUGAAUGCCCAGACACACUCCCGGAUUAUGUCUAUUUCAGCUUGGAGUGAUGGCUGUUCAGAGCAGGUGCCAAAGCCCGGUGGACAGGGCUAGCACAGCUUUUAGGGGAAAGAGACCUGGGUCUGGAUUCCAUCCAGGCCUUUGACCCACUGGGUAGCCUGGGGCAAGCUCUGACACCUCUGAGCCUCAUGUCUCUGGCUGGGAAGUGCUGACAGUAGAAGCUCCCUCACCGUGAGCCUGAUAGUCACAAGUGUAGAGAAUUAUUCCAUUCUCUCCUCCAGAGCUGUGCUGUGUGGUGAGGGGAGUGACUUCCCUCCAGAGCAGGAUGUGCCCAAGUGAAUCGGGGCACGCUCUGGUCUUCCCCUCGCCUUACUGUCCUCCAUCCCUGCACCCACAGCCUGCUUGGAGCCUGUGUAGAUGGGGACUCUCCUGUCUCUGCUGCUCGACUUGGGCGUCAUCCUCUUGCUCCUUUGCUUCUGCUGUCCUGGGGAGAGGGAACGUGGUGAGAUGUAGUAGCUGGGUGGUGGGCACAGCUGGGCCUGGACGCUUCCCUUCCCAGGAAGGGAGGAGGUUGGCGUAGAGGCAAUGCGUGCAGGAGGAGGGGAGACAUGCACUGUGGACAUCCUGACUGCCCUUUUGUGCUGUUAGUGAUUGCGCUUCUCCAUGGCUGAUUCUGGGCGUCAAUUUGCAAGGUGCCUGGGGGUGCCUGGCUGGCAGUCUGUCUGACGUGGAAUCCAAGUUGCUAUAACAACACUGAUUCAUGCAGUCGCAGCUCCCCUGGCUGGGACCUGCCUCUCUCUGGCUCUGAGGCAUGUACAGACACACGUGCUUGCGCGAGCACACCUACGUGGAGACCCCGAGGGCUGGCGCCGGGCAGGGCUGAGUGGGUCUGGGCACAGCCAGGCCUCCUCCACCUUGGCGCGAUGCCUCCAAGCGUGUGCCUUGGCGUGUGGGGUGUCAGGUACAGUCAGGGGAGUGGGUCGCAGCCUACUCUACGGGGGGGCAGGACUGGGCAGCUUCUGAGGGGGGUGUGGGCACGAACCAUGCUCUGUGACUCAGUGUCUCCCACGUGCAGCUUGAGCAAGGGACCCCAGAAUGCCUGCUGCUUCUGAGUCUGGUCAGGCAGGUUUUGCCUGCUCACCCACGUGGCAGGGGCCUUUCCUGGGGCCCCAGUGAGAGGGGAUGCCAGCCUCGGGCCCACCGUCCCACUGAUUGUCCCACAGGAAACUGCAGUCUGCUGUGAGCAGCUCCUGGUGCAACGGUCGCCUCCUCAUUCCAGGCUGGCCCUGGUCUCUGCUUCCUCUUUCCUCUGAGACAGGCCAGAGGUUCGUCAGUGGGGCUGGGGCUGCUCCAAGACCCCACCUGCCUCUGUCCCCAGCUCUGACUCCAGCCACCACCUGACCCUCUAAGGCAUCAAGGGACUGGCAGGUUUUUAAAGGAGGAAGCCACACUGGGUGCUGGAAGGGGUUCGUCUGGCCAUGAGCAUCCUCAGGGCUGAUGGGAGGCCCUUGAGUCAUUCAGUCCUUGCUGGGGAUUCAGUCAUUCAUCCUGGGGACCUGUGUUGAGUGGGCAGGAGCUGGUGAGAGAAGUGGGUUUGAUUUGGCCUUGGGCUGCCCGUGGCCUUCGGGGGCUGGACUGGUUCUGUGGACAUCCUCUUAGUGCCCCAGUAAUUCUGAAGACGACCUGGAGCCCUGUGGGCUGGGCCAGACCGGUGUUCCCGGCCCUGGUUGGAUUGGGUUCACAAGUCUGUAGUGCUGGGAUAUGAGGCGCAGCAGGGUCCUGUGGAAAUGCAGCUGAAGGCGAAGGGGUGUGUGCGCGCGUGUGGGUAAGGGUGGGAUGAAGAGCACUGGAAAAGCUUUAUCUCAGUUUCCAAAAAGUAGACCCUGUUGUCACAGAAAGCUCACAGCAGAGGAAGGAAGCCAGCCUUGCUUGGUGGUGAUCAUUCAGACCCUCCAGAGGUCUUUCCCGUCUUUUUUCUGCUGUGGUAUUUGAUGGAAUUGUGUCCUCACUAGGUGACUUACUUGCACCCUUGCUGUUUCACCUGAGAGUUAGGGUCAUCUGCUGGGAGGGUGGCUGGCGAGGAGAGGAUUGAGCCAGGGGUGACCAUCUGGUGGGCUGCCAAGAGAAGUGGGAUCAGCCUGGGCUGGGGGAGGUGGGGAAGAGCUUGGGGCAGUGGGUGUUUGCAGGGGUGCCCUGGGAAAGGGACACAGCCUCCUGGGGUCCUCUCUCCUACUGUUCCCAGUGCAGUUUGGCCAGCAGGAGGCUCCAUCCUGUCCAGCUCCCUAGUGCCCCUGAGAGAGUGCCAGCAGUGCCUCUCCCGCUGUGUGACCUUGUGAACCUGUGUUCUGGGCUGUCGUGUCUCCCCUGUCUGUCGCUGGCCCGAGAGCCAGGCCUGGCUUCACGGGGGAUGUUCUGUGACUUUGGGCUCCUCAGUUCUCUCUGUGCCUUAGUUUCUCACCUGUGACCUUGUGGGGGGUGGAAGUGGGUUAAUGCAUUUGAAGUGCACUGGACAGCACUUGGCACCAGGUGAGUAUGCAGCAAAGGUCUCAAAAAGUCCGUUGCUCCUCCUGCUCCUCCUCGUCAACGUUGCUGUCCUGUGACCACAGCUUCUUAGGAAUAGGUGCUGGAGGGCUCAGUUUCCGCUCUGCUGGGUGCUGUGUAGGCAGCCUGCUCAGUCUUGGGAGGGCAGGCUGGAACCUCGGGACCCUGCCUGGGGUCGAGGUACCUGGGGAGGCUCCCUUCCCAGCAGAUGGAGCUGGGAGCCCAGGAGGCCGAGCAUAGCCACUAGCCUGCCCCACGAGGGGGCACUUGGAGACUGCAGCGUCAGGAAGCCUUUUGCUUGCUUCACACUGCCCAUGGCUGGCCAGGUGCCCUCUUUUGUCUCAUAAGGUCCCUGGCCUUUGGUGCCUUCUGGCACCUCCCCAUGGGGGUAGGACUUUCAAGGGUUUUAAUCUUCAAGGGUCUCGCUCUCAUCCCUAGGGCAUAGGGACAAGUGGGCUUCCCUGUCACCUUUUGCAGAGUGCUCCUGUUGGGAGCCUUGGUGACUGUUUAGAAGCUGUGGCUCUGGUGAGCUCCCUGGGUGGUGAGCUGCGUGGGGUGAAGUCGGGUGGGGCGCUGGACACUGGGGCUGGGCCACAGGGCUGGGAGGAGGGGCUGGUUGGGGAGGGGACUGGCACCUUUUCGCCACGUUGAUGCUUCCCCAGGCUUGCUGUGUGCCACGUUCCGUCCUUGCUGCAGUGGCCCUCAGAGGCAUGGUGGCUGAGGAGUCGGAGGUUCUUGGGUGAAGCCCACUGAGCAAGGUGCCAUGGUGAGGUGGAAGGCACCUUCCUUCUACAAGGCUCUUCUUCUGCAGAGGAUGCUGCCAGCCCAGCCCGGGAGAAGCUGAUGUUAGGACCAUGGUCAGAGCGCUGCCGGGCUCUGCGAGCAUGGAUCCUGGAGCUCGACAGGCAGCCCCGGCCUUGGCUUUGGGAAGAGAAACUUGACUUACCCAGGGUCAGGAGCAGCUCACAUGUGGAUGACCAGAUGGGGCCUGCGUGGCAUCAGCUCCGGUCCUAGCUCAUGCGCUCCCCAUGGCCACCCCCAGAAGGGGGUACUUUGUUACAGAUGCAGGGAGUCAGGGGCCUUCAUUUCACCCAAGGCAACGGAGCUUGGGAGUCCAGGAUCCAGACUUCCCAGAGUGCAGGCUAUCUCUGGUGGCUUGACUUGGCAUGACCAGUCCUGGGUGCUCUAGGGCUGGUGGAGCUGACUCAGGACGGAUGGGAGCUUUUCUCCAGGUGAGGCCCCCAGUGGUGGAUCGGCCUUGUUAGCCCACUUCCUAAAUUGUGGAAAUGAACACAAUGAUCUUGAGCCAAACAGGAUGAGCUUGUUUGUCUAGGCCCGUAGGAGGGUGGCCGGGAAUGGGAACUAGAUGUGUUGGUCACUCCUGGCCAUUUGCCCUGCGGAUGCAUGCUGCCCUGGGUGGUCGCCACACUAGGGUUGGGCAUCUGGUGGCCUGUGUGCAAGGUCUGAUGAUCUGGGUCCAUCUGGGCCCUGGGACUCAGUAAGGGUCUGCCCUGGCAGAGCCUGCCCGCUCUGGCCCCCUUGUUCUAAGGAGCUGCAUCCUGUGUUCAGUUCACCUGGGAGCUCCAGCAGCUUUCUUGGUUAGGUGAUGACGCUCAUUCGGUUUUUCAUCUUUGCAGACAGUGACGGGUGUGCCUGGCAGAGACUCAGAGAGCCUCAGUGGUGGCAUCUGAGGUGCCUCUUGGGUGCAGGGUCCUGAGUGUGGGACCACAUGCAGAGCACCCACCAGCAGUCUGGUGGAGGCGAGACCAAUCCUCCCAGCCUGCCUGCAGCCGCGGCCACUUGGGGCAUGUGUCACAGCUUGAGACCUGGUUCACUUACCAAGUGUACACUUCAGUGGCUCUUGGGUGCUGAAACGGUGCUUGGCCACCACCACCUUCUGGUUCCAGAACUCUUCCAGCUCCUAAAGAGCCCAUGCCCACCGGCAGGCACUCCUGUUCCCAACUCUGCUCUGCCCAGCAACUCAGCCUCCUUUCUGGCUUUAGGGAUUUUGCUGGUUCUGAACUUCUCCCUUUGGAAGGAGUCUGACAAUGUGGUCCUCCAUGACUGGCUUCUCACACUGAGCUCCACGUGUCAGGGUCUGUGCCUGUCAUCGCGCCUCUCCGAACCUCGUGGUGGGUGUGGCAGGCACCUCCUGCCAGGCUUCUUUCUACCCAUGGCAGGUUUGCUGUGCACACAGUGAAACCCAGAUGCCGAGGGCUCAGCGAUUUGAGUUUCCACAUCUGUCUCGUGGUGUAACGUCCCCAAGUAGCCACCUAGUGCCCCGAGCCCCAGAGUAGCCCUCAUGUCCUACCCCUUCCCCGUUCUGUUUAUCUUGCAGGGUUUGGCCUGUCCUAGAAUUUCCCGCAGCUCGAGUCAUGCAGGAGUGCGUUGAUGCACGCCAUUCACACCCGUGACUCUACCACGCGUCCCUGGGCUCUUGGCUCUGCUCUCUGUUCUGAUGCUGUGCAGCGUGCGACCCUGAGUGUGGUUGUGCGGCGCACGUUGCCUUUGCGCUGGGCUGUGUGCUGCGCAGACGGGCCACCGUCCAUACUCCUGCACACAUUCUGGGUGGGUGACAGGCUGCUCUGACCAUGGGUGCAGGGCUCUUGGGGACGUGUGUUUUCUGCUCUCCUGGGGCAGGGUGGCUGCGCCAGGGCACUUGUCUCUUUAUCAGAACUGUCAGAUGGCGCUGACUGGCGGCCCCAUUGUGUACCCACAGUUAGGACAUGAGCACCUUGCAGCCCUUGUAGCCCAGCUGAGUGUGCAGCUGUGGGCUUACUGUCACUCCAGUGGUGUCCUGGGCCUGGACGUGAGCUGGGCGUGCUGCCUGGGCACCUGUGGCAGUGCGAAGUCGCCCUUGGUGUGUGUGGUGUGCACUGAUGCGCCGUUGUCGACUCCAGGUGGUUGUAGCCCAUUCUUGUUUUGUGAUGCUUCAGGCUUCUGGUGGCUUCUUCUGGAUUCCUUGUGUGAAGUCCUAGGAUGUGGGAACUGUGGUGGCCCCAUGUGCCCAGAGGCUUUCGUGGUGCUGCCUCUUCCUCUCUGUGCCCUGACUGGGUGGGCCACUGUGUGUCCUGGGGGGCGGGUUGCUGCCCCCCGGUCCCUGUGCUGGGGGUUGUCCCCUGCCAUCUGUCUUUCUUGCUUUAGUUUGUGACAUGUUUGAAUUUUUUUUUUUUAGACUAAAUCUCAGCAGUGCCUUAUAUAUUCAGGAUGUAACCUUCAUCAUUUUGUUGGAAACAUGUUUUCACUUUUGUCAUUUGCCGUUUAAUUUUGCUUAUAUUGCAUUUUGAUUGACGAAUCUUUGAAAAUGUGCUGCCAAGUCUACUUUCCCCGGUGUGCGUGUUUGCGUGCGCACGUGCUUAGCAGUACUUUGGUAUUGGUGGAUGUUUUGUGUUUGUUUUAAAACUAUUUGACCCUUCCGUCCAUCUGGAAUUUGUCUUGGUGUUGAGUGUCAGAUGAGGAGCUGGCUGGCCUUUUCCUAGUUCACUGGUUUGUCUGUGUGUCAGAUGAGGGGAUAAUGGAGGAGGUCUCUGAGGGAGAGACUGCGGGUGCUGGCCCUUCCCCCGUGGUGGACAGGCUCUGAGGUGGUGGGGAAAAUCGUCUCCCUGCAGCGCAGGGAGGGGAGGAGGGACGGCAGGGCGCCGGGCACCAGGCACCAGGUGUGUGUGGUUCUGUGCUCUGCCAGGAGCAGCCCUCUGCUUCCUAGAUGGCUCUGAGCCCAGGUCCUCAUUUUGGCCCUCCCACCAUCCAGGACCUGGUGGAUCUGCCUGCUGUGUGUCCAGCUGGGAAUAGACCUUUCUGUGGGUGUCCAGAGGUGGGUGCAGUGGGCCCGCCUUCGCACCCAGGGCCUGUGCUCCCACCAGGCUUGUUGCCUCAUGCCAGGCCCUGGAGUCCUGUGUUUGGGUGAGCCCCUUGGCUACCUGCUGCUGUUGCCCUAACCUUCUCCCGGGCGCAGGACCUGUUGUAGUCCAUGUGAGCUUUUGUAACUGGGUGGCUUAUACCUGCAGGCGUUUAUUUCUUUGGGUUCCGGAGGCUGAGUGCCUGGGGUCGGGGCCUGCAGAAUGGGGUCUGGUGAGUGGCUGCCCUGGGCUGCACAUGGCGCCUUCUUGCUGUGUCCUUCCAUGGCAGAAGCAGAGAAGCAGGCUCUCCUGGGACUCUCCCAGGGGUGCUCCUCCCACCAAAAGGGCACCUCCUGAGGCCCUGCCUCCACAUCCUGUCACCCUAGGGGUUAGGUUUUCACACAUGAGUUUGGGGACACAUAUUCAGACCACAGCAGAGCCCAGCAGGCUCCCAGGCUCCCUCUGGGGGGGAACACAGGGGCCUGAGUCUGCCGUGUGAGGCCUGCUGGGCCUGCCUGCCUUUCUCCUCCAGUGACUGCAUUAGCAACCGGCUGCUCCCGUUCUUGAGUGUGUGGACAGGCUGAAAGAGAUGGGGCCUUUCUCGAGGUCCUGCACUGGCCAAGACAGAGUAGGGGUCAGACUCGCUGUCUCUGUAGCCCAGUUCUCCCUGGCUGCUGGGCUUGGCACUGCACACGUGUGUAACAGCUUCUGUGAGCUGUCUGCCUGCGCAGCAGACUGUGCUCCCAGCCCGGAGGGUGGCUGCACUGGCGGCCAUGCCUCUUCUCCUCCCCGCCCUCUCCAUCUUGGGCUGUCCCCCAUCGUUAGCCUCCUGCCUCAGCAGAUCCCCAUCAGUCACAGCCUGGCCUGGGCUGGGCGUGAGGGACCUGUGGUGGUGGGAGGAAGCUGGCUGUUGCUCUGAGGAAGCCCUGUCUUCUGGGUCUCUGCUGUCACCACCAGGGGUCUUGGCGUGUAGGCUGGCCAGGUGGCCCAGUGUUGGUAGGGUCAGGUGUGCUUUGAGCUUUUCGUGGAAUGGCUUGAUCUGCUAAUUUAAGGGUUGGGCUUCAAGAGACCAUGCUGGUGCACUGUCAUGGAACCGGGCGGUGCCCAGAGGCUGCCCAGUGGCUGAGCCCUUGGGUCAGUUGCUGCAGGCGCACCAGGCAGAUGUCUGCAGGGUCAAUGCAGCUGAUCCUGGCCCAGGGCCUGUCCUGCCAGGGCUCACUCUUCCUCUGCCAGCCUGGCCCUCCUCUUCUAAGGGCCACAUUCUCUCUGCCCUUCCCAUGUGAUUGUGUGUUCUUCCUCUCCUUCCCUGGGCAUUGGCCACAAGGAUGCCCUGGUGGGAGGGCUACCUUGUAUUGGUGGCCAUGAGGCGUGGCCUUCCUAAAUUUAGGCGUCUUCUUUUUAGCCAGCCUGUGGCCUCCCUGGGGAAAGGGGACAGGAGCUACUGGUGUUUGGGUACGGGCCUGGCCUUGUGUCCCAUGGAUAUUGUCGCAUGUGUAUUAUUCUAGCAGCAGCAGUCUGUGUGUGUGUGUGUGUGUGCCCACAUGUACUGCGUGAGGGGUGGAGGCCUUUGGGGCACCUCCCCGAGGCACUGGUGCUUGGAGUCUUGCUCCCCUUCCUUCCUUCCCAGGGCCAGCCUGGAGGGGUGCAGCUGUUGUCUUGGAUCCUAGAAGUCGUCGAGUUACUGCUCUGUUCCUGACUGUGGCCAGGUCAGCUCCCGCCACAGCCCAGGCCUUCACCUUUGAUCUCUGGCCUCACAGGUGGCUGGAGUUCUGGGCAAGGUUUUGGUGCCAGGUCCCCUCCUUGACCUGACAUGCUUUCUCCCACCCAGCCUGCAGCCUGAUCCUGCACGGUCUGUGGGAGAUGCCUGCUGGUGGUCAUCCUAGAGAGUAGGGCCAGUGUUGCUCUGCUGAUGGGUGGUGGUCACAGGGAGAGAGCUAUACCUGGCUCCUGCUCUCAGGCCCCACCAGACCUGCCCUGGCUCUGGCCAUGAGCUGGGCAUGGGACCAGGCCUCUGUUGAGCCCAUAGGCGGGGCCCUCCCUGGAGGACAGCAGCAAGCCCUUCCUAGUUCUACCCAGGGGUUUAGUGCCUGCGUCCUGGUUUCUGGGUCAGGUGGGGGUGGGCCCGGGGAGUACAGCUUGUCAUGACCAUCGUAUUGCCUCCCUCCUAGGUGGAUGUUUUCCCAGCCACAAGGCUGGGUGAGGUCCUGCUGGGCCAGGCCGUGGCCUCACAGGGCCUGUAGGACCACCCCAGCUGGGCUUUGAAGCUGGCUGGGCCUGAGCCAGCUCCCAUGGCCCUGGCCCAGGUCUAUAUCCUGCGGCCCCUUCAAAGACCAGAUGGUCUGCUUCCCAAGGGAGCUGUGCCCAGCUCUAGGCUAGGGUCUCGUGCUUUCUUCCAGACCUGGACCUUCCUGCCCCUUCGCCUUCCUGAGGGAGAAGACCCUGUCCUGGGAGAGAGUGAUGGGGGCAGGGUGGGAAGCAGCCUGUGGAGCAGCAGAGAGGAAGGUCUCAGCACCGGAGAGGCCCAGGGGACUUGUGGAGUCCUGCACAGCAGUCUUGGGCUCUGGCAGGAGCCACCUGAGCACCCGAUGUCAGGGAGUGCAGCGUGGCUCACUGCCCCCUCCAGCUGCCCUGGGGGACUGCUGAGGAGGCUUGGCCUGGAGGAGGGGGCUGAGGUGCAGGAAGGCGGGAAGUGCCAGAGGCCACACGGCCAGGCCAGGAUGUGGCUCUCAGGAGCAGCAGCCCCUGGAUCCCCACCUCUCAUGGGAAAGAGGGCUAGGAGGUCGGAGAGCACUCCCUUCCCUGGGACCUGCAGCCUUCUGAUUGCUGGGUCCCACUCUUCCCCUCUCGCACCGCCCCUGCUGGCUGUUACAUCACCUGUCUCCAGGCCUCCUGCAGGGCUGGCGCUGAACACUGUCAUCCGCAGGUGUCCAUGGUGCCCCAGCCCUCCCCGUCCCCCUCCCGUCACUGUUCUCUUCCUCCUUCAACAAGUCCUCUGGAGGAGCCCCGGGCUCUGGGACUGUUGACUGAACCCUGCAGCGGAGGCCACAGCGAGGGGCUGGCUGUCUCUUGCCGCCUCCUGCCCAGCUCUCCAGCAACUGUGUGGUGGAGGCCUUGGUGUGUCCUCUGUGCUUCAGUCUGGACCUCUCUUCUGAGCCCUAGCCCUGAACCCUGUUGCUCUCGUCGGGUGGCUGGCCCAUAGCUUGAACUCAGCUCUGCUCUUGAGUUUCCGAGCCCUCCUCCCACAGCCUUCCCCAUCUGGGUGAGUCACCCGGACCACGGUCCCAUUCUUCUGCUUGCUUAGGCCAGGGGUCGACAUGCUUGUCCCUGCAAGGGCCAGACUCUAGCAUCUGGGGUUCCCAGGCCUCCCCUGACUCUGGCUGUGGGGUGCUGAGGAGAUGGCACUCGGCAGUGCUACGUGAGUGGGCCUGGCCCUGCUCCACUCAGACCUCAGCCCCAUGCGCCUGCCCUUGGCUCGGGGCCUCUGGGGACCACAUGGGCCUUGCCCGUGCAGCUCCAGACGGCAGCUGUGUCCACCCAGGUGCCCCACAGGGAAGCGGCUUUCCUAGCACCCACCUGGUGCCUUCGUGCCCCUCAGAUGGUGCUGCCAGUGAGUGUCUGUCUUCACCAGUAAGUGCUGCCUGAUCUUCCUGUGAUGCCAGGUCUGUUGACACGGGACAGACACAUAGUGCCACUCGCUGCAGUGUCCAGUGAGCUCCAGGAGAGUUCCAGUCACGAUUGGAGCAUUGUGCCUUUCUCCUGCCUGAUGGUCUGUCCCUGAUCCUACCCCUCAGGCGGCAGCCUGAUGUGACUUGUGCUCUGUAGGCCCUGCGUUGACGCGCUGUGUGGGGUUCGUGUCCUCUCCCCUCGAGGUCUGUAGGAGCGCCCUGUCGCCCUGGGAGGCUUCUUGGGGGAGGUCAGCUGCCUGUUGAGUGUCUGCGAGAUGAUAUUGGUUUGUGUCUUGUGUGGAGUCCUUGACUUCAUCAGAGUUGCUGGACUUUUGGGCGGGACUGUGAGUUACAGAAUAGUGACUCUUGGUGACAUUCCCUCACUCUCCUUUCAAUGCCGGGAGGGUCUUCAUGGCAGUGAUGUCCCUGUGUGGGGUGAGAGGCAGUGGUGCCCACUCAGGAUGGAGUUUGUGUGCGGCUCCUCUGGCUUUCCCAGCGCUGCUGUCUGGAGGUGCAGGGUCAGUGCUGGUCUCCCGCCCGACUUCACCCUGCUGGGGUGGGGGUGGGGGCGUGAAUUCUGGCCGGUGCCCUCUCACGCCCCCUUGAGGAGGCCAUGGUGUGUCAGCUGUAAUUCUUCUCUUCAUUCUUGGUGUCUGUGUCUUUUCCCUGCCAGGUUCCAGGGUUUUAGUUUUUCCUUUCCAGCAGGUUAAUGAUAUUCUCUUUUUCCUUUCUGUUUGGCUUGGCAUUUGUCGAUGCGGUGUCCUCCGGGCUCGGGCCUGUGGUGUGCUGCUCUCAGUCUGCCCAGGCUGUCGCCACAGUGCCGCAGACCGUGCUCCUGGCUGGGAGGCCCGGGCCAAGGGGACAGCUGGUUUGGUGUUUGCAGCAUCCCGUUUCCUGGCUCAUAGACAGUACCCUCCUGCUGUGUCCUCCACUGGGAGGCCGAGGAGCCCCUGGGGGCCUCUCUCCCCUUCACGAGAGCUUUGCCUUGUGACCUGGUCACCUCCCAGAGGCCCCUCCCUCUGCUCAGUACCAUUGCCUUGGGGGUGAAGACUUGGCACACAACUUUUGGGGGCACACGUUAAGCCUGCAGCAGAGUCCCUCGAGGAGCAGCUAUGGAGAGCUCUUUGCUGUCCUCUUGGAUGCCUCCUUGCCCUGUCUCUUCUCCUCACCUUCCGGGGCUCCAGUACGCAACAUUGGGCAUCCAUGGUGUCUAGGAGCUCCUAGGGGCUGGCUUUCCCUUUCCCGUUCACUCCCUUCUUGAUGCAUCGGUCUGGGGAUUUCUGGCCGUGGCUCUUCUGCUCACUGCACCCUGGCUGCAGGGACCCUGCUGACAAGUACCUUGAACAUGCGCUUCACUUCUGUCGCCAUGUGUAUGACUGCCAGCGUUUCCAUUUGGCACUCUGGUAGUUUCCACUUCCUGCAUGUGGGCCAUCCUUUCCACGGGCUUUGAUGUCGCAGUCAUGGUCACUGUGAAUUCCCUGGGAGUUCUGACGUUGAGGUCUGCUUCUGCUGACUCUUGGGUACUUCUCCUUGUGCUCCUGUGUGUCUCCUGUUUUGGGUUGGUUCAACUGAUUUUGACUUCAUGUGUGGGGUGUCAGGUGAGGUACCUAACAUUAUGCUCAGCAAUGGUGUGCCCUGUUUUCUGGGCCCCUUCACGGGGUGGUUCCGCUGGCCGGAUGUGGCUGGCUUUGGGCUUUGCUGCAGCCUCACCUUCCUCUGGAGUUACCUUAGGUGGGGUGGGAUGGGCCUGUGUUCGCUCCCCAACGGCACAUGCAGGGGCAGCCUCUCUCCAUCCCUGCCCCGUGUGGGGAACUGGGUGGCCUGGUGUGGGUGCUCAGUGGCCUGGCGCAGCCUUGGUCUUGGGCAGGUGUGGUCUUGUGCCUAGGGCUUUCUCAGUGGCCCUGUGCUCUUCCUUUGCCUUGACUCCCUUACUCAUCCUGCAUGGGAGCAUCUCCUGCCCCUUCCUGGUGGGCCUGGAAGGGCCGCCUCCUGCAUUUCCAGGGAUGGAGGGUGAUUUCUUUAUUCUCUAGAAUUUGUGGGUGCCUUGUUUGCCCUGGAGCUAUGGGUCAGCAGCUGCUGUCCUCGACCCCCCAGUGUUUAUCAGGGGAGAGGGCAUUCCUACAGGGCUGCUGGGCUUCCACUUUUCUUGCCCCUGCACCCUGACAUACUGCCUGGCCUGCUCCAGGCUUCCUGGUUAGCACCUGGGUCCAGAGAGGAGGUUUCCGCCCUUGGGAGAGUGCUUACCUGCUUGCGUGCCCCACGGCCCUGCCAUUUCUGGGCUGCCUGCCCUUGGGCUCUGUCUUGUCUCCCCUGUCUGUAGGUAUCAACUGACUGUUGCCCUGAGACUUCAGCUCUGAUGAGUCCAAGAAAAUGAUGAGUUUGUAGUUUUGUAGUCUUUUCUUCUGUUGUUUCAGGGCAGCUCCCUUGGAGCUUCCUGCAGGGCAGGUGGCGGCAGGGCUGUAACUGUGGGAGCUGCGUUUUCUUGUUUGAAGCAAGUUUGAACUCUUCUCAUUGUUUAAGCCCCGGUUUUACACUCUGUGAGUGAGAAUUUUGUGUCUUUUGCCCAUUUUCCUUGCAGUUUUUUGAGCUCUUUACGUGCAGCCAUGUUUUCUUACUGCUUGGCUCACAGCGUUUCGCCAGGAAUCUGGGUUCGCUUCUGUUGCGGCACGUCUUAUUCCUGGUUCUCAUGCUUCUUGCUGCUGUCUCUUUGGUGGCACUGGCUAGCCCACCAGAAGGGUGCUGAGAGGUACUAGAUGUGGUGGCUUCUCCAUCUCCUGAUCCUUGUGAAUGGCUCCGGGUGUUUUCCUACUGAAUGAGGCACCCACUCAGGACGAAUGGUAUUUCCUUCAUCAGGCAGGAGUGUUGAGUUUCGUGGAUGUGGUUGGUAGCACCCAUGGAGACCCUCAUGAGGUUUUCCUGCAGGUUCAUUGCUAAGGUGUGUUACAGUGAUGGGCAUCCUCGUGCUGAACCAGCCUUGCGUUCCUGGGAAAACUGGCAGGUGGGACUUUGACUCUUAUUUCUUAGUGUUUUAUUUAGUAUUUUUGAAUUGCUCUUUAUGACAUUGGCUUACAGUCUGCCCGCCCCCCCACUUUCUUUCUUGAACUGUUCUGUACCAGCUUUUGGAAUCAAUGUGUCAAUGUUAGGCACAUGUCUUACUGGUAUCAUAAAAAAGGAUAGGGAACUUUCCUUUUGUUGUCAGUGGACAGACUUGGCCAAAUUCUUCUGCAAAACCUUCAGGUCCUGUGGCUCUUUAGUUGGGACAGAUUUGAUAACUUGUGUUUUUUCUGUUGGAACAGUGGGCCACUUUUGGCCGACUUCUCUGACCUGUGACAGUGCCACUCACAGUCCCCUUGGAGAGAGGCCCUGUGCAGACCAGAGCCUCUGGUCCUCAGCGCUUUCUCUCGGUGGUCACUCCUCCCGUAUAGCUUGGUGUGUUGUGUAGUUGUGUUGCUCCUUUUUUUCUUGGUUAAGUUGGUUCUGGGUUGUUUUUUUGUUAGUAGCUUUUUAGAAAAUAGCAUUUUGAUUUAUUAAUUAGGUUGAUUAUUUUCCAUUUUCUACUUCAUUGGUUUUUGCUUUUAUUUGUAUUAUUUCCUUCCUUGUGGCUGUUUUGAAUUAUUAUCAUUUUUUUCUAAUCUUUUGAGCUCAGAAUUUAGUGAAUUUGUUUUUCUUUUUUCAUAGAAAUAUUUAGAGUUACAAAUUCACUCUGAUUCCUGCNUGGAGGAGCCCCGGGCUCUGGGACUGUUGACUGAACCCUGCAGCGGAGGCCACAGCGAGGGGCUGGCUGUCUCUUGCCGCCUCCUGCCCAGCUCUCCAGCAACUGUGUGGCGGAGGCCUUGGUGUGUCCUCUGUGCUUCAGUCUGGACCUCUCUUCUGAGCCCUAGCCCUGAACCCUGUUGCUCUCGUCGGGUGGCUGGACCAUAGCUUGAACUCAGCUCUGCUCUUGAGUUUCCGAGCCCUCCUCCCACAGCCUUCCCCAUCUGGGUGAGUCACCCGGACCACGGUCCCAUUCUUCUGCUUGCUUAGGCCAGGGGUCGACAUGCUUGUCCCUGCAAGGGCCAGACUCUAGCAUCUGGGGUUCCCAGGCCUCCCCUGACUCUGGCUGUGGGGUGCUGAGGAGAUGGCACUCGGCAGUGCUACGUGAGUGGGCCUGGCCCUGCUCCACUCAGACCUCAGCCCCAUGCGCCUGCCCUUGGCUCGGGGCCUCUGGGGACCACAUGGGCCUUGCCCGUGCAGCUCCAGACGGCAGCUGUGUCCACCCAGGUGCCCCACAGGGAAGCGGCUUUCCUAGCACCCACCUGGUGCCUUCGUGCCCCUCAGAUGGUGCUGCCAGUGAGUGUCUGUCUUCACCAGUAAGUGCUGCCUGAUCUUCCUGUGAUGCCAGGUCUGUUGACACGGGACAGACACAUAGUGCCACUCGCUGCAGUGUCCAGUGAGCUCCAGGAGAGUUCCAGUCACGAUUGGAGCAUUGUGCCUUUCUCCUGCCUGAUGGUCUGUCCCUGAUCCUACCCCUCAGGCGGCAGCCUGAUGUGACUUGUGCUCUGUAGGCCCUGCAUUGACGCGCUGCAUUGCUCGAGGUCUGUAGGAGCGCCCUGUCGCCCUGGGAGGCUUCUUGGGGGAGGUCAGCUGCCUGUUGAGUGUCUGCGAGAUGAUAUUGGUUUGUGUCUUGUGUGGAGUCCUUGACUUCAUCAGAGUUGCUGGACUUUUGGGCGGGACUGUGAGUUACAGAAUAGUGACUCUUGGUGACAUUCCCUCACUCUCCUUUCAAUGCCGGGAGGGUCUUCAUGGCAGUGAUGUCCCUGUGUGGGGUGAGAGGCAGUGGUGCCCACUCAGGAUGGAGUUUGUGUGCGGCUCCUCUGGCUUUCCCAGCGCUGCUGUCUGGAGGUGCAGGGUCAGUGCUGGUCUCCCGCCCGACUUCACCCUGCUGGGGUGGGGGUGGGGGCGUGAAUUCUGGCCGGUGCCCUCUCACGCCCCCUUGAGGAGGCCAUGGUGUGUCAGCUGUAAUUCUUCUCUUCAUUCUUGGUGUCUGUGUCUUUUCCCUGCCAGGUUCCAGGGUUUUAGUUUUUCCUUUCCAGCAGGUUAAUGAUAUUCUCUUUUUCCUUUCUGUUUGGCUUGGCAUUUGUCGAUGCGGUGUCCUCCGGGCUCGGGCCUGUGGUGUGCUGCUCUCAGUCUGCCCAGGCUGUCGCCACAGUGCCGCAGACCGUGCUCCUGGCUGGGAGGCCCGGGCCAAGGGGACAGCUGGUUUGGUGUUUGCAGCAUCCCGUUUCCUGGCUCAUAGACAGUACCCUCCUGCUGUGUCCUCCACUGGGAGGCCGAGGAGACCCUGGGGGCCUCUCUCCCCUUCAGGAGAGCUUUGCCUUGUGACCUGGUCACCUCCCAGAGGCCCCUCCCUCUGCUCAGUACCAUUGCCUUGGGGGUGAAGACUUGGCACACAACUUUUGGGGGACACACGUUAAGCCUGCAGCAGAGUCCCUCGAGGAGCAGCUAUGGAGAGCUCUUUGCUGUCCUCUUGGAUGCCUCCUUGCCCUGUCUCUUCUCCUCACCUUCCGGGGCUCCAGUACGCAACAUUGGGCAUCCAUGGUGUCUAGGAGCUCCUAGGGGCUGGCUUUCCCUUUCCCGUUCACUCCCUUCUUGAUGCAUCGGUCUGGGGAUUUCUGGCCGUGGCUCUUCUGCUCACUGCACCCUGGCUGCAGGGACCCUGCUGACAAGUGCCUUGAACAUGCGCUUCACUUCUGUCGCCAUGUGUAUGACUGCCAGCGUUUCCAUUUGGCACUCUGGUGGUUUCCACUUCCUGCAUGUGGGCCAUCCUUUCCACGGGCUUUGAUGUCGCAGUCAUGGUCACUGUGAAUUCCCUGGGAGUUCUGACGUUGAGGUCUGCUUCUGCUGACUCUUGGGUACUUCUCCUUGUGCUCCUGUGUGUCUCCUGUUUUGGGUUGGUUCAACUGAUUUUGACUUCAUGUGUGGGGUGUCAGGUGAGGUACCUAACAUUAUGCUCAGCAAUGGUGUGCCCUGUUUUCUGGGCCCCUUCACGGGGUGGUUCCGCUGGCCGGAUGUGGCUGGCUUUGGGCUUUGCUGCAGCUGCAACCGCCCUGAAGACGCAGCCUCACCUUCCUCUGGAGUUACCUUAGGUGGGGUGGGAUGGGCCUGUGUUCGCUCCCCAACGGCACAUGCAGGGGCAGCCUCUCUCCAUCCCUGCCCCAUGUGGGGAACUGGGUGGCCUGGUGUGGGUGCUCAGUGGCCUGGCGCAGCCUUGGUCUUGGGCAGGUGUGGUCUUGUGCCUAGGGCUUUCUCAGUGGCCCUGUGCUCUUCCUUUGCCUUGACUCCCUUACUCAUCCUGCAUGGGAGCAUCUCCUGCCCCUUCCUGGUGGGCCUGGAAGGGCCGCCUCCUGCAUUUCCAGGGAUGGAGGGUGAUUUCUUUAUUCUCUAGAAUUUGUGGGUGCCUUGUUUGCCCUGGAGCUAUGGGUCAGCAGCUGCUGUCCUCGACCCCCCAGUGUUUAUCAGGGGAGAGGGCAUUCCUACAGGGCUGCUGGGCUUCCACUCUUCUUGCCCCUGCACCCUGACAUACUGCCUGGCCUGCUCCAGGCUUCCUGGUUAGCACCUGGGUCCAGAGAGGAGGUUUCCGCCCUUGGGAGAGUGCUUACCUGCUUGCGUGCCCCACGGCCCUGCCAUUUCUGGGCUGCCUGCCCUUGGGCUCUGUCUUGUCUCCCCUGUCUGUAGGUAUCAACUGACUGUUGCCCUGAGACUUCAGCUCUGAUGAGUCCAAGAAAAUGAUGAGUUUGUAGUUUUGUAGUCUUUUCUUCUGUUGUUUCAGGGCAGCUCCCUUGGAGCUUCCUGCAGGGCAGGUGGCGGCAGGGCUGUAACUGUGGGAGCUGCGUUUUCUUGUUUGAAGCAAGUUUGAACUCUUCUCAUUGUUUAAGCCCCGGUUUUACACUCUGUGAGUGAGAAUUUUGUGUCUUUUGCCCAUUUUCCUUGCAGUUUUUUGAGCUCUUUACGUGCAGCCAUGUUUUCUUACUGCUUGGCUCACAGCGUUUCGCCAGGAAUCUGGGUUCGCUUCUGUUGCUGGGCAUGGCCUUCCUUGCCACAUCCUGACUUGGAAUCCUACCUGGGAGGCUUGCCCAUGGGCGGCUGCUCUUUUGCCUUGCUUCCUGGUUUUCUUUUCUGUGUCGAGGGCUGUGGCCACUGGAGUAUGUUAUUUUGUCCUGUGAGGCCCAGGCUGCGUUCUGUCUUUCCGCAUGGCUAACCAGAUGUCACAGCACCAUGGGUGAGAGCCCUUCACGGUGCCGCACCCACUGCAUAUGGGAUUUCCAUGUCCACGGGCUCUGUUCGUAGACCCCUCUUAUUCUGCUGCUGUUUGUGUUUUCUUGUGCAGCUUUUGAACUAUGGAGACGUUCUAGCGUUUGUAAUAAUAGUUCUAACGUGGCAUCGUCCUGUACCCGUAGGUCCCCCUUUCAAAGGUGCUGUUUGGUGGUUUUAGUCGUUAGUAGUGUUGAGUGUUCAUCGCCACCGUCGUGGGGGCGCUCUCGAGUCCCCCUAAAAAGAGCACCUUGCUGUUGGCAGUCACUUCCUGCUCCCCAGCUCCCACUCCUCGCCCUGCCGGUCUCCUUCUGUCUCUUGAAUGUGCACAUUCUGGCCAUCUCGUGUAGGGGACUCUUGUAGGUGGCCGUUUGUGCCUGGCCUCUUCCACUGUGCUGCUGUUCCCAGCCCCUGCACUGUGGCCUGUGCCAGCUUCUGCUUCUCUGGGACCUUUGAGCGUCUGCUCACUCAGUCCUCUCUUCCUGUUUGGUGCUUCCCUGUGUUUGUGUAUAUCUCUGUGUGCCGCAGUCUGGCUGGGCACAAAACAACUGAGCCGCCACACAGCCUUGUAAGUUCAAACAGCAACCUUUACAGCACUCUACACACACUUCCCGGGAACACUCCCGAACCUCCAUGCACGCGCGCGGCCUUCUCCCCGGACACACCACACACCAACUGGCAUUCCCUCCUCUGGAAAUCCCUCCUCUGGCACUUCCCCAACCAACAGGAACUCCCCAGGAAUCCCCAGGAGAACUCCAAAGUAGCUGGCGCCUGAGGUGGACAGCAGGGGUCUAAUAUGCAAUUGAAUACACAGCUUAACAUAACCAUCAUCAUCUCAAUGGCUUGCUCUCAACCACUCCCUUCUGGCAAAAAUGCCAUGUGUCAUUCCCACUCUCAGCUAUGGCUCUCAGCAUCUGUGAACUUCCGGUCACUUUCUGGCUCCAUGCAGAUGCUUGGUACUUGUUGGUAUUUAGUGGGAGGGGAGAAUCGACAGUUCAUGAAAUGGUGGUGUUUAGCCAAAACCAAGGGGUGUCUUCCUGCGGGAUGCAGUGUUUCAGGGUCCCCUUUCAGGGUUUCCUGUGUCCCUAUCCACUCUCCCCGGGCCCAAUGUCCUCUCAGGUAUUGCCCAACACCGUCCGGUCCUUUGGCUGGUUACUUGUGUGUGCAAAGGCUCCUGGUUUCUGUGUGUUAGUUUUGCACCCUGAGCUCCCAGAGCCUGCUGCUGUUUGGCCCCAGCACUGCUCUAGGGUGUGCAUUGCCGUGGGGUCUGCAGGAGGCGCGGCACGUCUUAUUCCUGGUUCUCAUGCUUCUUGCUGCUGUCUCUUUGGUGGCACUGGCUAGCCCACCAGAAGGGUGCUGAGAGGUACUAGAUGUGGUGGCUUCUCCAUCUCCUGAUCCUUGUGAAUGGCUCCGGGUGUUUUCCUACUGAAUGAGGCACCCACUCAGGACGAAUGGUAUUUCCUUCAUCAGGCAGGAGUGUUGAGUUUCGUGGAUGUGGUUGGUAGCACCCAUGGAGACCCUCAUGAGGUUUUCCUGCAGGUUCAUUGCUAAGGUGUGUUACAGUGAUGGGCAUCCUCGUGCUGAACCAGCCUUGCGUUCCUGGGAAAACUGGCAGGUGGGACUUUGACUCUUAUUUCUUAGUGUUUUAUUUAGUAUUUUUGAAUUGCUCUUUAUGACAUUGGCUUACAGUCUGCCCGCCCCCCCACUUUCUUUCUUGAACUGUUCUGUACCAGCUUUUGGAAUCAAUGUGUCAAUGUUAGGCACAUGUCUUACUGGUAUCAUAAAAAAGGAUAGGGAACUUUCCUUUUGUUGUCAGUGGACAGACUUGGCCAAAUUCUUCUGCAAAACCUUCAGGUCCUGUGGCUCUUUAGUUGGGGCAGAUUUGAUAACUUGUGUUUUUUCUGUUGGAACAGUGGGCCACUUUUGGCCGACUUCUCUGACCUGUGACAGUGCCACUCACAGUCCCCUUGGAGAGAGGCCCUGUGCAGACCAGAGCCUCUGGUCCUCAGCGCUUUCUCUCGGUGGUCACUCCUCCCGUAUAGCUUGGUGUGUUGUGUAGUUGUGUUGCUCCUUUUUUUCUUGGUUAAGUUGGCUCUGGGUUGUUUUUUUGUUAGUAGUUUUUUAGAAAAUAGCAUUUUGAUUUAUUAAUUAGGUUGAUUAUUUUCCAUUUUCUACUUCAUUGGUUUUUGCUUUUAUUUGUAUUAUUUCCUUCCUUGUGGCUGUUUUGAAUUAUUAUCAUUUUUUUCUAAUCUUUUGAGCUCAGAAUUUAGUGAAUUUGUUUUUCUUUUUUCAUAGAAAUAUUUAGAGUUACAAAUUCACUCUGAUUCCUGCUUUAAAUUUAUCUCAUUGAUUUCCCUAUGUUGUAUUUUCAUUAUUAUUUUUUGAAAAUUCCUUCAUUUUAGUUUGUAUUUUUCCUUUUCUUCCAGGAGUUAUUUAGCAGGUUGUUUUUAAGUGGAAGGGAUUUCUUGGUUUUAGAAAGCAUUUUAGAUGUCACCUGUGCUGAUGCCAUGCCACAGUCCUAAUCAGACUGGCCUUGUGACCUUGAGAUCUUGCUGCUGUUCGAAGGAUAGACCUCGUGAGUGGUCCUGUGCUGCCAAGGGGUGCCCAGGCGUGUGGCCUCUGGGACCUUGCCUCUUGGCCACCCUUCAUGCAGGACAACUCUUGGUCUGGCUAGUUUCUUGACGUGACUCCUCUGAGGGCUGCUUCCUCUUCUUCUCAGAGGUGUGUCCGCUCUUUCCCUGGGUGUGUACUUUAGGCAGAAGCAUUGUGUGGGGCUGGCUUGUCCCCUUGGGGGGGGGGUGGUAACGUGGGGUCUGCUGGGCUUCUCCUAUGUAGUUGCUUUUUCCAUUUUUUAAUUAAUAAGACACUUUGAGGCCACGUGAAUAUCCUGUCCUGUGUCCUGAUGUCCACUCUCCACUGGCUGGCUUCUGUCCGUCCGCAGGACCUUCUCAUCGUGAUGGUGGGAACCACCUUCCUUGUUGGUCGCAGCCGCCUGCACUACGAGGGAGAGCUCUCCUCUUUCCUCAUUGCUGAUGUGGGCUCGAGGGUCUUUAUUCAGCGAGUUGUACUUCUCCUUGUCACUGCCUUUUUCAUGCUCAGACUGUUCCACACAUGGCCAGGGAGGCUUUUCCAGGCUGGUGCUGUGAGUUUCUGAGAUGGCCCUGCCUUACCUGGGCACCUUCGUGUGCAUUUGUGGACCUAGGUGCUCCUGGCCUGUCUAUUACUUUUCCCCUGCGGCUCUAGAAUCCAAUACUUCUCCAAGGGGUCUUAAUUCCUUGCCAUUCUUUUUUGAUGAAGAAGAGUGUUUAGUAGCCAAGAUUUUUAUGCUGGGUAUGCUCUUUGUCAUGGGGUGCGCUGGCAUCUCUGCCCUGUCAUUGGACUAAACUAGGAAGGGGCUAGGUGCCAUUAUAGAACUACGCAAAUGUGUAUAAGCAGGUGAUACAUAAACGCGCGCACAUCUGUGUCUGUAUUUUUCUGUAUACUGAAAAUAGCAGACUCAGGGCUGGGGCUGGGGCUCAGAGGUAGAAUACUCCCCUACCAUGCGAGAGGCACUGGGUUCAAUCCUCCGCACCACAUAAAAAUAAAAUAAAGAUAUUGUAUCCACUUUAAAUAAAAAAUAAAAAGUAAAAAAAAAUAGCAGAUUCAUACGGCACCUCAAGUGCUAAUCAAGUGCCCCUGCUUGGGGAACUUGUGAAGGAAUGCUUGGCCUCGGGGUAUGGCCAGGGUGCUAUGGAGCCUUCCUCCAUCCCCUCCCUCAGAGGGGAACCCACGUAAGGACACACCUGAGACCCUGGUGCCUGGUGCAGAGGGUGUGGCAUGGAAGCUGAGUGGCAGGAGGCACUGCCGCUGGGGGUUGGCAACCCGCCCAGCUCCUGGCUGCCUCACUCUGCUCAGCACGUUCCCUCUCGUUCCCUUUUCUUGUCUUAAAAACUGCGCUUGCUUUACAUCAGGAAUUCCCAGUACGGGUGCUGUGUUCCCCAAACAGGUCUAUACAACACUGUAGUUUUGGGACCAGGUGCAGCCAGACGGGGCUCGGGCUGUGGUGAGUCAGGGCUUGCUGCCGGAUGACCCCUGCCUCCUGUGAGGUGGUGGUUUUCACUCCGAGGUCUCUGUGCGCCUUCUGGCUUCGUGUCCUGAGGACACAUUUGUGUAGCUGACGCCAUCCUGGGGAGGUAGUGGCCAGUGGAGGGAGGUGGGGGUCCAGAUGGCAUUAGUCAGCUUGAAGGCUCCUGUGUGGGCUGAUUCAGGCUGUCUGCCUGGCCCUGGGCAGGGCAGCAGCCGGGCAGCUCACCCUCCUGGAGUCGCUGCCCCCAGUGCCGCCUAACCAGGGGUAGCUGCUGAGCUCUGAGCAGUGCGGCCAGGGCUGGCGCUGGCCACGGGGCUCAGGGUGGAGCAGGUGCAGGCAGCCUCCCUACUCCCUGGCAGACACCACGGCACGGGGAGCCUCACGCCCGCAGCUUGAAGCAGCAGGUGGGAGACAGCAGCAUGGUUCCAGGUGGCGGCUGCUGCGUGGCCUCUGUCAGCCCGGUGUGCUGGCUGCUGGGACUCAGAGGCCUUCUCCCUUCCAGGUGUUAGGGGCCGUCAGUGCCUGUGGCUCCUUCUUGGGGCUGGUCUGCAUGCUCACCUCCUGGGGUCGUUCUUCUGACUCCACGUUACAGGCGAGGAAACUGAGGUUGGAGGCCACAGGGCUGGAUGAGAUGUGGCUGUCAAGGCUGAGCCGUGUGACCUGGCCCUAGGUUCUGCUCCUGUGCUGGGACUGUGUUCUCUGCCUUAGACUGAGCCCAAGACCCAGAGAGGCUGGCUGUGUGUUAGGCCGUAAGAGUGCCGGCUGCUGUAAACAGGGGCUCAUUAGGCUGAGCCAGGCCGUGGGUGAGGCCCCAGUGCUGCCUGCUGCUGCCCUCCUGUGCGGUGCCUGUUCCUGCCUGCAGGAGCUGCCCUUGAGGGACCUUGGCCGGAGGGGCCCCUGCAGAGCACACCCCUCCAGCAGCCUCCUUCAUCUUCUCUCUCUCUCUUUUUGUUUUAGUUUUUUUAGUAGUUGAUGGACCUUUAUUUAUUUGUAUGUGGUGCUGAGAAUCGAACCCAGUGCCUCACACGUGCCAGGCAGGUUCUCUACCACUGAGCCCCAGCCUCAGCCCUCAACUUCUCCUCUUCAACUUUGCUCUGGAAAGUGGUUUUCCCCACAGGCAGGCUUCGAGAGUGAGUUUUCGUGGCUCUGGUGCCGCCUGUGCCUGCCGUGUGUGUGCCAGGGCCAGGGGUUCUCAGUGCUCUGCAGUGAGGGCUGCCCUUGACCUGGACCUCACCCGCUCUCAACACCACUGUUUGUUGCUGACUCUCCUUUUCUCCGUGAGCUCUGCGCAGCUGCAGUUGGGAUGAACACGAAGGCAGCAUCCCUCCCUCUAUAUACUGGGCAGGCUGGAGCUGAGAUUCUUGAGGAGGAGUUAAAUGCCAUCCUGUGCCACCAUUUGUUCUCUGGAGAGAUGGGGAGAACACAGGUGUGAGCCCAGCCCACCUGGGGCCAGAAUCAGCCUCAGGGAUUUCGUGUCCUCAUGAUCUGCCCACCUCACCUGCACCCUGUCCAGUGCCUUGCUCAUGUGAGUGUCUUUAAUUCUUCACGGGUCUCUGACCCCACAGGAGGUCAGAGGUUGCAUCUGUAAGGGUCUGGCUCCUAGUUGAUGUAGGGCCCUGGGCUCGUCUCUUUGCCCUUUGCUCCUGGGAACACAGUAGUGCUCCCUCCUAUUACCUCUGCUACUGCAUACCCUGGCCAUAGCUCAGCCCUGAGACCACCUGAGAGCAAUGGCUUGAGUUAUCCGGGUGUCUGUCCCUUUCAGCAGUUCAUCUUUUCCUCCCCCAUGUGACAAGCGUCAUCAACUUCUGUGUCUGUCAGCUGCAGCAUGAGACCCGCUCAGGCAGGCCAGGCCUAUCCAGUUCUGCUCUGUGUCUCACGGGGCUUGGGGUCUGGGCAGCAGGGAUUGGGUUCUUGUGACAUGAGCCGACUGACCCCUUGCCUAGCUCUGGAGGGAGCACUACUGCCCAUCUGGCAGGGAAAACAGGAUUGUAGCUGCCACGUCUCCUGUGUGACCCCGUAGAAGACCUGCUCCCUAGCUGGGAGACCCCUCAGCCAUGGGGAGGCAGGGGGCAUUCUGGGGACCCUGUUCCAGGGAACGUGGUUCCUUGUCUGCUGCUAGGAAGGGUAGCCCCAGCCUAGGGGAUUCCUUGUCUGAGGGGGCCCAGUCAUCCCUCUGCCAGAGGCUGGGGUCCUUCCUGGGACGCUGUCCUGGGAGCCUGGCCAAGGGGCCUGAGCCCUGUGUGCUGGUCCAGGGGUCUGAGUGCUGGGACCCUAGCCUGCGCUGGGCUGGGAGGGCUGACUGGCAGUCUGCUGACUGGCGUCACUCUGCUCCUGGACCUGGGAGCAGGGCUGAGGGGGGCGUUCCCUGGCACCCCCACUUCCUCUGGCACCUUGUAAACAGGAUCUGUGCAGUAUGAGGACAGACAGCUCCCUUCAGGCUGGCAGAGAGCUGGGGUCCCUGGGAGGAGUCUGGCGCCAGCCUGAGGGCUUGAGGCUGGAGGAACUGGUGGCAGGCUUUGGCCGGUGAUCACGGAAGCAGCGUGGUAGGAGGCCUCCUCAGGAGCAAGUGGGCAUUUUCUCUGGCCUCUGUUCAACCUUAGUCAGGCAGCCCCGGGUUUGGGGCCAUUUUUGGGUACAACAGGCUGGCAGCUUCCGCCCACCCCUCCUGCCUGGCCCUGCUGCCAGCUUCCGCCUGCUUGGGCUGCACACGGCCUCUGUAGCCUUUGUCCAGCCCUCCCUCCCUCCCUCUCUCUUUGUCUAGCUCACCAUUGCCCACUCUGGCCGCCACGCUCUGCGGAGGAUCUCCCAGAUCCCCCAGGCCUUGCCCCACCUCUCUCCUGGCCUCCUAGCCCUUCCUCUUGCUGCCCAGCCCCGCCUUUCUGAGUGCUGGCUCUUGCUGGAUCCCUUGCUCUGUCCUGGCCCGCCGCCUCCUGGAAGCCUCUGGUGCAUCACAGUGUCCGAAACUCUUAGCACCCUGAGCCACCCGACGAGUCGGAGCAUUGUGGAAAGAGCCAUGCCAGCCAGCCUGGAGCCCCGACUGCCUGGCCCACCCAGGGCUCGUCCCCUCUUUCUGUGCCCUGCAGUGCCCCUGCCUCUUGUGCUUAGGUACAGACGCGCUUCCCUGUGCUGGUCCCGUCCUGGAGGCUCUCGAGUCCUGGGUAAAGCCUUGCUCAACCUUGCCAACGGGAGGGCACUGCCUGUCUUCCAGGUGGCUGGUGAUGUGGGCAGCGUGGUCUAGCUGGAACUGAAGCUGUGUGUUGCGGUGAGAGAGUCUGAUUGCCUUCCUGCUUGUUCAAGAGUCUGCAUUGGCAGUUGGGAGUGACCUUGGGCGGGUUGAGCCUGGUUUUCCUCUUUUUAAAAUGGGGUUAUACUUAGCGCUGCAGGGAGCCAUGAGGAUUAAAGACACUCAUGUGAGCAAGGCACCUGGGCAGGGUGCAGGGGAGGUGGGCAGCCUGGGGCCCGUCAUGUCAUCUCCUGGUGUCUCUUUGGUUGCUUUGUACAUGAGACCCCUGUGAGUGCCAAUCUCAGAGUCGUGGGGUUGCUCAGGGAUGUGAGCUGUGCCCAGUUCCUAAGGUCACAGUUUGGUCCCUGGUGAGGGCCAGGAAUCUUGUUCUUCUGCCUCUCAGUAAAGGGCCAGGGACAGAGCCUGGAGGCCACCUUGCUCUGGGCCCUGGUGUCUUGGCUUACUAGGAUUUGGCUGAUUGUCACAAGUGGAUGGAUGAGGACUGCACUGGGGCUGGGCACAGGCAGGUGUGUCUUCUGAGGGUGCCUGGCUCCUUCAGGAAGGGUGGUAGGCAGUAUCCUGCCAAGUAGAAAUGUGUGUUUUAUGGAGAAGAGAGAUGCCUGGCAUGGUGUGGGGUAAGCAUGGGACCCUGAGGUCAGGCAUGGGCAGGAAGUGGGGUGGGAGCCCCUGGCUGGCCUGUGGGGUUGAUGGGUAGAAACUGCAGGGAGGAAGUCAAGGACACAGCCUGGGUGGAGGCACUGAGGUAGGGGGACAGCCUGGGCAUGGGCGGGCAGGGUCCCCAGAUGGCAGGUCCCCAGAGCUGAGGCAUGGCCAGCUUCCUGAAGCCUGUGAGGGCACAGGUGCCUGCCUGGUGGUUUCAAAGUGCGGGGCAUUAGGUGCUGGGAUGUGCGUUGGCUGUGCUUUCUGGGCCACUCAAAACUGCUCCUAGAUCACCCUGUUGGCUCUAGGGCCUGGGGGAGGGGGACAGGUGGGAUGCUGGAGACAGGGGUGCCAAACUCCAAGUUUGGGUUGGUGGGGCUGAGUACCCCAUGUGUUCUUGUCUCUCAGAAAUGGGACAUGCACCUGCUGGAUUGCAGGUGUCCCCUGGGGCCCAGGGUGCUGGCCAGGAGGCAUUUGUGUACUCAGGCCAGCCUCCUCUGGCUGCUGUGACUCACUGUGCUUCUCCAGCAGGCUGGGCUGAGCAGACACAGAGGUGUCACACCUUCCAUCACUCAACAGAAUGGACUUGCAAGCUGGAUGAGGUGGGGCCUACCGUCGAGGCCUGCUGGAGAGCAGGCCGCCCAGGGCUUCUCUUGCACCUGGCGGGUCCUGGUGCUGGGGCUGCUCAGCCCCUUUCCAGCUACCCCUCUGCAGUUGUGCCUGGAGACCCGAGUUCUGAAUCCCUUCCCACUUCCAUCUAAGGAAUCUCCCACCUCUCUCAGACCCUCAUCAAGUUUUCUUGUGCCCCUUCUCAUGAAAUCCAGCAGACCCUCUGCCCUUGGCAGCAAAUCACGGUAACUGCACCCACCCUCAGAGGCUAUCUGGGCCUCUCGUCCCCUGCCCGCCUUGCCUGGCCCUCCUGUGUUGACCCUGCGGCAGCUUCUCUUCCAGGAUGUCUCCAUAGGAAUUCACACAGCAGACCCCGCCUCUGUCCAGCCGACCCAGGGCUUCAGUCAUUUGCCGAGCUCCUUGGGGUCCUUCUAGCAUAAACAGCUGCCCCUUCUUUUCUGGAGUGGGGAGGGCACAGCACAGCCCACCUGCUUUCUCAGCGGGCAGGAAGCCAGGGCUUGCCCUCCCUCCUCCCUCCCUGGGUUCUGCCAGCCCUUUGCUAGCUCCACUGCUCUGCCCCUCCAGAGCCCAGCCCCAGCAGCAGUCCCAUUGGUGUCCCGCCAGCAGUCCAUUCUUGGUACUGGAGCAGCAGGAGACCCACUCCCCACCAGAUCUCCUCAUGUCCGUCACUUCUGGCCACUGCUGUCUGUCAUUCUUAGGAGUGUCCAGAUGCCCUCACAGGCGAGAGUGCCCUUUGAGCUCAGAACCUCCUGAGCUGCUGGACUUCCCUGUCUGGGGCUCUAGCUCCCCAAGCUCGCGGGAGGCCCUUUUGGAGUUCUCAGGCUGUUUGGGAUGAUGCCAGGACGUGUGUUCCUGGGCCAGGCAGGCCUGCACUGCACAUAUCGUGACAGUGCCUGGAGCCCAGUGGGCAUGCAGGGCAUAUCUGUGGGAUGGUGUGCAUGGCAAAGUGAGGUGGCUCUGGGGCAUCUUCCAAGGGCUUGAGCACGGCAUUGGGUUCUGCCUGACUCCUGUCUGCUAAGGGAGCCCCCAGCAGCCCUCCACCUCAUCUCCAGGCAAAUUUGUCUGCAUGAUGUUUCACUGGAAUCUUGCAAAUGAUCUUUAGUACUCUAAAGUUAUACAUGCAUAUAGUUUAGAGAGUAAAUGCAUUCUACAAGAUUAAUUAAGAAAAACAGCAAUCCCUGGUGCUCCUCUUUUGCCCUCCCCAGAGCCGAGUACGUCUGAUUCUGAGAGUAGAUUCUUUUGAUGUUUAUCUUUUCUCUAAAUGCUGCAUUGCUACUUGAUUUUUUUAAAGCAUUUAGGCAUUAUAUUGAAUUGCAAGAUGUGGAGAUUGAAGUCUCUUUUCACACCUCUGUGUACAGUUACAGGCACGCACACCCCCUCAGGCACUCAUGCACACAUGUGUGUGUACACACGCACACACUUGCACAUGUUACACUGGUGGCAUCCAAGCACACUGUGCACAUGCCACGCCACUUCUCAUCUCCUGCCUGCCUUUCUGGUUUCCCUGGGUUCCUGAUGGCCUUGUGUGCUUGGGUCCUAGACAUAGACCCUUCCACUUCCACCCUUCCUUCUUCCACUCUGUCUCAUGUUUCUUCGUAUCAGUGGUUUGUUGUCUCAUCUUCAUGAGGAAGUCUGUCCAGAACCUUCUAUGGGGCAUGGUCAGUGGGUUGCCCACCUUGUUCAGCCGCAGUCCUGGUUCCCUUUCCUGCCUCUGGUUUAGGCAUUCCCAGCUAACCUCCUUCCUUAGAUGACCCCUGGUUUUUAUGGAGUGCAUCGUGAAGUCCUCAAGUCUCCAUGGGACUGUGGGGCCUUUGUUAUCUGGGCUUCUUCCUCGGGGGGUGGGGAACAGUGCCGUUGUGUCUGGGCACUGCAGCCAGACUGCCUGGCUCUGAAGCCUGUCUCCUCCAGUCACCAGCUGUGUGACCCUGGGCAAGUUAGCCCAUGUCUCUGGGCCUUCGUUUCCACACUCUGCAAGGCAAAGGUGACCUUGCCAUCUCACAGGGCUUGAGCCUGUGAAGGUGGUGGGCUCAGAUGAGGGCUGCUGCUGUGUGUGGGAGUGCUGUCCGUUAACAGUCAGCUUUCUAGGGUUUCUUUUCAGAAGAGUUUCUCUCUCCUUCAAGUUGGGUCCCCGUGGGUCCUCGCUGUACCCACCUAGGUCCCCCUAUGAGGCCCUGCUGUGGAGGCCUCCUCGAGGGCUGAGGUCUGCCUCACAUGACCUGAUCUAACAUGGAGCCCUGGGCUCCCUAAGCCCCUCUGGGCCAGCAGUCCUCCACAACCUCUCUCCCCUGAGCCAGUCUCUGAGCCCUAUUCCCCGCCCACAGGGCACAAGGCCUCAGGCAGGUCCCCAGGGUUCCCUGGGGCUUGCAGGGUCCCUCUGCCAACUGUAUCUCCUGCAUAGCUGGAUUUCUUUAUACCCAGCGACCAGAUCAGUAUGAGGAUGCAGCUUGCCCCAGACCCAGGUGUGUGGCCGAGCCUGCCUAGAGACUGACGUGAGCACAGGUAACUCUCACUGAGGUGCUGUGCUUUGAAAACUGUAGUCAUUUUCCAUAAAAAUAUUUAGGUUAGGAUAAUUGGUUAACCAAUGUUAUUUCAAAAUGAAUUAACAAACAACUGAAAAGUCUGUUUAAUUUCAGACGAGUAAAUAUCUGUGGAUAGACUCCACAUAAACUAAAGCUCUUUGGGCCUCAGUGAUUCUUAGCAGUGUCCUGGGGGCCUGAGACCAGGAUGCUUGGAGUCCCUGCUGCCACUGCUUUGGUGGAUGACAGUGCGACCAUGCACAGGAGCUGAUCCCAGGUGGACUCCUUGGGGAUGCAGGGGCAUGCUGGCCUUCCUCAGGUGCUGGGACUCAGGCUUGCUUCUUACCCUCUGUGCAUCUAGCUCCCUCUGCUCCAGACCCCCUCUUCCUGCAGGCCUGCAUGGUUUGUGGGUGGUCACUGUAGGGUCUCCAAACUGAGGCUGGCCAGACUGCAGGUGUGACAAGUGACAAGCUGGAUCUGGAGGGCUGGGGUGUCCUUGGGGGAUGCACGCACAGGGACCACCUUAGGGUCUGGGAGCCUGGAGGCGCUGCUCUGGCCGCGUCCAGCCAGAGACCAUCUCAUGGCCCCUGGUCAUGGCUUGGUUUGGAGGCAGGGUGCCAAGCCGCUGGGUGGCUGGCGUCACUGUGGAGUUGAGAGCUGGGUGCCCUGAGCAUGUCACGUGUGCCACUGCUCCUAACAAACCUGGGGAGUAGGUACUUUCACUGCCCUAAUUUUAGAGAGGAAGAAACUGAGGCCCAGAGGGAUCAGUGGCUUAUGGAGAGUGACACAGGUUAACAAAUGGCUGGUCAGAUCCCCUCUGCAGCCUGACCCCUGCUUUGCCAUCCACUAGGGGCCGCUCAGGCAGAUGGUGCUGGAGGCAGAGAUGCUGCCGGCAGCUUCAGCUCCUGGGCAGCACCAGUCCAUGCGGGCAAGCCAGGGGAAAGCCAGCCACCCCGAAACUUGGUGGAGUGGGAACAGGGGAGCAGGGCUCCCGUGGGACUUCUGCAGGGAGAGCUCGGGCGUGACUUCCUCAGGGCCGUGUUUCUGUGGAGUAAGUGGCUGCUAUAAGGGGCUUGGUGGAGCCACUCCCUGGAGGCUGCCAUGAAUCCAAGGGUUCAGCUGGAAAAAGACACAGAGGACCCAUGAAGCCCCUCUCCACCUUGGAUCUGGAUUUAACCCCUUCUCUUUUUCUUCUUUCCCUCCCCAGUUUUUGUGUUUCUUCCAGCUCUUGAGGACGCUGCCUGCCCUUUCUGCUAUAAGAAGAUGUCGUAUGGGUCCAUCACCAGCGGAGGUGGCCUGGGGACCCGUGGACCUUUCAGGGGAUCCUCAAGGCAAGGCUGUCAGCCUCCAGGUAAAGACACACAGCUGGCACCUAGGAUGGGUGGGCAUGGUGACAAUGGGCAGGUCUUCUCCAUGUCAUGUUCCCUGAGGAGUGUGGCCCAUGACCAGAGACUGCUGUGGCUGCUGAGCUCCAGAUGCAGGGAGUGUACAGACUGAGGGGCUGUCCUGUGUGGGGGCAGACUGUGGGGUCAGCAUUCCUGUGGGGUGAGGAGCUGGCGCUCAGUGCUGAACUGUCGAUGAUGCCUGGGUGUCUGGUCGUGGCUGAGCGCAUGAAUGAUGACAUCCAGCCUUCUUGAUGCUGCCGCGGAGCAGGUGACCAUUUGUGUAGCAUGUGGAGAAGAAAACUGAGCCCUCACUUGGGGGAUGACAGCUCCCUGGGGCUGUGCAGCUGGCGUAGGGCAGGACUGAGAUCUACCCUGACACUUCUGAGUGCCAGAGCCCUGCCUGUGUGCGUCACUGAGCUCUAGGCCCCGUCCCCUGCACCUGGCCCUGCCUUGGGCCUCAUGGCCACCUCCCUGUUCAGCCCCCUGUAGAGCUGGUGUUGGACAGGGGCUGUUGCCAGUUUUACACAUGUGGGUGUGACCUGUAAGGCACCCCUGGCUCCCUUGUUAGGCACGCCCUGGCUGCCAGGCUCAUGCGGCUGCAGUCUCUGGUGCAGGGCAACCUCAUGAGCUGCCAUCUCGAGGUGGGGAAAGACAUGGAAUUUGGGGUGCCUGAGCUCUCUGCUCACCUCCCCCGGCUCUGGGCCAGGGUUAGGGUUCAGCCUAGCGGCUACUGCAAGCCUACAUGUGUUGGGCCUGACUCCACUGAGCUUCGGGUGGGGGCUUCUCUGUGGGUUGGGGGACUCUCUUCCCUGUGGCCCUCCAGGCUCCUGGCCAGUGCUCAGUUCCUCAGGCUGCCUGUUCAGAGGAGGAGGCCAGGCAUGGGCCACCACUGGGCUUGUCAUUGACGUUUAGCUCUGCGUCUCUAGCAAAGAGUGGGGCUGGUGUCUUUCUCACUUGUGGUGGGAAGUGGAUGGUACAGGAAGGGUGAGGGUCCCAGACCUCAUCAGAAGUGGCCACCUCCCUCUUCCUCAUGGGGCCACUGCCAUACAGGACCUCCCCUUCCUCUUCCCAGAGAACAGCAGCUGCCCAGGCUCCUCCACCCUCAGCCUCCUCUUCUCCACUGCCGGGUGUUGUGUGCCAGGCUGUGUUCUAGGAGCUGGAGGCAUGGGGUAGAGGAAGCAGGUGAGCCCCAUGCCCUAGGGUCACAUUCUGCCUGGGAGAGUUUCUGAGAUCACCUCACGUGGGCACCGUGAACUGUGUGAAGAGCAAGACUGGGCUGGCUAGCCAGGGCUGCUUGAGCCGAGGAGGUGAGGGAGCCUUGGAGGUGAGGGAGCCUUGGAAUGGGGACAGUCUGUGAGCCAUCAACUGGAGCCUGGGAGGGGUGGCAGUGAGAGACGUGGGCGGAAGGGCAGCAGGACAGUGUCCAGUCACAUGCCUCCUUCCACGGGGCUGGGGCAGCCCUCAGGGUCCUCGGCAGGGUGCAGGGCGAGCGCCUUUCUGAGCCCUCGGUCUGCAUGUGUUCUCAGGGCCCUGUGUGCGGUGCAUGCUCGUGGUUCAGGUGCAGAAUUCAUCGAUCCUGGGCUUCAGAUCCGCACAUGCCCUUUCAGCCCGCCUCCCUCCCUCCGGGCCCGAGGCCUGUGCGUGUUGCUCUGUUUCCUUAGUGCUGGUUUCGAAGUGGCUUUGGGCCUUAUCGAGUGGGAUUCGUGUAGUUCUGGGACUUACUUCUCCUCUGCAUUUUGUUCCUGAGGCCAAAGGCACGGCCAGGUCUCCUUGGGCUCAUUCUCCCGGUGCUCUGCAUGCAGCUCUGCAGUGCACUGUGGCAUCUCUGCCAGCUCCAUGUCUGAGGGACGCCCAGGUUGCUUCCCUUUCCAUGCCAGCACAGACAGUGGCCAGAGUCUUCAGGGUGGAACGAGGGUGGCAGUCCUGCGGGGUCCCUGUGCGCCUGCUCUUCUCGUGCCGCCCACCCUCUUCCUCCGGCCCCACUCCAUGUCUUUGUCAGCACCAAAUGGUGUUGGACAGGGCUGUUGCCAGGCUGUUGCCAGUUCACACAUGUGGGUGUGAGGCGGUCUGUCUGGCCUCAGUCUGUUUUCCUAGCUCAGGUGGGUGACCUUUCAUGUUUACUGGGCCCUGAGGUCUUUCCUGUAGCUCAUUGCUCUUGUUUUUAUCUUGGAUUUGUCUUGUUUUUCUACAUUUCCUCUGUGUUGGGGACGGAAACCCUCAAUGACGUGCUGUGGACACCCCCGUGGGUCGUGCCUGCUGUGGGCAGGAAUUCCCACUCCUCUCGCCCGCACCACUCUCCUGUCAGUUGGUUUAAUGAUGUGCCUUUGUGUUCUCCAGGAAAGUGACCUCGUUGAUGGCGUGAGGUCGUGUGAGCAGGGAGAGGGACUCUAACGUUUUUUCCACGAUUUGAGCAGCAAAUGGUCCAGACCGUGUAUUCUGCCUUUUUCUGCAGACCUGCAGCACUGGCCAAGGAGAGCCAGUGUCCCUUGGGGCCUCUCGGUCAGUUUUCUAUUCUGGUGUUAAAUGCGUCUUGAUUUUUGCAGCUUUCUCGUAAUUCUCUGUUUUCCAGGGCAGGUUGCCCUUCUCAUUGCAGUAUAGAAAUGCCUUAUGUAUUUUGGGCUUUCUGUUAUUGAACAUGAAGUUGAGAAUCAGUGUGUCACAUUCCUGGGUUUGGCUGGCUGGCUCUGGGUCCGCCUGCCCAGGCACGAGCCUUCACGGGGACCUCCUACCCUGAGCCCACGGCAUGUCGUCUUUGGAUGUGUGGUCUUCUUUCACGUCUUUUGAUAGAGCCUUGUCAUUUUCUCCAUGAAGAUUUACAUAUCUUAAAUUUGUUUCAACAGAAGAAGAACAACAAAAACAUGCUGCUAUUUGGCUGCUAUUUUCGGUGGUACUCUUCAGAGUAUGACACUUCUCCAAAUGUUUGUUGCUGGUGUACAUAUACAGUUGUUAUUUUAAAAAGCAGCGUCCAGAGAUUUUAUUUAAUUUAAAUGUUUUGCUCUUUUAACUUUUUAAACAUGGAUACUUUCAAACAUACAAAAGUAGACAUGGUGAUGUGUCUACCCCCAGGGCAGCCUUCUGUGUUCUCUGUUGCUACCCCCCACUCCUGCCCGGCUGAGCUUGUCUGAACCUUCCCAAACCCUGACGAGUCAGGCUUCUGGUCACCUGGCCUGAACAUCUAGUUGUCUCCAGUGACAGGGUUCCAGCGCUGCAGCAUGUCUCAGCCUCGAUGCUGGGUCACUGAGUUCUCCCGUGGCUGUUCUUGUGACACUUCUGUGUACCUUCUGAGCCCAUGAUCGCCUGGGUGCCUCCAUCUCGAUUUCUUUUGCCUCGAGGUCUGUUUGCUGGAGGGAGCAGGCUUCUGUGGAGUGUGGCCGACCUCUGCCCACUGUUUUGCACGCAGCUUCUGCUAAACUCCUCUCCCUAAUGGCCGUGACUUGUCCGCGGCAUCUCCUCAGUUUCCUGUAAGAUGACGUCGUUGUCUCUUCCUGUCCCUGGCUUCAUCCUGUUUGUUUUCUUCCCUUCCUGAGUUAGCUGGAGCCUCUCUCCGAGGAUUGAUGGAAUUGGUGACUGUAGAUGGUGCCCUGACUUACGAAGGGUCCUGCCCCCAUGAGCCAUCAUGAGCGUGAAUAUGCUGGUGUUCCUCCCUGGCGUGCCCAGUCUCCCUGAGGUGCUCAGGACCCUGCAGUACCUACAGCUGGGAGCAGAUGGCCUCACACCAAGGCUGUCUUAAUGAAGUGUUGACUCCUGACGCACGGAGACUGGCGUCUGCAGACACCAGGUGCAGGACCUCAAGGCAUGGUGUCCAGAAGGCUGUGGCAGCACAGCAAUCUGUAAAGUUGUAGUAGCUUCCUUGGUGAUCGUGGGAUUGCCUGGAUCUGCCCAGAAUUGCAGGGGAGGGUCCCCUGUGUGUCACCAGCCCAGGAAAAGGUCACAGUCCAGACCUUGAUUUCUAGUAACUGCUUUCCCACUCACAGUGAAAAGUCCGGCCGAACCGUCCCGAGUCACGACCCUCAUGUAUUCCUGUGAAUUUGUGGGCACAUAGGACUGUGUGUUUCUGGGAUUUUGCUGGGAGACUGGUUUUGUUUGUAGGAGUUCUGACUUCCUGUUAAGUUCCCUUAUAGUAAAAAUCUGUUCAGGUUUUUGUUUCUCCUUGGGUCAUUUUUUUAAGUGGCAUUUUCUGGAAAAGCAUCUGCUUCAUCCAGAUGUUCCCGUGUAUUGAGGUGGAAGGAAUGUGCACAGAGCUUGUCCUGGCCAGGUGCCACGUGGGCAGCACCCUGGGUGGGCUGGAGCGCAGACUCCAAAUAGCCUGCUCUGGGCCCAGCACCAUCUGAAGGUAGCAGGCGAGUUGGCCCCUGCGCUGGGCCACCUGGGGUCCAGGUUGAGUGAGUUGCUUCCUGUGUAGCCAGGGCCUCAGGAGGCAUGCAGUGGCCAGUCGCCCUUGUUUGACUCAGGUUGUCAGUGUCCGAGUGAUGUCCCCUUCACUCCUGACAGUGUGUUCGCCUUCCCGUUUUCCUCUUUGAAAUAGGUGUACAGAUCUCUCUGUGAUGUGACUUCUUCAGAAAGACUUCAUCUUUCUGCUACUUGUUAGCUUCAAAUUUUAAUUAAUUUCUGCUUGUAUUUUCUUUAUUUUCCUCCCCUUUUCUCGAAUUGAUGCUAUUUUAUUUUUUCUGACUUGCAGAUUGGAUAUUCUUCUUGUUCAUAGGCAAUACUCAGCUUUUAUUCUUUCCUAAUAAAAGUAUUUAAAAUAAAUAAAUUUCCAAAGAGGUACACUUAGUUGAAUACCACACAUUUAAAAACAGAGUAUUUAAAAAAUUUUUUAGGGCUGGGGAUGUGGCUCAAGCGGUAGCGCGCUUGCGUGGCAUGCGUGCGGCCCGGGUUCGAUCCUCAGCACCACAUACAAACAAAGAUGUUGUGUCCACCGAGAACUAAAAUAAAUGUUAAAAUUCUCUCUCUCUCUCUCUCUCUCUCUAAAAAAAAAAAAAUUUUUUAGUUCUAAAUAUUUUCUAAUUUCAAUUAGGAUUUCUUUGACCCAGGGAUUAUUUACAAAUAUUACUAAUUUCUAAGCAUAUGUAUUUUUUUUCAUGUCUUUUAAAAGUGAUUUCUAGUGUAAUUUCAUUUCCAUCAGAAAAAGGCUGGUGUUGUCUUGACAUGUUGACUUCACACUGGGGCUUUGUCAGGGUGCUGGUGGGGUCUUAGCUCACUCUUUGGUGCAGUCCCCUCUACCAUGGUUGGUCUGUGAAGGCUUCGGUGGGGCUGGCUGAAGAGGCCCAGUUACUUCCAGGCAGGACAGCGGGGAGACAGACAGCUGNGCAGGACAGUGUCCAGUCACAUGCCUCCUUCCACGGGGCUGGGGCAGCCCUCAGGGUCCUCGGCAGGGUGCAGGGCGAGCGCCUUUCUGAGCCCUCGGUCUGCAUGUGUUCUCAGGGCCCUGCGUGCGGUGCACGCUCGUGGUUCAGGUGCAGAAUUCAUCGAUCCUGGGCUUCAGAUCCGCACAUGCCCUUUCAGCCCGCCUCCCUCCCUCCGGGCCCGAGGCCUGUGCGUGUUGCUCUGUUUCCUUAGUGCUGGUUUCGAAGUGGCUUUGGGCCUUAUCGAGUGGGAUUCGUGUAGUUCUGGGACUUACUUCUCCUCUGCAUUUUGUUCCUGAGGCCAAAGGCACGGCCAGGUCUCCUUGGGCUCAUUCUCCCGGUGCUCUGCAUGCAGCUCUGCAGUGCACUGUGGCAUCUCUGCCAGCUCCAUGUCUGAGGGACGCCCAGGUUGCUUCCCUUUCCAUGCCAGCACAGACAGUGGCCAGAGUCUUCAGGGUGGAACGAGGGUGGCAGUCCUGCGGGGUCCCUGUGCGCCUGCUCUUCUCGUGCCGCCCACCCUCUUCCUCCGGCCCCACUCCAUGUCUUUGUCAGCACCAAAUGGUGUUGGACAGGGCUGUUGCCAGGCUGUUGCCAGUUCACACAUGUGGGUGUGAGGCGGUCUGUCUGGCCUCAGUCUGUUUUCCUAGCUCAGGUGGGUGACCUUUCAUGUUUACUGGGCCCUGAGGUCUUUCCUGUAGCUCAUUGCUCUUGUUUUUAUCUUGGAUUUGUCUUGUUUUUCUACAUUUCCUCUGUGUUGGGGACGGAAACCCUCAAUGACGUGCUGUGGACACCCCCGUGGGUCGUGCCUGCUGUGGGCAGGAAUUCCCACUCCUCUCGCCCGCACCACUCUCCUGUCAGUUGGUUUAAUGAUGUGCCUUUGUGUUCUCCAGGAAAGUGACCUCGUUGAUGGCGUGAGGUCGUGUGAGCAGGGAGAGGGACUCUAACGUUUUUUCCACGAUUUGAGCAGCAAAUGGUCCAGACCGUGUAUUCUGCCUUUUUCUGCAGACCUGCAGUACUGGCCAAGGAGAGCCAGUGUCCCUUGGGGCCUCUCGGUCAGUUUUCUAUUCUGGUGUUAAAUGCGUCUUGAUUUUUGCAGCUUUCUCGUAAUUCUCUGUUUUCCAGGGCAGGUUAGGUUGCCCUUCUCAUUGCAGUAUAGAAAUGCCUUAUGUAUUUUGGGCUUUCUGUUAUUGAACAUGAAGUUGAGAAUCAGUGUGUCACAUUCCUGGGUUUGGCUGGCUGGCUCUGGGUCCGCCUGCCCAGGCACGAGCCUUCACGGGGACCUCCUACCCUGAGCCCACGGCAUGUCGUCUUUGGAUGUGUGGUCUUCUUUCACGUCUUUUGAUAGAGCCUUGUCAUUUUCUCCAUGAAGAUUUACAUAUCUUAAAUUUGUUUCAACAGAAGAAGAACAACAAAAACAUGCUGCUAUUUGGCUGCUAUUUUCGGUGGUACUCUUCAGAGUAUGACACUUCUCCAAAUGUUUGUUGCUGGUGUACAUAUACAGUUGUUAUUUUAAAAAGCAGCGUCCAGAGAUUUUAUUUAAUUUAAAUGUUUUGCUCUUUUAACUUUUUAAACAUGGAUACUUUCAAACAUACAAAAGUAGACAUGGUGAUGUGUCUACCCCCAGGGCAGCCUUCUGUGUUCUCUGUUGCUACCCCCCCACUCCUGCCCGGCUGAGCUUGUCUGGUCACCUGGCCUGAACAUCUAGUUGUCUCCAGUGACAGGGUUCCAGCGCUGCAGCGUGUCUCAGCCUCGAUGCUGGGUCACUGAGUUCUCCCGUGGCUGUUCUUGUGACACUUCUGUGUACCUUCUGAGCCCAUGAUUGCCUGGGUGCCUCCAUCUCGAUUUCUUUUGCCUCGAGGUCUGUUUGCUGGAGGGAGCAGGCUUCUGUGGAGUGUGGCCGACCUCUGCCCACUGUUUUGCACGCAGCUUCUGCUAAACUCCUCUCCCUAAUGGCCGUGACUUGUCCGUGGCAUCUCCUCAGUUUCCUGUAAGAUGACGUCGUUGUCUCUUCCUGUCCCUGGCUUCAUCCUGUUUGUUUUCUUCCCUUCCUGAGUUAGCUGGAGCCUCUCUCCGAGGAUUGAUGGAAUUGGUGACUGUAGAUGGUGCCCUGACUUACGAAGGGUCCUGCCCCCAUGAGCCAUCAUGAGCGUGAAUAUGCUGGUGUUCCUCCCUGGCGUGCCCAGUCUCCCUGAGGUGCUCAGGACCCUGCAGUACCUACAGCUGGGAGCAGAUGGCCUCACACCAAGGCUGUCUUAAUGAAGUGUUGACUCCUGACGCACGGAGACUGGCGUCUGCAGACACCAGGUGCAGGACCUCAAGGCAUGGUGUCCAGAAGGCUGUGGCAGCACAGCAAUCUGUAAAGUUGUAGUAGCUUCCUUGGUGAUCGUGGGAUUGCCUGGAUCUGCCCAGAAUUGCAGGGGAGGGUCCCCUGUGUGUCACCAGCCCAGGAAAAGGUCACAGUCCAGACCUUGAUUUCUAGUAACUGCUUUCCCACUCACAGUGAAAAGUCCGGCCGAACCGUCCCGAGUCACGACCCUCAUGUAUUCCUGUGAAUUUGUGGGCACAUAGGACUGUGUAUUUCUGGGAUUUUGCUGGGAGACUGGUUUUGUUUGUAGGAGUUCUGACUUCCUGUUAAGUUCCCUUAUAGUAAAAAUCUGUUCAGGUUUUUGUUUCUCCUUGGGUCAUUUUUUUAAGUGGCAUUUUCUGGAAAAGCAUCUGCUUCAUCCAGAUGUUCCCGUGUAUUGAGGUGGAAGGAAUGUGCACAGAGCUUGUCCUGGCCAGGUGCCACGUGGGCAGCACCCUGGGUGGGCUGGAGCGCAGACUCCAAAUAGCCUGCUCUGGGCCCAGCACCAUCUGAAGGUAGCAGGCGAGUUGGCCCCUGCGCUGGGCCACCUGGGGUCCAGGUUGAGUGAGUUGCUUCCUGUGUAGCCAGGGCCUCAGGAGGCAUGCAGUGGCCAGUCGCCCUUGUUUGACUCAGGUUGUCAGUGUCCGAGUGAUGUCCCCUUCACUCCUGACAGUGUGUUCGCCUUCCCGUUUUCCUCUUUGAAAUAGGUGUACAGAUCUCUGUGAUGUGACUUCUUCAGAAAGACUUCAUCUUUCUGCUACUUGUUAGCUUCAAAUUUUAAUUAAUUUCUGCUUGUAUUUUCUUUAUUUUCCUCCCCUUUUCUCGAAUUGAUGCCAUUUUAUUUUUUCUGACUUGCAGAUUGGAUAUUCUUCUUGUUCAUAGGCAAUACUCAGCUUUUAUUCUUUCCUAAUAAAAGUAUUUAAAAUAAAUAAAUUUCCAAAGAGGUACACUUAGUUGAAUACCACACAUUUAAAAACAGAGUAUUUAAAAAAUUUUUUAGUUCUAAAUAUUUUCUAAUUUCAAUUAGGAUUUCUUUGACCCAGGGAUUAUUUACAAAUAUUACUAAUUUCUAAGCAUAUGUAUUUUUUUUCAUGUCUUUUAAAAGUGAUUUCUAGUGUAAUUUCAUUUCCAUCAGAAAAAGGCUGGUGUUGUCUUGACAUGUUGACUUUUCACACUGGGGCUUUGUCAGGGUGCUGGUGGGGUCUUAGCUCACUCUUUGGUGCAGUCCCCUCUACCGUGGUUGGUCUGUGAAGGCUUCGGUGGGGCUGGCUGGAGAGGCCCAGUCACUUCCAGGCAGGACAGCGGGGAGACAGACAGCUGUGGAGGGACAUGCCUGCAGGGUGAGGACAGCUACAUUUACCCAGUCUCUGCUGGGCACCGAGGUCCUGUUUCCCCAUCCGUAAUUAUGCAGCUUUAGGGCUUGUUCUCCAUUGAACUGUCUGGUCCCAGAGCAGCCAGCUUGGGGCGCCCGGAAUGUUCCCUCUCUCAGCCUCUUUUUGGAUUCCGUCUUAGGGAAAAGUCAGUGAGGCAGGCAGAGGUGCUCACCAUAGCAUGGUUUCACAGUGCCAACUCAGAAAGACUGUACGUACCAGUGCAGGGGUGCGGUCCACUAAGUGGCAGUCCAUAAUGCAGUCUGACACCUCACGAAAACCUUAGUGUAGUGGGGCACUGGCACAACCGAUGUGACCCAGCCACUUGGGAGUGAAGGCAAGAGGGUUGUGAGUUCAAAAUUAAAAGUAAAAAGAGGCUGGGGAUGUAGCUUAGUUGCAGAGGGUUCAAUUCUUAGUACCCCCCUCCCCCGCAAAAAAUUAAAAUAAACCACAGUGUUGAAGGACCUUGAGUGAUUUGCUAUGUGUUACAAUUAGUGACAAAUGUGGUAAAUAAAAGAAGCAAAGCCAUAUACAGUAUUUUAACAGGUUAACAUUUAUCUGGGGAUAUCUUUUUUUUUUUUUUUUUAAUUUAUAGUUGUAGAUGGACAGCAUGCCUUUAAUUGUUUUAGCUUUUUAUGCGGUUCUAAGGGUUGAACCCAGUGCCUCACACAUGCUAGGCAAGUGCUCUGUUACUGAGCUACAGUCCUAGCCCCAUCUGGGGAUAUCUUGGUUGCAAAUAAUUUAUUUUUAAAUUCAUAAUUGUCUGCAUUUUUAAAAAAGUAUUUAUCUUUAUUUAUUUUUGUGUGGUGCUGAGGAUUGAACCUAGUGUCUCACAUGUGCAAGGUGGGCACUGUACCACUGAGCUACAGCCCCAGCCCUAAUUGUCUGCAUGUAAUUUGUAUUAUUCUACUCUAAAACAAUAAAUGUCCCAGGCUUGUCCACCCCCAAGUUCAAGGUGUGUGUGAUUCAGGUGAUCACACUGGACCAGCCCUUGUAGGGGUGUUUGGGGGAUCCCUGUGAGAUAAUGGGCCCUGCAGCCUGGCUGGGGUGGCCGGGUGCCGGCGUGGUGAGAUGCGUGAUGGUGGGGGCGCAGGCAGGGCAGUGUGGGUCCCCACUGCUGAGCAAAUGGUGGUCCCAGUCACUGAGCGUCUGUACCUCCUCUGGGCAGUGACUGCUGGGUGGAGACUGUGUCUUCUGCAGGGAGAGCGUGGGAAGGGGGCCCUGCAGGUUCUCAGACACUAGGCGUAGGUCCGGGCAUCACCCCCGUCUGUGAUUGGCCAGGGCUGCGUCUGUGGCCUUUCUCCCCAGGUGUCCAGAGCAUUUGCUCUUACUCUGUCUCUGAAGAUCACCUGGUGCGGUUCUUUGUCCUGUGGGAGCCUCCACCCCUAGAGCAGCUAGAUUGCAUCCUUCCCUCUCUCCUCCCUGACUUAGCUGUUUCUCUGCUGUGGCUAAAGGAUCUGACCAGAACAACUGUAGAGGCUCACAGAGGUCUUAGUCCAUAGAAGGCUGGCUCCAUUCCUCAGGGCUUGAGGGGAGGCGGAACAGCAUGGUGGAAGAGUUGGCAGAAGGAAGCAGCUCACAUGUUGAUCAGGAAGCAGAGAGAGUUUCUAUCCCCCAGAUACAAAAUAUAUACCCCAAGGCCAAGUCCCACCUCCUCCACCCAUUCCCUACCACUCCAGUUACCACUCAGAUAAUCCUCAUUAAGGGAUUAAUUCACUGAUUGGGUCAAGACUCGCAAUCCAAUCAUUUCUCCUCUGAACCUUCUUGCAUUGUCUCACACAUAAGCUUUUGGGGUACACUUCACAUCCAAACCAUAAUACUGCCCUCCUGGCUGGUCUCCUCGUCCCAAGGCAGAACUGGAGUAUGUGUGGCCAUUUCUGGACAGUGAGCCAGGAGGCCUGGGUCCCCUCGCAGAGUCUGUAAGACCAGGGUAGCUUGGGGCAGUGCAGCCCUCAGGCAGGUGUACGGUGGAGGAGGCACAGGGAAGGUGGCCUCUGCAGAAGGGCCUGGGUGGACUUUCCUCCUGCCAGAGAGGCCUCUUCUUGGUGCUUCUAGGGAACUGGCCAGGGGGACAGGGCAGAGCUGUUGGUCUUGCAUGCUUCUCUUGAGGGGGCUUAGGUACCUUAAAAAAGUCUGCCCCGAAAGUCUUCCAGCAUUGGGGGCUGUGCCCCUGCCUGUGGGAAGCCCACCCUUGCUCCUACGGAGCUGAGUAUUUUCUUGGCAGCAGACCGGGCCCUUGCCUCCAGGAAGCCACAGCUUGGAGACAAAGCUCACGGGUAGGGAAAGACAGGGAGGCUCUGGUGCUGCUUGCUGGCCUGGCCGGGGCCCCGGUGGGCUGGGGCGGGAGGGCUGUGGCACACUGGGUGGCAGGGGAGCGUACUGCAAAUCAGGCUUUCUCUCCUGCUGCUGCCAUGCUCCAGCGUGGGCAUGGAGGCCAAGGCCAGUGCCCACUGGGCUCAUGAGGCUGUGCUUUGGCAGGCGGCCAGGUGUAGAUGGCACUCUGGCCUUUUGCUGGCAAGGGCUGUUCUCAGGCAGGGGUUGUCCUAGGGGUAGCCCCAGCGGGAUGGACAGGGCCCAGGGGUGGCUGUCCCUGCCUUUCUGCCAUGGUGGUGAAGAAGAAGGGAAGACAGGCAGGCCAGUGGAAGCUAGGGGGUCUUGAACCCAGGACUCUGGGUGCCCAGCAGGGAGGUAGUCAGGAGCAGGCAGCUGUGUCCUGAAGCAGCAACCACAGAGGAGGCGCCCUGGGAGCUCUGCCGAGCUGCCACCCCCGCCAGGUCCAGGGGCCUAAACACCCGCUUUGGUGCCUUUCCAGGACUAGGCGCUGCCUCCAAGGGCCGCCGGACCCUGGAGCCCGCCUCGCCCCCUGCCUCUGGCCCGAGGAAGGACCCUGCUCUGGGGCCCCCUGGCCGGAGGGCGGGACCGAGUGCCAGCCGGGCCAAGAAGAGGAAGCCCAACUUCUGCCUGCAGGAGACGGAGGUGCUGGUGUCCAAGGUCAGCAAGCACCACCAGCUGCUGUUUGGCACGGGGCUGAUGAAGGCCGAGGCCACCCGUAGGUACCGUGUGUGGAGCCGCAUCCUGCAGGCCGUGAAUGCCCUGGGCUACUGCCGCCGUGACGUCGUUGACCUGAAGCACAAGUGGCGGGACCUGCGUGCUGUUGUGCGGCGCAAGCUGGGCGACCUCCAGAAGGCCACCCCUGAUCCUGGCCUGGGCUCCGGCAAGCCACAGGCCUUGGCCCUCACACCUGUGGAGCAGGCAGUGGCCAAGACCUUCUCCUGCCCAGCCCUGCCUGCCGAGGGCAUUGGCCUCGAGCUGCCCAAAGGUGAGUUCCUGGGCCAGCUCGCCCUCCAGACCUGUGCGGUGGCCAGAGGGAGGGUGGCUGCACCUUGGCCGCAUUGCUACACCUUCCUCCACAGUGGUCUCCUCCCUGUCCAUGUCUUCCUCUGUCCCACUGUUGUCAUUCAGAAUGUCCUCGUUCAUUGUUCGUUGCCCCACUCCCUCGUUCACUUAUGCCUGUUCAUGAUGUUCAGACAUCUUUAAUGUGCCAAGGUGCUCAGAAGUGGGUGGUGACUGCCCACCUAGCUCUUGCCAGGGCCCGCCUUGCCCUGUCCUGGAGCCACGCGGAGCACAGGGACAAGUGAGCCUACUUCUCUUCUCCCAGUCAUUUAGGCAGUCUCUUCAAUGUGAUGGGAGUAAGAGAUGUUGGGAUCGUAACCACUGCUGAGUUACAGGAAUUUCAAAGCUGGAUAUUUUGCUGCUUUUUCCUGUCCUAUUCAUUUAAAAAAAAAAAAAUGCUCACUGUGACUUGCUAAGUUGGUUCAAUGACCUGGUUUCAGAGCUGUAAUGUGAGAUAAUGCUGCUGUGUGAUGGUAUUUAUUUUUUUAUCUAGUUAUUAUCAUGGAUUAUACCCAGGGGCACUUAACCACUGAACCACAUCCCCACCCCAUUUUGUUUUUUUAUUUAUAAGUUGCUUAGGGUCUUGCUAAGUUUCUGAGGCUGGCCUUGAACUUGAAAUCCUUCUGCUUAUUUAUUUUUAAGAGGGGGCCUGUUGCUGUGUUUGACAGGUUGGCUCUGAAUACCUGGGCUCAAGCCGAUUUCCAGUCUCAGCCUCCAAGUGGCUGGGAUGCAGGAGGGUGCCACCGUACCCUACGCUAUGUCCCUGCCCGUCAGAGACCUCAGUCCUGGUGGAUUCAGCCUCCUGCAUUAUGGUGGGCAGGUUGAGACCUGGGGGAAGGGUUUGCCUAGGGCCUUUCUUGGAGCACCCAGAGGGUGUAACUCUGGGGGCAAAUGACAGGUUGGGGAGGUCAAGAGAGGUCAGUUAGGCCUGAAGUCCAGGAGCUCUGAGUGGGGCCCAGAUAUGUGCAGGUGUGGGUGACUCCUAGGCCAUGGCAGCAGCUGCUGUACUAGGCCAGGAAGGAGUUGUGGGCCCUGCAGAGGAUCCCAGUUGUGGAGGGUCGAGGCCCUGUUCUGCAGGGCCUGCAGUGUGAUAUCGGGUUACAAUGUCUCCAGAGCUCAGGGCUGUGGCUGGAUGACCAUGACGGUCCCUAGUGUGUGUGCUCAGAUCUGCUCUGCCGCCCAGGGGCGUGUGCAGUGAAGACGAGGUGCCCCGUGCCGAUGCCUGUGGCAGAGCUGGCAGCCUGCACAGUGUCUGAACAGGUGCUCCAGGCCCCUGGCCUGAGGGUGGGCCUUGGAGAGCUUUGAAACCAGGUCCUUAAAACAGGUAGAGAACUUAAGACUUGUGAAGAUGGUGCCAUCUGACUAGCAGCUGGCAUGUGUACUGUCCCCUUCUCCGAUACCACCCUGUGCUGGACAGUCUUCUGGCUGCUGUUCCUUGUUUUCUGCAGGACGUGGUGUCCUGGAAGCUGUAGGACCUGCCCGUGUGCUGUCAGGUGGUGGGGGCCCUGGGAUCUCUGAGGGCAAGGUCUGGAAAGGUCCCUGGGUCCAGACUGUGGGGCCCUCACUUGCUUCCUGCAGAGGUGAGGUUGAGGGGCUGCCUGAGGCCACACAGCCAGGGUCUUGCUAAGUUGAGCUGGUGCUGGGCCUUUGGCAGGCACCACAGUCUCUUAUUUUAUUAUUUUAUUUCUUAAAUGAAAUAAUAGUCACACAUCAGAAUUCACCAUUUCACCCUUCUUACGGUGUGUAGUUCAGUGGUUUUCAGCAUAUUCUUGCCGUCAUGCGUCUGUCACCUCCAUGUAACUCUAGAGCAGAUCUUGUCACUUGCAGGCAGCCCGUGCUCUCUAGCAUCCGCUUCCUGCCCCUGGCCUUGCAUGAUCUGGCUCUUCUGUGGUGGCACCUCCCAUGCACCUUCAUGUUGCUGGUGACUCUUCCAGCCUCAACCUUCUCUUCUGGAGAGUGGGAUUGAGUGCUCCGCAGUCGGUGCUGUUGGCGUUUUGGGACAGUCUUCACAGGGCGGUGCUUCUACUUAGACGGGGAUUGACACCUAGGAGUUGAAUUGCGGCUUUGACCACCAGCACACUGUUUUUCCCAGUGCUUGUACCUGAGCAGUGGGAGCGAGCGCACUUGCUCUCCACCCUUGCCAGAGCUGGCGUCGUGGGACUUCGGGGGUCCAGGCACCGUGGGUGGUGAGGACUGGUGUCUGGUUGGUUGAGGUUGGGUUUGCCUUUCCCUGGUGUGGAGCGUCCUGCUGUGUGUACUGGCUAUUUGUAGUGUCUAUUUGAACCCAUCGCAGUGUGAUAUCGGGUUACAGUGUCACUGAGCUCAUUAUUCUGAACAUUAUGUUAUCUUGUCACGUGUCUGAAUUUGAAUAUUUUCUUCAGACUGUGGCUUGUCUUUGUUUUUGCAGGUGAAAAGUCUCACUGUUUGAGCAGUUUCUCCCUCUGUGCCUUUGUUUGUGUCCUGCCUCAUAAGUCUUUGCCCACUCCCAGGCUGUGAGAAGUCCCUGCUGCUCUAAGUGUAGAAGUUCUGGGCCUCAGGCUUCUGCACUUGAACCUGUGACGCACACUGAGUCAGCGUUGUGCGUGAUGGGUUUGGGUCAGUUGGGUUUUAGGUGCUGGGCUGCUUUGCUGUCUCUGUCUCAGGCAGAUGGCCGUUCACUUGGCUGCCCACUUGCUUCCGUCUAUCUGAAUGUCUGUUGGAGUAAGUUGUAGGUUAAUCCCGUGAGACUGCCAGAGACCCCAAGUCUCCUCUCUGCUGGUCUGCAGUGGCGCUCCCCUCCUCUCCUGGGGGCUGGCUGCUCUGCAUUGGCUCUUUUGUCCUUGGUUAGUCUGGUUUAAGUUUGUGGUCUUAGAAUUAGUCUGAUGUAAAUGUACUGAUUUUAUUCAUCAUUUGAGAGAACCUGAUUAUAUUGAUUUUCUCUAAUGUCUAUUGAAUUAUGUUUGAUCAUCUUUGUUUUUUGUUCCUUUUGUUUAUUUAGGUUCAUUUUGCUUUUGUUAGAUAAUCGACUUAGGCCCAUUCUUAUUUUCUAAUAUGUUUGUUGCUAUAAACUUUCUUUUUUGCAUUGCUUUACUUAUAUAAAUAUGUCACACUUUCAUUUCAUUCAUUUAAAAUAUUUUCUGGUUUCCCCUGUGAUUUAUUCUACGUGGCGUUCAUUUAGAUGUGUGCUGUUUAAUGUGAAGUAAUGAUGUAUGCUGGCAGAUUUCUUUUUGCUGCUGAUCUCUAGUUAAUUCUGUUGUGUUCAGAGAAUGUAUUUUUCAUGAUGUCCACUCUCACAGAUAUGUCUGUGGCCUUGCUGUCUGUGUGUCCACCUCGGCGCGUCCUCCAGGUGCGCUGACUUGUGCAACAGGGCACCCCCCAUGUGCGCUCAGGUUGCACUCAGAGGCGUGUUCUCCUCACCUGAGUCCUUGCCCAUUUUUUGUCCACAACUGUUGACUGGGGGUGCAGGGUUGGGGGUCGACUCGGGACUCCGCUGUGGGUUGAGGUUCCUUCUUGCAGUUGUCAGUUUGUGCACCUGUGUUUCUGGGGCUGGGGGAUGCGGGUUCCCGUGUGUUUGGGUCUGUUUUGUCUCUUCUCCAGGUUGCAGGUGUCCUGCCUUUGGCUCUACCUGGGAGGAGUGCAGCUGCUCUGGCUCCAUGCGAGAGCUUUCGAAGACGUGAUCUUGCGUAUCAACAGCAGGGCUUUGGAGUAGUUGUACAGUGGAGUCUUCCCUUCCUCUGAUUGGACAGUCUCUGUUUUCUGAUUGCAGUGGUUGAGAUGUGCUGUCCGCCAGAGCCUCUGGAGAUAGCGGGAGUGUUGUGCUGUGUGCACACGUGGCUGUGGCGGCCGAGGAACUGGAUUUAUAAUGGUAUUCAAUCGCAGUAUAGUUCAUGCCAGCUCUCUGCCCCGGCUGGCGGCUCGGGCCUGGCCGGGCACGUUGGCUCCUUUAUCUUUAGUGUGAUGCUGUGUGUUUCUGUUUGAAUCUGCCGCCUUGGUGUUUGCCCCCUGCAUUGCCCUUCUGUCUCUCUCCCCUGCCCCUGUCCUGGAGUAGUGAGUGCUGCUCAGGGUUGGUGUCACUUCUCUGACCCACUGCAGCUUCCCCUGCCUCCCUGUGCUCUGCAGUCUGGAGUGGCUUCAGUCUGGGGGGUCUGGGCUGGCCCCCUUUUCUCCAUCAGCCCUAAACUGUCCUCUGCCCCGAAUGAGAGCGGCUUAGGUGGGAAUUGUGUGGCUCCUUUGUCACAUCAGAGAGUGGCCACCUAUGGCUGUGUGACCUGGGAGGGCAAGGGGCAGAGAGGAGGACUGCCCUUCCACACUUUGUGUGCUGAGGAGGUCACUCCACAGCACAUCCUCUCUUAGUGAAUGCUGACAUGCGUGUGUUGGGUGAAGGGCAUCUGUGCUGUUGAGGCAGAGACCCACAGGAGAUGGGGCACGUGUCGCUCCUGUACCGCAGUCCAGCCAGGCCAGGUGGGCAGUGUGCGCCCUCUCCCCAAGGGUGCUGUCCUUCAUCUGCGUGGUCACAGCAGAGUUGCACCCCACGGCAUCCCAGCCAGGACAGGAGGACUGAGUGAGAGGCAGCCGUCGGGUGGCUGUUUCUUUUAAGCGUGUGAGAGGGAGCUCGCACACUUCACUUCUCAAAUUCUGGGGUGGUGGGUCAUGGGGAGCGAGAGUCAACCUCUUUGAUUGCAAGGGAGGCUGGGAAAUGCCCACAGCUAUGUGGCUACAUGCCCAGGAUUUCAGAGCGAUGGCCCACAGUGCCCUAGCUUGCAUGGCCAGGCGGUCUCUGCCAGUGUUCCCUGUGGUGUUGCUCUUGUCUGCUGAGAUGGGGACUCUGCACAGGUGUCCUCCCCAGAUUUUGGUGGAGGGCAAAGAGCCAAUCCUGGGAUGGACGCUGUAGCUGUCUUUGCUCUGUGUCUGGGCCUUCGGGCCUCCAUCUUCAUCAUCAACACACAUCUCUCCCCUCCUGUGAUGACUGCACCCCGGGGUGCCAGCUGGCAACCCUGCCUUGGCUCUGCAGUCCGGCCCUCCUGUUUUCCCUGUGAUCUCAUUCUCCGGGUCCCCCAGCAGGGUCAGAAGUAACCCAGUGCUUCUGCUGUGUGCCCAGAUGCCUGUGCUCCCCCUGGGGGCAGGGCCUCCUGGGCUGCCCACACCUGUGUUCUGCAUCAGGCCUUGGCAGCUUGGACCCUGGACCAGAGCUGGGUUGCACACCUCUCCCAUGCCAGCCAGGACACACUGGACGGGUCCACGACCUCCAGCUUGCUGGGCCACCAGGGCUCUGCAGUGACCGGGCGGCUGCACAGAACUUAGAGAGCCCCAAGAGCCGUGUGCUCCUGGGUGUAGCCAGGCUGGCCCCUGGGCUCUCAGCUCAGCUUUCUGGAUGCAGGCCACCCCCCAUCCCCCAGCCCUGGGCUCAGUGUCCUUCCACCACAUGGACACCUCUGAUAACGAGGCAGAUGGUGUCUGCCCUCGGUGCCAAGCUCUGCCCUAUGAAGGCCGGCCUCUGGCCCUUGUGGGGAGUGCUGAUCCAGCCCUGUGGCUAUGGAGCCUUGUUGCUGUCUCCCUGGUUGCCUAGAGGCAGCAUCUGCAGCCCGCCCAGCCACUGCAUGCAGGGCUGUGUGCCUGGAAGAUGUGUUCCUGUGGGAGCGGCAGUGCCAGCACCAGGUACUGUGUCGGCCAGGGCCGAGCUAGUGAGCCACAACACUUGCUGGAAGAGGCUGUCCCAGCCAUGGCCUUCAGAAAAAGAAAAGGGUGGGGAUGGAUGCUGCCCUGUAGCCUGGGGAGGGUCUGUCCCCUCCGGCAUAAACUGCCAUGUCACCUAAACUUGGGUCUUGUGGAGAGCAAGGGUGCUUGGAGCCAAAGAGCUCCUUGGUUUCUUUUUGCAGACAAUAAAAAAUGGGAGUGGCUGUUGUCUGCGCUUUCGCUCCAUGUCUUUGUGUAGGAAAACUGUCAUGAUCCCCCGUCCACAGCUGAGAACUUGAGGCUGUGAGAGCCCCCGUGACAGGUCCCAGAACCCAAGCCUGUGGAUGGCAGGCUGGGUUUGGGAGGAGAUCUCAGGCUUGGAGGGGCCUCCCCAAGGGGGUGUGUGUGGCAGUGGCGUGUGGUGGAGUCCUGCCUCCUAGAGCACUGCCAUGGGCUGUGGGGCUGCCCCUGCACGCCUCACCACACCACACUCACAGCCACUGAGGGCUUGUCUUGGAGGCCAGGAGGCAGCUUCUACUGCCCCAGUGAUCUUGCUACAGUUCUGCCCCAAGUGCCCUGCCUUGGCAGAUGGGGACCGUGAGUGUUUCCUCUCCAUGUUUCCUUACUGGUCAGCGGUCACUCCUCCUACUGCACUCUUCAGCUGCCCUCUGUUCUGCCUCGGCUGCCACCUGCACAUGUUGGUGCCAUGUCGGCCACAGGGGUGGCCAGGACUGACCAAGCUGGGUGGGAGGGAGCUGGAGCCGCAGUGAGCCAAUACAGAGGAGUGAGGCUUCCUUGAGGCAGCAGAGGCAGGCAGUCAUGAGCGGAAGGGGGCAGGCGUCUCUGGAUGAGGGGGCUCAGGAGGACUUGUGAGGGUAAGGGCACAAGGAACUGUCCUCAACCGGGAGGUGCUAGUGAGAACUGGCCCAUCUGGAAGGCAGGUCUUGUCAGGCUUCUCAGGCUCCCUGUCCUCCAUAGUAAGUCCUCAUCUCCUGGAGGCUGACCACAGCACAGGGCCUGGAGCUGACUUUGACCACCAGGAGAAGGCACGGUCAGCCUUGACCAGAAGGGCUGUGUGGACUUUGGCCUGGGCCAAAGUGAAGGUGGGCUUUGAGGAGACCCAGGCAGAGUGGCACAGCCCAGGGAUACAUCGGAAGGAAAUGUCAGGGCUACCAGGUAAUCUCCCUGGCUUUGUGGUGUGGAAGGGUUGCUACCUCUCCCACCCUGCUGGGGAGGAAACUGGGCUGGGGCACUGGACCCCUGCUAGGACUGCCACCUGGGACUACUGGCUCAGCUGGGGAACAGCCCCCCUCGCCCUUCGGUCCUGCUGUGGCUCUUCCUGUGUCUGACUCUACUUCUGAUGCAGGUUGGACCUGGUGGCCAGCAUGGCCACUCUAGUCGUAAGAGACAUUUAUCCAUCGCCUGCAAAGACCUGUCCAGGCCUGCAGGUGUGCAGCAUGAGUGCUGUGGGUGUACGGCACUGGGUCUGCUGGCAGACAGGGUGGGAGGCGGCCUGGAGGGCUCCCAGAUCAGGGAUAGUGGGGUGGCCAUGGUGAAUCGUGCGUCCCUGCUCUGAUCCCUGGUGUUUUAGUCAGUUUUUUUUUUUCUGCUGUGACUAACAGAUCUGAUCUGAACAAUUAUAGAGGAGGAAAUGAUUCCAUGAUCUCAGAGGUCACAGUCCAUGGACAGCUGGCUCCAUUCCUUGGGGCUUGAGGUGAGGCAGAACAUCACAGUGCAAGAAUAUGGCAGAGGGAAGCAGCUCACAUGAUUAUCAGGAAGCAAAGAGAGAUUCCACUCACCAGAUAACAAAAUAUAUACCAAAAGCCAUGCCCCAAUGCCCACCUCCUCCAGCCAUACCCUGGCUGCCUUCAGUCACCCUCAAUUCAUCCCCUCCAGGGGAUUAAGUCACUGAUUGGUUUAAGGCUCUCAUAACCCAAUUAUUUGUCCUCUAAACCUUCUUGCAUUUUCUCAAGGGUACCCCACUGGUCACUUCUCAAGAGAAUUUUUGGUUUUACCUCCUUGAAUCUGAGAAGUGUAUGGUCUUGUCAGCUCCUGAGAUGCCCUGAGGCCAUCUUUCUCCUUGUCUCUGGGCAAAGUCUUUCGCAUUUCUUUAGUGGUAGUAAUGUUUUUAAAAACUGCAACUUACUUAGUCCCAGUUUUACCCUCACCUUCAAGUUUUUUUCAAGUGUCCUAAUUAUCACAAUAAUUUGGCUAAAAGCCUCCAACAAUAUCUUAUGCUGAAUGCUAUGUGUUCUCUAGAAAUUUCCUCUGCCGGAUUAAAAAGUCCACUGUUUUUAAAAUCAGUCUCACAGAAUGUCUCAAGACACAGGCAAUAUGCAGACAACUUCCCAGCCAGAACGUGACAUAAGUAGUGUCCUUCUUUUCCUCGAAACCUCUUUGAGUCCUAUCUUCAUUAUCCAUGGUACUCCUGCUGUUCUGGUCUUCUGAGCUCCCCCCACAAUUGGCCAUUAAGUUCCACUUACCACUUCUAAACCAUUUCCAGCUUGUACUGCUAAGCAUCUCAAAAUUCCUCCCACCAAUUCCAGAAAGCUCCAAAAGUUUCUGAACCAUACAGUCAGGUUAGUCACAGCAUCAAUUUCUGUUCUACUCAGCUUUUUCACUGCUGUGAUUAACAGAUCUGACCAGAACUAUUAUAGAAGAGGGAAGGUUUAUUUGGGGGGCUCAUUCAGAGGUCUCAGUCCAUGGAUAGCGGGCUUUAUUCCUUGGGCUUGAGGUGAGGCAGAACAUCAUGGUGGAGGAAUAUGACAGAGGGAAGCAGCUCACAUGAUGAUCAGGAAGCAAAGAGAGAAGUCUUCACUUGCCAGGUACCAAAUAUAUACCCCAACGCCACACCCCAAUGUCCACCUCCUCUAGCCACGUCCCACCUGCUUUCAGUUACCAAUCAAUUAAUCCCCACCAGGGGAUUAAUUUACUGAUCCGUUAAGGCUCUCAUAACCUAAUUAUGUAUCCUCUAAACUUUCUUGCGUUUUCUCACACAUGAACUUUUGAGGGACGUCUCACAUCCGAACCAUAACACCAGAGGUUCCUUAGCAGUGAACAGUGCCCGGCAGUGUUGCCUCAUGAGUUGGCUGAGGGGUGGCAGUGAGGAGGAUGCCUGAUCGCUGGGGUCCUGCCUCCUCCCAGGACGGGUGCUCUUUGUACAGCAGCUCUGGCCACCCCUCCUCCUCCAGCCCUGAAUUGAAUCCUGCAGAAUGGACAGCCACCUUGGGCCUUGGAGCCUGCCCACGUGACUAUGGUAGUUCAUGCACAAUACUUUGGCUGAAAGCCUCCAACAGGUAAUUUGGAAGGGGCAAGGGCAGCCCCCAGGACUGGAUGGUUGACAUUUUCCUUCCCGAGGUCAGACCCCCUUUCUGGUGGUGUGACCUUGGGUGGGUGGUGUGGCCUUGGGUGGGUCUCCUGCUUCUGCCCUGGGUCUCUUUAUCUGUAAGUGGGGAGAGUGGCACUCUGGUUGUUGGGCUCCUUCUGUGUGCUUCUGCUGGAGAGUGGUGGUCCCUCCUCCACCAUGGGCACAGCUCAUCCUGUCCUGUCCCUUUCUUUGCUGCCCUGGCUGUGUCCAUCGUGAGCCUGGGCUUGGUGAAGGCAUCGCGGGGCUCCAGCGCCUUGCAGGUGCAGCAGUGGUGUGUGCAGGGUUGUCAGACGCUGUUUCUCAGGCCAGCGACAUGAGUGGAGCAGCCUCGCUGUGCUUCCAGGCUGUGCUGAGUACAGCAGCUGGACCUGGGGGCUUGGCAGGGGAGGGACGUGGCAGGCCUGUGAGCCUAGGAGCUGGUGCCUCAGCAGGGUGUGCUCAUUCUAGAGAGGCAGGGCCGACCCUGCCGUGGUCCAGCCAGCCCUGUGACUCUGUGGAGUGGGCUUGGGCCUGUGGCCUAGGGAGAAACCUCGUCAAGCCCAGGAGGGGGUACUUUGUUCUAGGCUCGUAGGCUGGCUCAGAGAGCGCAGACCUUUGGGUGUUCCCUGUGCUAACCAGCUGCUCAUUGCUGUAACCAAGAACAGCUAUCAAGGACAACUUAGAGGAGGAAAAGUUUACUUUGGCUCUGGGUUUCCGAAGUCAGCCAACUGCAUUGCUCUGGCCUGAGGUGAGGCAGGACAUUAUGGCAGAAGGGAGUGUCAAAGGGAAGCUGCUCAGCUCUUGGUGGCUGGGAAGCAGAAACAGAAGAGGAGCCAGGAGGAUAAGAUAUAUCCCUCUAGGGCACAUCCUCUUCCAGGCACACCCCACCUGCCUGUGGUCAACGCCCAGUAAUCCAUUCACAUUAUUAGUCCACUAAGUUACAGCGCUAAUUUAAUCUCACCAUUUUACUUCCUGAAUUAAUACAGGAGCUUGGGGGGGGGGGACAUCUCACAUGCAAACCAUAGCAUUCCACCCUGGCCCCCCAAAGCUCAUGUCCAUCUCACAGUGCAAAGUACACUUAGUCCAUCUCCAAGAGUCCCCAUAGUUUAUAUUUCCAGCAAAAGUCCAAGGUCUCCUCUGAGACUCAAGGUAAACUCUUGCUUGUGAGCCAGUGUAAAAAUCAAAAGCAAAUUAUAUAUAUCCAAUAUACAUUGGCCUAGGAUAAAUAUUCCAGUUCCAAAAGGAAGGCUCAGAGGCCUACAAAGAAGGCUGGGACCAAAAGAAGAUCGAAACCCAGUUAGGCAAAAAAGUGCUGUAGCUUCCUGUCUGACUUCUGGAGCACCCAGUGGUGAGAUCUCCUCUCCGCAGGGUUAGGCAGCCGCCUCCGUGGCCUUUCUUACCCACGUGGCUUCUCUAGGCCUGUUCUGACCACAGCCAGAGCCUUCCUUGGCAGGUGUUGCAUGUUAUUGGAUCUCCUGGGGGUAUCCUGGGGGUCUCCUGGGGGUAUCCUGGGGGUCUCCUGGGGCGUCUCCUGGGGGGGUCUCCUGGGGAUCUCCUGGGGGUCUCCACUACAGUUUGUGCUUCAUUGUCCUGGCUUUGCACAUGGUCCUCUCAGGGCCAGCGGCAGGGAUUCUGACCCUGCUGCCCUUGUCCUCUCAGGCUUUCCUUUGAAGUCCAGGGGAAGCCUCUGGGCCUCCACCUCCAGCAUUGUGCAUUGCUGCAGAACCAGCUCCACAUGGAUGAUGCCAAAGUCUGCUGCCAGGUUAAGCAGUAGCUGGGUUCCCUUGGACCAUGGCUACAGUGUCCUGGGAGUGCCUGGGCAGCCAAACCCCGUGAAAUGAAUCCUGGGGAAACAGCUUUCUAGGUCCCCUGUGAAAGCAGGGUGCCUUUGUGAUCUCUUUCACUUCUGCACCCUUGAACCUGCCAUGGGCGUGGUGUUCUAGUUCCUGAGAUGGCCUCACAGCAUUGUCCUAUUGUCUCUAGGCAAAGUACUUAGUUUCUCUUUAGUGGCAGUCAUCUCUUCAACACCCACAUCUUCCUGAGCCCUAAUAUUACGUGUUCCUUUGGCCAAACUGCAAGUUUUUCAGAUCUUUUCUUUCUGCCUUGUGUUCUUGAUUCUUCUAGUAAACCUGGCUAAAAGCUGCUGGCAACAUCCGAGCCACUGCCUCAAAGCUGUGGUUUUAAUUUUAAUGCUGCCUAAGUUUCCUUCCACCAGAUUAGUGAGUCCACCAACUGUAAGUUCAGCCUUACACAAACUCUCAGGACAGAAUGGAGACAACUUUUUUUGCCAGAAUGUAACAUGAACAUCUCUAGUCCAGUUCCCAAUGGAAUCCUCAUUCCCCUCUGCAACUCCAUGAGCGUAGUUCUUACUGUCUGCGUUCCUAUUGGGGUUCUGGUCCUCUGGGCUCCCACCAGAAGCACUUUAAGCUCUGCUCACAACAUUCAGAGCUUUCUCCAGCCUGCAUCUCUAAUCUUUUCCAAACUCCUCCUAUGAACAAGUUCCAAAGGCUUCUGAACCAUAUGGUCAUGUUAGUCACUGCAGUGACCCUACUCCUGGUACCAGUUUCUGUGUUAGUCAGCUUUCCAUUGCUGUGAACAGAAUACAAGGACAGUUUAGAGGAGGAGAAGUUUAUUUGGCUUACAGUUUCAGAGGUUCCCAUGGCUAGCCAAGUCCAUCGCUCGGAUCCCCAGGUGAGGUGGGGAGCAUCAUGGUGAAGUGCACUGUGGAGGGAAAUUGCUCACAUCAUGGUCGCUGAAGGAAGGAGUAGUCAGAGGACAAGAUAUGAUCCCCAAGGAUACACCCCCUGGUGGCCUACUUUUCCCAGCCAUGCCCCAUUAUUAAUCCAUCAAGUGAAUUAAUCCGCUGAUGGGGUUAUCGCUCUUAUGAUUCAUUAUUUCCCCUGCUAUGUCAACACAGGAGCUUGAGUGGAUACCUCAUAGUUGAACCACAGCAACCCAUUGGCAUCCUGGUGUCUCCUGCCCCACAUGCCCUGGCAGACCUCGCUCCGUGUCCUUCAGUCUUAAGUGUUUUAUCUUGGAGACUUGUGAGCGCAGAGAAGGUGGAAAGGGUUGCAGUGUGACCAUGGGUGCACCACUGCCUAGAUCCCACCUGCUGCCAUCCCAGCUGGCCCUCCUCGUGCCUCUGAGCCCUUUGGAGCAGCUGAAGCCCUCGGGUCUCCUUUCACUUCCUGGUUACUGCCUCUCCUUUCCUUUUGAGGUGAACUUUAAGUGCGUGAACUGCAGGCAACCAAAUGGUACUAUUCUGGGCCUUUUGGCAGAUGCCUGCACUGUGUUGCCCACAGCCCUGUCCAGGCACGGGGCCUCCCCUAUUCAGCAAGUCCCUGGUGCCCUGCCCCAGCCCAGCCCAGCGUAGCCCCAGCCACCAUAGACUGCUUUUCUCUGUUGGAGAUCUGACCGUGCACUCUGACGCCUGGCACAGUGUCACGCCCAGGGCGCCCCCGCAGGCAGGGCACACGUGCCUGCCAGUCUCCUGCAUCCCCUGCACUUGCACCUUCCAGGGUGGGCUCUUAGGAAUAGCUGCCACGGACUCUCUUACCCAGGGUUCCUGCGGCCUCGGCUUUGUUUCUCUGUGUAGGUGUCCAGAGUGUGAUGGCUGGCCGCAGGGCAGCAGGUGUCCUGGUGUCUGUGGCCGAGACCUUCGUUGCAUGGCUGCACAUUGCACAGUCACCCAGCAGUGCGCAUCUGGACACUGUCUUCCCCAGCACUUGGAGUUUCCCCACGUCGAUUUCUGUGGUUUUGUUACAUUGAGAUAAAAGUGCUUAGCACAAAGCCUAUGAUGGACUCUUAAAGUAUGCUAGUCACGGACCCUUGGUGCGGUCACAGGGUUGUGUGGCCAUCUCCACCUUCCCACUGCAGAGCGUGUCCAUCCACCGGGGCAGCUGGGCCUGUGCUAGCGUCACCGCCCCCUCCCAGACUGCUGGCAGCCGCCGUCUCCAUCUCUGUGGGCUGCCACCUCUGCAUGUGUGGUGUGAAUGGGAUCACACAUUUGGUGGCAUCUGUCCCCAGCCUGGUGUUUGGAGGACUCGUUCCUCUUACUGCUGAGCAGUGGAGCAGUACUCUGCAGUGUAGCUAGGCCCCGUCUUUGUCCUUGCUGGUGGCCUGACGGCAUGCGGGAAGUCUCCUCCUUCCCACCUAGCAGCGCUGCUCUGAGCCUUCUUGUGUGAGUCUUGUGUGAAUGGGAGUCCUUAUGUGCGUGCCCAGGAGGCUACUGCUGGGGUGCGGAGCCUCCACGUCCCCUCUCCUUGAGGAGCCGCCUCUCCCCCCAGCUUGGGUCCUGGGAGGGCAGGGGUGGUAUUUGUCCUGACCCUUUGCCUGUGGAAGCAGAGCUGGAAGGCAGGAGGGGUGGCGUGCAGGGCAGCUGGGCCUCUGGCUCCCUCCUCUGGGAACCACCUGGAGAGGCUGGAGGGGCCGGUCAUACAGGCAGCAUGGUCAUCUUGUGCCUCCUCUUCUCCUGUCUUCCUCUAGCCACACAGGUUGUUCCUCGUGACCUCCAGGAGCUGAGCCAGGAGACCUCAGCCAGUGUCUUCCAAAUCCACUCCAAUGGUAUGCCAUCUGCCUGCCCCCUCUCUCCUGGCUGCUCUGGGUCACUGAGGUGACAUCGGAGGCUAGCUGGUACCUGACCUUGCCCUGCCCCUACUGUCCUGCCUUCCACAGUCCCAGGUUCUUGGGGGCAGCUGGGGGCUGCUUGCAUGUCCAGUCAGCUCUUCUCCUCCUCGAUCCUGUCCCACCCUGGCUCUCCUCACUGGCUCUGUGGCUGUAGGGAUCCCUGGGAGGAAGGAGUGAACCCCGAUGGCAGGGCUGGUGGAACAGAGAUCACUGAGGCUAGGAUGGGGAGCAAGAGCCACACCCCAGACAUCCCUGGGAGAGGGACAGGCCUUCCCCAGGCCCAGGUGGGCUUGCUCUGGGUGGACUGUACCUGGGCCUGGGCCUGCUCCGGCACAAUAGGGGAGAAGGUCCUGUGGGGGUUGGGUAGGCCUCUGCUAGGAGGGGUGGACCCAGCCUGUAGGAGGCUGCUGUGCCCUGGUGUCAGGUCACAUAGUGGUCUGGCUGUCUCUGAUGCAGGGCCCAGUUUCCACUAUGGCCACGCAGAGGGCAAUGGGUUGGGGAGGGUCCUUCUAAUCCUUGUGCUUUUCCCAUCUUUUGUUGGACAGUGACCUCCUUGGAGAGGAGCCUCCGGUCCUUGGGGACACCGAGUGACACACAGGAGCUUCGGGAUAGCCUGUGAGUGGCAACUGCCAUCCCUGCGCCUGUGCAUGGUGCCGCACACAUGCAGCUUCACCCUAAACUGCCUCUCCUGAGACGUGAGCACCCUCCCCCGGUGGGCGUCUAGGUGGAGUGGACGCUGCUGAGACACACACCUGUGCUCAGGUGGUGUGCGUGCCAGCUCGCACACGCUCCGUGUCACCAGCAUGCUCCAGGGGGUCUUUGCAGUGCCCCAGGCUCACUGACAGGCCUGCACAUAUGUGCACACCUGUGGACACACAGGCUGGGCUGGAGUGGGGACCCCUGGUUUUGAUUCUGCACCUGUGGGAGUCCCACUGGGCUUCCAUAGAGAGUCACUGUCAGCCUCCCCUGGGCAGGACUGGGCUGGGAUGAGGUCUGAGCCCCAGAAGAGAGGCACGGGUGGUGCUGUCUGCUAAGCCAGGACCUGGUGGGCUGGGAGGAGAAGGGCAGGCUCCUUCCACCUGGGCUGCUGGGCAGGUUUGUGGGCUUGCAGGGCUCUGGGGACCUGCAGGCUGGAGCCCUGCUCUCCAGGCAGCAUGAGCAGUGCCAUCCCAGCUAGUCUGGACCUGUCCUGGUUCUGGCCUGCAGGGAUGCGGAGUGCUUCAUCCCCGGUCAGCAGAGCUGCUCUCUGGACCUACCACAAUGAGGGCCUGCUGUGUCUCCUGCACAGAGCUGUGGGUGAGGGCGUGGGACAUCCCCGUCCUCACUCCAGGGAGUGGCCGUGCGUGCAGGUGCCCUGUGUUCCUGGCACCAGCGGACCUUGGCAGACAUCGCCUGCUAUCCGUUUUUGAUCUUGGUAAAAAUGAAGUCCUUGUUUCUGGUUGUGAGAGAGGCUUUGGAUGCCCAUUCCAGGAAGCGUGGACCUUCAGAGUAUCUGAGGAGCCACUGUGACACGUGGUGCCUCUGGCGCCUUUCCUCAUAUCCUCAGGCCAACACCAGAGUUGGGUUUAAGUAGCGAGUGUUCUGGAAGCAGCGUUUUGCACUUGGGGUGAGUGGUGUGCCUGCAUCUCAUCAGGGACUUUGAAGAUGUGCUCGUGGUGGGGGCUGUGGAUGCUGUUGGAUGCGUGUGACUCGUAAUGUGGCCGGUUACUAGGAACAAUUCCCAGUGACAUCAUUGUGUUUAACCCUGUGUCACUGCCUGUCUCCUGAGUAUCCCUGGGACCAGAAGGUGGGAGUGUCCAGGUGGCCUUCACUUACGUAUCUUGGGCUACCUGCCUGGUUAGUGAAGACAUUAUCCCCAAACGUGGGCCUUGGAGAGGAGAGGGCUGUCCACGGAGUGGGCAGGUGGCCUGACGCAGGGCCUGGCCCGCAGUGACCUCAGCUCCAGCAGCAGCACCCACCUUGGCUCUGGGGCCAGAAGCGUACCUUGGUGUCUCUGCUCCUCUGCCACAGACCUGUCCACCUGCCUUCCAGAGCCCCCAUGACCUGACUGCUCUGUGCCUGUCGUGGGCACAGCACUGGCUGUGGGCUGCCUUCCUCCCUGUCUGCUGACCUUGCCCUGACCCCCUGCCCAUCCUGGUUGGUGGACCUUGGGUGAUUCUGCUCAUAAAGUCCACCAGGGGGCUUCCUGGUUCACAGAAGGGUGGAGGGGACUUGUGGGCCAGCACCCUCCUGGUGUGUGGCAGAGGGUCCUGCUUCCAGGCUUUCCAGCUCCUUUCUGUGGGCCAGCUUCCCCGAUUUCCACACGAGUUCACAGUGGUGUCUUCCACUCACCCCUGUUCUGUCGUGUGCAGUCAGGGUAGCCGAGGUGGGGGUGACCUCCAGGGGCCUCUAGUCCGUGGCUCAGUGGGCAGUGAUAGGGUCCUGGCAGGCUGGGCUCCCAGCUCUGUGUGAGCAGCACUGUCCCACCAGGGUGUGCAUGUCCGAUGGGCAUCAGAAGGGAUCCACAUACCCCAGUGCCAGGGCCUGUGCACGGCGACUCUCGGAGGGGCUCAGUCUUAACAGCCCCAUACGUGGCAGCCCAAGCUCAGACAGGCAGGACACAGAGCUGCGUGGGUGUCUUGUCCCUGGCCCCCUGUGACUGAGCACUCCUGCACACGCACCUGCAGGACUCGGGACUUGCUCGAGAGCCAGGAGGGGAGGCUCACUCCGGCUCAGGCUGCCCUGUGCCCCGAGAAGGAUUCUGUAGUGGGAUUUAGCCCAAUUGCUCCUGUUCCCUGUGGUCAUGGGCACAGGAGCAACUGGGCCAACCGUCGGCCUUCCCUCUAGAGUUGACCUGGGGCCCGAGACUCGCUCAGAACAGGGUUGGCUGUCCAGACCUAAGCCCCCUCAUGGCUCGUGGGGAAACGGAGACAGGGGAGGGCCUUGCCUGGGAGCAGAGUGAGCAAGGGUUGUGUCUGACUGUCCUCGGGCUUGCUUGCUGCCAGGGAGGCUUGNGGUGGGUCAGGGUCUGGCAUGAGCAGUGGGGAGGCCUUUGUCUGGGCCGCACUGGGACUGUUUAUAGCCCUGGGGUGGGUGGGGUGUGUGCAGGGGUGGUUAGAUCAUUUGUAGGUUCCUUUAUGCCCAGGACUGGCACCUGGGAUGUCUCAGGUCUCAGCUCUGCUGGGACUGUCCCCUGGAGCAGCUGCCUGGUCUCCCUAGGCAGUGGGGCUCCCUGCCGGCAUGGUGGCCGAAUGGCCACCUCCUCUCCUGCUAGCCCAGGCCUCCUGCGAACACUCCAGCAAAAAAGGCAGAUGUCUCGUCCUUCAUAGUCCCUCUUAGAAGUUGCCAGGGGUCAGUCCUGUUCUUUGUUGGUCAAAGCCUGCCUGGGUUUUAAGAGAAGGAUGAGAACUCUACUUCUUGGGGAGAGGCAAGCCAAAGAUUUUGCAGCCAUUUCUCACACCACCACAGGCCCUGAAGCAGCGUCAACCAGGGUGAGUUUGAGGAGCCAGAGGAGGCCACUGCCACUCUGUGAGGGCCCUGCUGGGAGACUGGCAGGGAGAAGGUGUUAGGCUUGGGCCAGACCAUAUUGAUGGCAUGGAAGACCAAGUCAGAGCUGUGCAGGGCUUUUGGAGAAAUGGCCCUCUUGUUUGCCUCCCCCGAUCUGGGAAAUGACCCAGAACAUGCAGCGGAGCUGGCUGGAGGGGGUCUGGGCCUCUCUUGCCCCAUAUCAGGCUCACAGCCCCCAUAAAAAUUCCUAGGUGAGGGAAUGACCUCAGGUUUUACCAAGUCUCUAUGGUGAAUGGAUGGCCAGCUGGGUGUGAGGAGCUGACCUCAUGGCCUGGCCUGUCUGAUAGGGACCCUCUCCCUGGGCGCUGGGGAUGAGAAUUUCAGGUGGCUGAGGAGCAGGGACCUGAGUAGAGGGAGCUGUGGGUGGACAGAGGCCAAGGUGGGGCUGGAGCAUCCCUGCUCCCUCACUUCACAGGUGAGACCGAACCUGGCACCUCUGGGCACCCCACAGGAAGGUGGCCUGAGGUGCAGCUGUGAAGAGCCUCAAGGCAGUGCCUGCAGGGGCGGCGGCCAGCCAGGGGAGGGUGGUGAGGGAGCUGCCCCCUGCUUGCCCCUGGCAGGCUAGAGUUCUGGGCUCUCCACCUCCUGACGCCGCUUCUCACUGCCCUCCAGAUUUGGUCCUCCUGGUAGGAAUGAGGUGGCAUCUCCUUGUCCCUGAUGAGUGCUUUCCUGAUGGCACACGACGUCCAGCUCCUCUUUUGUGCUGUUGGCCAUAUGUGUCUUUCUGGAGGAAUGUCUGUCAGGUUCCUGGCCCACGCUUUCACGGGGUUGACGUUCUCCCUCGGAGGUCUCCUCUGCCGGGCGGCCCCGCCCUCCUGAGCUGCUGCUUUGCUGGUGGAUGCUCUGCCCUGGGCCCCAGCCGGCUUGCCUUUCUCUGGCCCCUUUUCCCCCUCCCUUCCUCCUGUCUUGCCUGCCUCACAGCUUGGAAUCCCUCUUGGGUACUCAGAUUCUACUGGUGGCCCUCCAACGGCACCCUCUUGUCUCCUGGCUGGCCUGUCCACCGGGACCUCUCAGUCAGAGGCCUCCAUUCUCACAGGCCAUCAACUGGUCCAUCCUCUCUCCUCUUGAGAAAUCCUGCCUGACCACUUCUCACCCCCUACGAUGUGACCAUCUGGUCCAACCACUGUACCCCUUCCCCGCCCCCACCUGUCCUCCCACCUCUCAUCUUGUGCUAAUGGUUGAUUCUAUGCAGAGGUCAAGGUGGUCUUUAAAAACAUGAGUCAGACCAUAGCAAUGUGUGCUCAGAGCCUGGGGUCUAGGGGCAGGGGGUGCUGGGGGCUGCUCCCAGCGUCCAGCCCCCAGCCUCAGGCUCAGACAUCAUGCCUACCCUGCCCUCUGCCCUCCAUGGCUCCUGCAGGUCAUGCUUCUUGACCAUUCCAUGGCUGGGUGUCACCCACAGCAUGGGCUGUGUCUGCUCCUGUGGCUGAGCUUCAGGCCACUGUUCCCAGCAGCAGUGCCUGGGCAGGUCAGCCUCCAUGGAGAGGGUGGGGCUGGGAGAGGAGCCCAGCCCUUCCCACAGCCCUGCAGCCUGUAGCCAGGGGAGCCUGCCGGAGCUCUGCAGACGCUAGGAGCCAGGGCACGGAAGGAAGGCCCUGCCUGACCUCUGGGCUCUGGGGAGGAGGAGCUGUGCCUUGGAGCCGCAGUGGGACGUGAGGAGCCCAGCCCAAGGCGUGGUAUAGCCACCUGCCCAGAGCUGGGGCUGGCUGCAAGGUCAGCAGCUGCCCCCCUAAAGCUCCUGCAGGGCUCCAGCAGGUCCCAGCUAGCAGACAUGGCUUGUCCCUGGUGGCUGACUGGUGGAGUGUCCUUGGCCAGGUGUGGUGACCUGUCUGUAUUUGAGGUCUCUCUUCUGUGACACGAGUACUCAGGUCUAGUGCCCAAAACACCAUGCAGGGCUCAGCAGGAAUGGUUUCCUGGCCUCCUUUCUCCCUCCCUAUCCUACCCCUUAGUGCCACAGUCCCUGCCCGCCUGUGUCCUGAUGUCCUGCCUGGACAGUUGGGAGUUCCCUGCUGCAGAGUGACUGUGUGGGGAAGCUCGUCUUGUGACGAGGAGGGCUGCCAGGACAAGUCCAAACGCAGUGAGCCUGAGAACGGCAGGUGGCCUUGGGGUCCUCCAGAUGUCUUGGGGGCAGCAGGCUGCCGUGUCCCAGAAGCCUCCCACAGCCAUGGUGCACUUUCAGAUUCUCCUAAACGCGCCUCAUUUAUUGAGGGAUUGUAAUGAGUCUUCUGUAUUUUUAUAAACAAAGUAAAUUUGCAUAUAGUCCAGCAUGCAAUUAAAAACCAGUAAAUAAACCAGUGAAAUCAAGCCUCUCAUCCUGGGUGAUUGAUGGUUGGUGUCAUCUUUGGGCUCUCGUUUGUGGCCCCCUGUCACGUCCCUGUGUAUCUUGCGCUUGCCCAAAGCUGCGUGCCCCAGGGCUCAGGUAUUGGUGUGGCUGUCUGCCGCCACACCCUCCUUUCCACUGUGUGCCCUUACUCUGCCCGCAGUGCCUCGACGUGGCCUGGCAAGACAGGGCAGGGGCAGGAGUGGGUUAAUGCUCACUCACUCUUGAGUGCCUAUUGCACGUCCCCAAGGGCCUGGGCCUGUUAUGGCCCCAUGGCAGGUAGAGACGAGGGGCACAGUCCAGGACUGGCCUCUGGUCACACAUUGAGUGGAUUCAAAUGGUGUUUGGUGUGGACCCAUGUACAUUCCUGGGAAGAGCCCCGCUCGGGCAUGAGGCCCUGCCUGUGUGUGUCCUGGAUGCGCCUGGUUGCCGUGGCCGUGGUCACCAGGUGCACUGGUGUGUGUUUGCAUUUCCUGGAAGGUCUGUGUCCACUGCAGGAGCGCAGGCCUACAGGGCCAGUCAGAGGGUUUUCAUCCUGCUCCUCCCUCUAGGGGCUGUUGGGACUGUAUGACUUCUUUCCUGGGUGUUAGUGGGGUUUUCCUGGGGUUUCUUUGUUGCAAGUUGAAAAACUAGGAACCCAGCUUGCUUUUCAGGGUGGGCCUGACGGAGCUGCAUGGCCAGGCCAUCCUGCUGUCUUUUAGGGGUCAGUCGGUUUUUUGGCUGUGUGUGUCAUCGUGUGUUCGUGCUGCUGCUUCCUUGGGCCUCAGUGUCCACUCACCGCCGUCUCCUCGCACGUAGCGUGGUUGGGCCUCACUGCCCGAGAGCCCUGCAGUGCCUGGUCCUGCCCUGCUCCUGCUCUUAGUGCUGUGCGGCCACUGUGCUCACUGCUGCUCUUGCUUUCGGCUGUUGGCCACCUCCCGAGGGUUCAGGUCACAGAGUUUCUGUUAAGCCUUGGUGUUGGUCACCUCCAGAGAUACCUUGUUUUGUGUGGGCCCAUCUUCUGUGGCUCCCUGCUGGCCAUUACUGAAGGCAGGUGUGAGGGCGCAGUGGUGGUGCACCCUCUCUGGUCUUGUCUGUUGGAGAAAGUGGCCUCUGCAUUUUCAUUUUGAAAUACGUUUUGUUCUGGGUAUUGAGUUCUGGGUUCCCGGUUUUUCUCUGACCCCUUUAGAAAUGUCUCCUGUUCCCUCUGGGAGCUUGUGGUUUCUGAUGGGAAGUCAGCUGGCUCUUUCUCAGUGCUUCUAGGUAAGUGACGUGUCCUUUUCUCUGGCGGCCUCAAUACUUUCCGUCCUUGAUUCUGAACCAUUGGGACAUGGUGCACAUGAGUGUCGUACCAUUCUUAUUGGUGGGUAAGGAUCUGCUUAGGGUCCUGUAAGAUGCUUGAAUCUGGGUUGGAUCUCAUCUGUGUCUUUUCAGGUUUUCCCUCCCUCUGCUUUCCCUGAGGGCCGUGCCAGCUGUGAGCGUGCUGGCCCAUUUGCUGUUGUCCCACAGUGCUCGUGCUCUUGUCCCUUCUCCUGUUUCCUGCUGUGUCUGACUUUCAGUGGGCCCUCUGCCUGGCUGCCGCCCGGUCCUCUCUCGCUCUUUCUUCUGGGCUUUCUCUGUGCUCUCCUUAGUCUGCUGUGCUGCCUGUCUUGGUUCUGUGGGUUUGUGCUCUUGCUUGCAUCUGGAGGGUCUAGUCACUCUCCUUCCAGCGCCUUCCGAGCGCUCCCUCCUCUCCGGAUCACUGAUCACACCCUGCUUCCCGUGGCUGCUGUCCCUGGGUCACAGGCUUCAGUCUCCCCCUUUCUCCCUUGCUCUCCCCGGAUACCAGCUGGGACAGUGUCUGUUGCUGCUUUCUAAGUGAUGCUCUUUUCUCUUGCAGCAUCUACUCUCAUUAAGCCCUUCUAGAGAAUUUUUAUUUUAGGAAUUUAUCAUAUGUUUCAUCCCUCAAAGUUGCCCUUGGCUCCUUUGUACAUCUUCCGUUUUGCCCUUGCUGUGCCCACGUGUGUGGUGGGCGCUUUGCCCUGCCAGCCGUGUUGUGAUCGCUGACAGCCUCGCUGCGGGGCCGCCUCUGUUGCUGCCUGUUUCGCUGCGUGCUGUCACCCUGCUUCCGGCCAGCUCUGUUCCCUGGUCUGCGCCUCGUGAAGCCGUGGCUCCCAGUGGCUGUGCUGUGCUGUCUCCCGGAGAGUGUUAGGUUGUCCCGUGGGGGCAGAUGUGGUGAGCAGUGUCCUUUGUUGCCCUGGCCGCCUUCUGUGGCCCACUGUGCCCUGCAGCACCCUCUCCAUGUGGGCGACGCCGCGCUUCCCAUGGCCUGUGUGUGCACUGAGGGCGGCUCAGGCCUUCAGUGGUCUCCAAGCACCAGGCCGCUGCCCUCAUGCCUCACAGGAGCUCUUGCUGGCGGUCACUGCUUCUGUCCUCAGCCUCCACGACUGAGGGCGGUCAGGUGUGGUGGUGGCUCUCAUCAGGUGGGGGGAAGUGCGGGGCGCGUUCCCCUGGUGGGGCUGCGGCUGCUCUUGCAUCCCGCAGGUCCGUCAGCCCCAGGAGAGGACUGUGGCUCUUAGAACCGCCCAGGACUUCUUAUGGGGAUUCUGAGGACCUCCUCUCACACAGGAGCCCCCUGGCCUUGCCUGGAGCUCUCCAGGGAUGCUGUGCCUCUUCUGCAGGGCACUGGCCCUGUCCUACCUGUCCCACUCAGCCUCUCCUGGGUCUGGGGCCAGUGGCAGGCAGGGGUCCAUGAGCCCCCCUUGCCCCUCGUCUUCUGUGGGCCUCCCAGUGCCACGGUGUGCCGGCCCUGGGUGUGCCGUCUGUGUGCAUCUCCACCAGGCAGGUACAGGGUGCUUGCCUCACUUGGAGGAGGCUGUGGGCUCCUUCCCACCUGUGACCACUGGCCUGAUUUCCAUGCUGUGAGUAGCUUUGCCUCUUCUGAGCUCAAUGCAUGGAACCGUGAAGUCCGUGGCCUCCUGGGCCUGGGUCGUCUCCUGUGUGGGGUUUCUGAGGUUGCGUCACGUGGCCACGUGUGGUAAGAGCCGACUCUCAUUGCUGAGUGGUGCUCUUGUGUGGCUGACUCAUACUCUGCUUGUCUCGCCCUCAGGGCCCGCGGGGCCUCUCCAGCCAGCGCGUGUCUCCAGGUCUGUGUGCCUGGUCCUCCCGGGCGAGAUGCUGGGAGUGGAGCAUGCCCAAGCUGGAGAGGCGCCAAGGAGCUCCCCAAGGCCCUGCCACCUUCCCUCCUGCCCAGCAGACCAGUGCAGCCGGGGCGUCUGCCCUUCAUGGCCUUGGCCUUUCUGCCUGGGGCCUAGGCCGUGGGGCUGUAAGUGCCACUUGACUGUGGCCUCAGUGUACAUCUCUUUGGAGGAGGGCUGUGGGGCGUCUUCCCCGCACAGUCCCUUCUCUGUCUUCCCUCGGGGCGUCUCUUCACAUGGUGCCUCUGAUUCCCGGGGCUGUUUGUCCCGAGCAUUGGACUCGAGCGUCCGUGCCGCCCUCUGCGCAGCCCGGGUCGGUGCCAGUGUACAGAGUCUUUUCCUUGCAUCGUGGCGGCCUCUUCAUUUUAAGAGUCUCUUAAGAAGAGCAGGAACUUUCAGCGUUAGGCAGAUCAGGAAUGCUUCACCAUAGCUAUGUCCUGAAUGUGGUGUGUCCCCUGAGGUGGCAGUUGGACCCAGGGUCUUGUUCACGGCCCUCAAAGGUGGGCACUCUGCUGACUGUGUGUCAGAGAUGGGCUCUUGAGAGGCGAUGGGGCCAGGUCCCUGGGGUGGAGCUGCGACUGGAUCCUAGCAGCUUUGUGAGCAGAGAUCGCGCACUGAGGGGCACCUGCCACCCCAACAUGGUACGACUUGGGGCCCAGCGGUGGUCCCAUGAGAGCCUGUGCUGCACGGCCUGGGACUGCAGAGCCGCCAGUCAAGCACAGCGCCCACCGUGGGGAGCCACGCAGAGCCUGCGGACACCUGCAGGGUGUCCACGGUGCUCAUGGCUCCCGCCCAUAGCUAGGCUUGUGGUGCAUUUGGAGUUCACUCCUGCAUGUGCCCUCAGGAAGGGUUGAGGGUCACUUUUUAAAAAUACUUUUAGCACCAUUUGUCGAGACAGCCAUCUUUGCCCAUUGGCUGCAUGGGUGCCUUUCUGAACACCGUGUGCCCACGUUCCUGGAUUUCUCUGUACUGCUGUGCUGUGUCCCCGGCCAGUGCUGGGUCCCCAGGCUGCAAUCCUGCUCAGGCCAGGCAGGCUGGUGCCCUCCAGCUUGCUCCUCUGUGCAGUGCUGUGGACCCUCAGGUCCUUGGUGUGUCAGUGAACAUCUCAGAAUCACCUUGUCGAUUUUUGUUUUAAAAUCCUGCUGUAGUUUCAACUCAGUUGCGUGGCGUCUGCAGACCUCUGUAAGAAUGGCCCUCUUAAGGGCGCCCUGUGUGCCCGGAGUGCGCCUUUCUGUUGACUUGUCUCGGCAGUGCCUCGGGGCUUUCCAGGGGUGGGUCUUGUGUUUAUCAUUGUUCUGUUGGAAGUGGCUCAGGGACCUUGAGGCUGAACACUGCUUUUGGUGGCUUUGUCCACAUUCCACUGUCCACUCUUGGCCACGGCUGUUUUUUGUGCACUGCUGGUGUCCUGUGGGGCCUCAGGUUCAUUAUUGGUUCCAGGAGCUUUUCCCUAGACCCCUCGGGAUUUCCUGUGUGCAGGGACAUGGAUGUCCUGGCCUCCCAAGAGAGCAAUGUGGGGUCUCUUGCUCUAGUUUCCUUAGACUCUCAGUCGUGAGUGACGGAUUGCAUCAAGGCUGGCUCCUCCUAACUUAGUGAGCCGUCUCCUUUCUAACCGGUUGGUCCAAGUCACAGUUACGGGCCUGACCUUUCCUUUUGUACUAAGGAUUGACCCCCAGGGCAGUUCACCACUGAGCUACAUCCCCAGUCCUUUUUGUUUUGAGACAGGUCUCACUAAGUAGCUGAGGCUGGCCUCCAACCUGUGUGCCACCUGUGUCAGCCUCCUGAGCUGCUGGAAUCACUUGUGUGGCCUUGUGCCCGGCUCAUACCCUGACUUUGAAGUGUCAGGCCACCUCUGAACCCUCGGUCAGCGCCCCCUCGGCAGGGCCCCGUCUCCUUUCUGUGCUGUCUGUCCGAGGUCUGUCCUGGGCUCUGCGGUGGCGCCUGCUGUCUCUCUUCUCAGGGUCUGUGCUCGGCUUUGGCGUGGUGGGGGCUGCUCCUGCAGUCUGCCCCCGGGUCGCUUGUUCCCUGGUGGUAGAGCCGUCUCACCUGGGUCUGGUGGUGUUUCAGUUGCAGUUUCAGUCUCGCCACCGCCGGUGUCCUCAGGCCUGUCUGUUGAGUGGUGUUGGUCCUUCUUGUCUCCACGGCGUGUCCCUUCACGUUGGGUCUGCGGUCACGUCCCUUUUCAUUCUCCAUGUGGCUCGUUUGUGACUGUUCCUGACGUUUCCAGCUACAGUUGUGCAACCUUGACCUUCAGAGAGAGCUCUUUGGCCCCAUUGGCCGUGUCCACCUGGGUCUGCCCGUGACCGUGUGGUCACACCCUCCUCUCUGUGUGUAGGUAGGUAGCGGGCUCCCCAGGGCUCCGGGGCUACAGCUUCUCCUCUCGCUCCUGACGCCGACUCUGAGCGCCUGGGAGGAGCCUGCUCUGCUGCAGCCAUAGCUCUGCGCCUCCUCUGACUGCUCUCUGCGUCGCUGGGGGCAGGGUGGCCGGCGCUGUAACUGCAGUCGGUCUCUGACUCCAGAAGCUGGUCUCGGGGGCCUGCAGCUGGCGCCUUUCCUCUGCGGGGCGCCCCCUCUGGCCCCUUCACUGCUGGCUGAGCACCUGCUGUGCCUGCGGCCUUGGGUGGCCGGGUUGGGUAAGGGAGACUGGUGAGGGGACAGAGAGGAGAUGCCCGUGGAGGAGGACCUACAGGACCCGGCCCAGAACCAGCUGCCCUUGCUCUAGUGCUGAUGACUCCAUGAAGAUGUGGCGGCCACCAUUUUUGGGAUGGAGUCUGAGGAGAGGAGCGUCAGUGCCGGGCAGAGGCAGGUGUGGGUAGUCACAGCCUGGCCUCCCGGGGAGCCAGCCCUGGGCUGUGCCGAGUGUCUUGCCCACUGCCCUGCAGCCACAGUGCCAGUUCACAGCCCGGGUCGUUGCCUCAGCUGUCCAGGGGCUGCAGGGUCACGGCGAGCAAAGCACCGAUGUGGGGAUUGUCCGGAUGGGCAUCAGCAGUGGUGGGGCGGGAGGGCCCGUGAAGGGCGGGAUAGGAGGGCCAGGGGAGGCUGGAGCACUGUGCAGGGACUUGGGCUUUGUGAGAGUGACACGUGGAAUGGCUGGCCAGUGUGAGGGCUGGGACAUGACCUGCUUUUAGCACCUCUGCUUCAGGGACUGUGCCAGGGUGGAGUAGGACGCUGUGGCCGUGAGGGGCAAGAGGCCUUCAGGAACCCAGGGGCGCAGAGUGUCUGACCCUGCGCAGAGCAGCCCAAGGCGAGGCAGCGCUGCACUCCCAGGACCCGCAGUGGUCAGGGCAGAGCAGGUCUCAGGCUCUCAAAGGCCACCCACUGGUGCUGGCACCUGACCAGGUGACACCCAGCAGGCAGUGCACCGUCCGCACCACAGGUCACGGCCACCUGUUGAGGGGUUCACUGCCCCAGCUGUCUCUGACUGCCGAGCGGGUCUUGGCUGUGCAGUUGCCCCCGCAUGCCAGACUGGGAAAUGGAGGAUGGGGACAGGGGAGCCGAGAGUUUUGCUGAAGAGACAGGAAGGCUGGGGGUACAGGGGUGGAGAUGGGGAAGUCAGGAGGUCCCGGGCAGGCCGAAUGUGAGAGCAGUGGGAGGCCCAGGCGGAUGGACCGAGGGUCAUUAGGGAGGACAGUCUGGAGAUCAGGUCCAGGUGGGGGCAGGACCAUGGGACGAGGACGCUCAGGUGGGUCUCAGGCUGUGGGACUGGCAAGCUCGCUGAAGAGGUCCUUGUGGGGAGUGGCAGUGAGGUGGUGGUCCAGGGUGGAGUGUCAGGCUCUGUCACGUGGCCGUCGGCACAGUGAGUGGGCAGCCUCUAGAAGGAGGUGGACCAGGAGGCAAGACCUAGCUGGGUAGCAGCCAUGCCAGAGUCAUUGGGGCCGGAAGGCCCCCGUCCCUGCUGCUGUCACCAGCCUUUCCCGGCUCCUCCUCAGCCCGCCCUAGCUCUCUCCUGCACAGACUGCCACGCCCUGCCACUGAAGGGCUGCGGAGGGGAGGCACAGCUGGGGCAGUGAACCCCUCAACAGGUGGCCGUGACCUGUGGUGCGGACAGUGCACUGCCUGCUGGGUGUCACCUGGUCAGGUGCCAGCACCAGUGGGUGGCCUUUGAGAGCCUGAGACCUGCACUGCCCUGACCACUGCGGGUCCUGGGAGUGCAGCGCUGCCUCGCCUUGGGCUGCUCUGCGCAGGGUCAGGAGGGCUCUCUGGGUUCUGCCAGGCCAGGGUCCCGCCUCUCUUGGGUGUGACUUGGAUGUGUAUACCCAGGUGUCACUCCACUGGGGAGGGUCAGCGCCUGCAAAGAGCACUGGUCUCAUUUGCUGCUGGGGCCACAUUCAAAGCUGCAGCUGGACUGUGGCCAGGGUUGUCUAGGCCCUCUCAUGCCACUGCUCUGGGGGUGGCAACAGGCUCACCCUGGGCCCCAGAGCCACGCUCUGCUCAGCAUCGAGGGCCCGUUGCCGGGAGCUUGGCCGGGCCUCCUCACUGGUGCCCAGCUGCCCGUGGCGGGCUGGACGGCUCUGAGCCGCGAGUCUAUGUUUGGGGUGGUCCUGGAGGUGGCCUCUGCCUCCCACGCAGCUCACCUUGCUGUUUCUCCCCUGUCUGCCUGUCUGCCUGCUGUCCCUGCCCCUCCCGCCCUCUGCCUGCCUCUGCCUGUCCUGCCCCCUCUGGCCCUGCCUGCUGCUUCUCUCCCUUCUCUCUGCUCCUCUCCAUUUGCUCGCUGGGCUCUGCCUGUCCCUCUGCCAUGCCUUGCUCUCCCUUCUGCCUGCUGUGUCCCCUUCUCCCCGCCCCUUCCCUGCCCCAGGCACGCGAUGCAGCAGGAGACCAACAGAGCCGUGGCGGCCAGUGCUGGUGCCUUGAAGCAGACGUCAGAGCUCCUGCGGGGCUCCUGUCUGGUAUGUUUCCCUGAGGGCUGGGCCAGACCAGGGAGGCCCUGAGGGAGGGGAUGUGGCCCUGGAGGGGUUCGGGGAUCCGUGUGCACAGAUGGAUACUCAGGCUGCCCUGGGUUCGGCCACAUGUGGCUCAGGGGCCAGAACUGGGUGUGUGGGCCCUUUGAGCAGCAGGGGCCAGGGGUGGCUGCUGCGACUGCUCUCCUGGCACCUGCCUUGUGGUUGUGGUGAGGGUGUCCGAGUCUUGGCUGGGCCUUCCUGAAUGGAGACUGACGACCCCAGGGUCAGUGUCACUGUCUUUGCCCCCUCCACUGCCCCUGCCUUCCUGUCCCCGUCUCUGCCUCCCGGCUCCCUGGGAGCUCCCUGCCCCUUGCCAGUGUUCAUCAUUGGGUUUCUGUGUGCGCCUGUCCUGUCAGUCAUUACCCUGCCCCUCACCAGCCACAUGAGGUUUGUCACCACACCUAUUGCCACACCAGGGUCCCAGGAAUGUCUGCCACCACAUAGCUCCACCCCCACCCUCCUCUCACCUGUGCCAGGAAGCACACUGUGUUACCCACACCCCACCCAAGUGUCCAGAGAUCAGAGGAUGCUGCUCUCAGAGGGUCAGAGGCCAUUGGGCCUCGGCGACUGCCGCCUGCCCGGCCUGUGCAGGGCGUCCUCAUACCCAGCCUCUGAGGUAUGCCCAUCUCAGUGCUUCCCGCUGCCAGGACACUGCCUAGGUGCGAGGGCUGAGUGGCCUGCAAAGCCUGGUCCUGAGGACAGCAGAACCCUGCUGAGCUCUGCGUGGACACAUAUGGCGUGGCACCUGCCUGCAGGAGGUGCUGCUCAACAGGGGGGUGGGACUUGGAGGCCCCCGCCCCCCGCCUGGGCAUACCUCGAGGGAGCCCGAGGGCAGCAGGCCUGAGGUUGGCAACCAUAAGGUGGAUCAGUGGCUUCCAGGACUGGGGGUGCAGCGGAACCUACUGCAUUCGGGCACCAGGGAACUUUGGGUGAUAGAGUAUUUUAAAAGCUGGGUGGUGAUAGCUGUGCCACUGCAGAGUGCGGCUCUGCAUGCUAGGGUGGGGCCAUGGGAUCAGUCAAGCUUCCUAAAACUAAGAUGUGGCCAGCUUUCCAGUGACUGGGCACACAGACUCUCCCAGAGGUGCUCUGGUGGCCGGUAGCUGAUCUCACAGGACUUGCUAAUCAGUGCAGUUCUUCAGGGGAGACGCGACUCUCUUUGGUUCUGAAUCUUGGGCAGGAGUCAUAGCUGCUCACAGAGUCAUAGCAGCCUGACCACUAGUGUAUCCCAGGCCUUCUGCUCAGCCGCCUGGGCUGGGCCUGGCACCUGCAGCAGCACCCUUGGUUCUGCGACCUGUGUCCUCCUGUCCAUGCAUGCCUUCCUUCUUCAGACAUGCUGGCCUCUCACAUGGCGCCUGUUCUCCAGGUCAUAGGCACGCCGUGCAGCAGGAGCACCACAGUCCCCGCCCAUCUUCUGGUGCGGCCAGCUGACCUGCUCGCUAGAGCCGACACUUGCCCAGUGCCUGCUUUGUCUCCGCCUGGUGGGGUGGGCACACUUAGGGAAGAGGUAUCUCCUACACUGUGGGACAUGAUUGAGGUGGCGACCCCCCCAUGCCCUGGUCCUUGGAGGUUUUCCACAAGCCAGGACUUGUAAGUCUGUCGCUCUUCCCGGGGCCCUGGCAGCACUGGCCAGUAUCUUGCUCUCUUUCUACAGGAGGAACGACCUGCCCAAGAUGCCUUGGCUAGGGAGGAGCCCAGUAGAUGUGAACUCUGGCCCAGGUGGGCCCAGCCGGCCCCUGUCCUCUACCAGGGCGACACAGAGCCUGAGCCCCGCGUGUCUGGCAUAGUUAGCCAACACGGUCAUCCAGCAGGGUCCUUGGGCAUGGGUGUAGGACACCCCCUGGUUACCAAAGUCCGUGUUCAGCCAAGUUCCUUGCAUAGAGUGGUGUAUCAUGUGUAGGUGACUUGUGCACGCCCUCCCGUGUACUUCAGGUCACCUGAGCUCCUGGGGUGCCAGCAUGGUGCAGAGACUGUGGCCAGUGGUAGGCGCACUGAUGGGGGUGAUGGCGAGAGCAGGGGUGAUCUGAGCCAGGCACGGUAGUCUGAGUCCUCUGUGCUGUUGGUGGACCCCGGUGUGGCAGUGUUCUAAAUGACAGCCUACUGGGUGUCCGUCUGCCCUACUCCACCUGAAACCCCACAGACUUGCUUGUGAAAUUGGGGCGAGGAGGCACAAAUGGGCUGGGAGCCUUCCUUGGUGGCUCCCAUAGUGCCGUGGGAGGACUCUGGACCACGCAGUGUCCACUGGCCCUGGGCAAGUGCAGGACGCGACAGGGCCUCACAGGAGGAGGUCUCACCACAUGCCGUGGCCUGAAGGAGGGGGCACUGCUGUGGGCCCGUGGUGUUGGCAGGCAUGGGGAGCAGCUGCCCAAUGUGCUGGGGAUGCUGGGUGGAGGGAGGUCUCGGUUACAGCAGAUGGGCCUGAGGGUUCAGUUGCCCAUGUGGGCAGGGGUUGAGGACUGGGCUUCUCCUUGCUCUAACAAGAGUCUGUGGGGAAGCACCCGCCGUGUGGCUCUCGGUGCCUCCCUCACCCGGCCCGAGCUUUAGGGAAUGAGAUGGUUUGGGUCACCGUAGCCACCUCCACUGCCGAGGGAGGGACCCUGGCAACCUGGCUGCCUUCUGUGUGGUGCUCACUGCUCCCUCGCAAGGUGGGUGUGGAGCCCCUUGUUUUGGGGGCUCCAUGGCCUGGUAGCUCUAGGAAGCAUGCCAGGUCCCCUUUCUCCUUCCUGAGCUGGUCUGCUGAGUAGGGCACAGGGGGACAUCAGUGCAGCCUCCCAGAGGUGCAUGCUGGGGUGGGUGCCAGGCGGGCUCUCUGGAGGAAGGCUCGCGCAGCAAACAGACACCAUGGGCAGCAGCAGGGCCAGUGCUGUGCUCUCCCAGGCUACUUGCUCUGUCCUGGGGUUCAAGUGUGGUAUCCAUGACCUGAGGCCACCCACCCAGGACAUCGAAACAGGCUCCACCAACUGCUGAGUGGGGCGUGUGGGCCCAGAGUUGGAAAGCCUGUCCCUCAAGCGCGGGCCACAGCUCAUCUGCCAACACUAGCACCUCUCGCCAUGGGUGUUAGUGGCAGUGGGUGGCGGUGUGUGGUGGCUGUGGACAGCCAGGUCUGCUGGGACCACACUGAAGUACCCAGGCUGGGCAGGGCACUAGAGCUGCUGUGGUUUCCUUGGUGCCAGUUCCACAGGGCUGGAGGCGGGAGGGGAGGCCCUAUCAGGCAGUGGGGUCCGUGGCCAACCUGAGCAGGGACACUUGACUCCAGGCCUGGCCUGUCCAGCCCCUCACCUGAUGAACGCUUCUGGAGCACCAGCUCAGUGGCGGUUCACGUCUUGGUGGCGGUGUGUGGUGCUGAACAGCAGGGGAGCAGGCUGAGGGGCGGUGUGGCGGGGGAGGGGGACAGCAGUAGGACAAGGCAUGGGUCCCUGGGACCCGGCUCCAGUACCUGACGCCUGGACUGGCCCAGUCAGGACUCGGGUCCUGGUCUCCUGGGCUGUGGGGCGACCACAGUGCUUGGGUUAUGAGGGGCCAAGCCACACACUGGGCCACCGUAGCUCCGGGCUCCUGACUGUGCUGGUCGCGCUCCGUGGGUCCUAUGGUGCUGGUGUCACUGGGACUCUGGCUGAUGACGACAGUGGCCAUGAGCCACUUCCUCAGGGUGGGGAUGUGACAAUGCAUGGAGAAGCUGGGCUGUGGCCCUGCUGGGCAGAGAGGGGCACAGAGAGCACCAUGACAGUAAGCCUGCCCUCUGUCUGCAGCAGGAGCGCCUUCAGCUGGACCGGCUGAAGAUCCAGCUAGCAGAUGCCAUUCAGCGGUACGGAGUGGUCCAAAAGGUGAGGUGCCGCUGGCGGGGUGCAGGCCAGUGGGGGCUGUGGGCCCUGGAGCAUACCUCAGGUGGCUGUCUCUGGGUGGCGUGGGGUGGCCUUCCUCCUCCAGAAGUGCUGCCCCAAGGGGAACUUACAACAGCCUCCUGGGGACAGGCAGGGCAGGCCUCACCCCAUUUUGACAGACAGGGAAACGAGGCCCUCUGAGGCUGUCCAGCCAGUCCUGCGAGCCUGCCCAGGGCCUGGCUCCCCCCGGUGUGCUUGGCUCUCAGGGCCUGUGGUUUAUCUGACCCUUCUCUUUCCACCUUUAACAUUCUUCGUUUCUUUCUUCUUUUGUACUUUUUCCAACAGAAAAUUGCAGAAAAGUCCAGAGCACUGCUUCCCACAGCUCAGAGGGGCAUCAAACAGGUGGGUGCCACGUGGGUACUGUGGUCAGGCAGUGGCUGUGGGGUCAGUACCGACUCCGUUGCCGUCUGUGCUCCAGGAGAGGGUGGGAAGCUGGGGACAGGCCCAUUCAAGGGUCUGCCUCAGUGUCCAGCUUGUAGAGCUCCGGCAUUCUGACCUUUGGGCUCUGGCAUGGUGCCGACCCUAGGAAGCUCCCAAGUGACUGCUGAUGGUUGCGUGUGGCAUCACACUUUCUUAUUUUCUAUAACAAAAUACUUGAGACCGAGUGCUUUAUAAAGAAAAGGUUUAUUGAGCUCCCAGUUUGGAGGCUGCAAGUGCAAGUGGCCCCAUCAGCUUGGCCUCUACUGAGGGUCCCCUGGCAGUUGGCAUCCCAGUGGCAGGAGUCUUGUGGUGCGCGGAAAGCCAGAGUGCGACGUGGUCAGGUGCACUUUCACAACCCUCACCCUGCAGGGCUAAGCGGGCUCCCCUGGCACCACUGCACCUGAUCACCUCAUAAGGUCCUUCCACCUUCCUGUCACCGCACAGGGGACCAGGAUCUCACACCCUCCAACCUUAGCAUAGGCACACUGCCUGUGAGAGCCAUGUAAAGCCAGGAUAUACACACACCCCGACUCAGAGACGUGCCACACACAGACCAGCCGGGACACGAGAGACAGAUUCCAUUGACCAUGCUGGGCAGGGUGGCCUGGAGCCUCAGCAGCCUCACUGGGCCAGGAGGACAGGUUCCAGAGCUCAGACUUCCUCAGCCAGGGCUUGAGGAGCGUCCUCCAGGAGAAAGACAGCCCCACCCCACCCCACCCGUGCAGCCCCCUCAGGGCUCUGCUGAUCUGCAUGCUGUGUGGGCCUGCUGUGCCAGGCCAGGGAGCAGGACAGAGGCCGUCAGCAGAAGAGCCAGCGGGACCUCGGCACUCAGAGUACUGAGGCAGAUGUGGUAUAAGGCCCAUGGAGGAAGGGCUAUUGUGGGCACCACCGGCCAGUUGAGAGCCCUGAGCAUCAGAGGCACCAGGAGGAGGCCAAUCCCAGUAAGCCCUGAAACUGUGCCCGCUGGCUGCCCAAGGAUGGUCGUGUUCCUUCUGGAAGACAAGUCCAUGGUCUGAUGUCUCUGGUUGCUCAUUUAUGGCAUCUAGGAUUUUAACCAAAAUUGCUGGGCAUGCCCGGUACUGGGAGAAUAAAUAGUGACCAAUCUUCAGGGAAUGUGGAUUGAAAUGAUUGGAUGUGAACUUAAUGAAGCUGUGCAAAUGUGGAAGGAGUUAGAUGAGGUGGUGGGACUUUCCUAGAGAACUUGAAUCUGCACAUGGAGAAGUCCAGCGUUGAAUACACCAAGACUAAAAUGAAGACCUCAGGAGAUUGGCCAGCUCUCAGGUUAGAAGAAGGCAGGAUUGAUGAACUGGAAGGCGGUGACACAGGUAAGGGGUGAGAAGGUGUCCAGUGCCACGGCCAUGCCCAGCAACUUGGGAGGCUGAGGAGGAGAAUGCCAAGUUCAAGCCCAGUCUAAGCGACUUGGUGAGGCCCUGUCUCAAAAUGAAAAAUAAAGAACAAGGGCUGGGGUGUAGCUUGGUGGCACAACGUCCCCAAAAAGAUCCACAGAAGAAUGUAGUAGUUGGAGGCCUAGAUGAACAGAGGGAAAGAAUGGAUAGAACUAAUGUUUGAAGAGUAAUGGCUAAAAAUUUCCCCAGACUGUCCAAAUACUGCAGGCACAGAUCCAAGAAACUUUAUGGUAAGUAGAGUAAGUUUGUCCCUGAUUUAAAUAAAAUCCUUGGUUAUAUAGUAAUAAAAAUUUGAAAACCAAAGGCAGAAAUCAAUCUUAAAAGAUUUUGAAACCACAGAAAAUCUUAAAAGCACGUUACGCCAGAGGAGAAGGGCACGCUGUGUUUGAAGACACAGGAACCACAGCUCACAGAAGCGGUGAGGGCCAGGAGACGGCAGAAGCGCCCCUGUGCUGGGUCGUGCUGGGUUGCACUGGGUCGCACUGGGUCGUGACACGUGACUGACCCAGUCAGGGUCACCCCAGGUGAACUGGGCUGCACCAAGUAAACACACAGAGGCAGAGAAAUACCUUUUUCUCUGGUUCUGUGACGGCUCCUCCAACCCAGCUCCCACAGGAGACAAGGCAGGCAAGAGAGAGUGUGCUCCUUGAACCCGGGUGUUGUUGGGGGAGGCUGUUCCAUGGACUGUUCUAUCCCCCAAAGGGCAAAGGGGUAGGACUACAAAGGAACAGGUGAGUGGACUCAACCCAGCAGGUGACAUCUACUCCUGGAGCCACACUGUGUUAUCCGAGCUGGGGUAACGCCCAAGUUACUGUGACCUGGCUCUGCCGUGCCAGAGGAAGACAGUGACUGUUCAGNGACAGGAGCAGGGUCGGCUCUGGGAGUGCAAGGCUGGUCAAUUCAGAAACAGUUGGUGUGAUUCACCUGCUAGAACACAUGGGCUGACGCCAGGGCUGUCCCAGCACACCCAGAAAAGCCCCACUCAGGGAUGCUGGGAAACGGGCAGAGUAGGAACUGGCAGGGUGACUUGGAUCUGUAAGAGGUGCCUGCAGAACCCGAAGCUCGUUGCACUCUGCUGGGCAAACGUCGUCUCCUGAGCUCGAGGAUAGGGCACCUACUUCUGUCCCCUCCAUUGGCAUUGUGUGGACCUGUGCAGUGUGGUGGGCAUGAAGAGACAGGUGGGAGACCCAGGCAGAGCGGGGCAGGCUGCUUCUAAGGACCCGGCGGGACUUGGAACUGGUGAGAGUUGAGAUGCUAGCUCGGCAUCUGGGAAGACAGAAAUUACAUUGAAGACGUGAUGUGACUCCAGUCAUUCUUCACAGUUAGUGCCCAUAGCCCCAGCUCGUGGAGGGGCUGAGGUGGGAAGGACCACUGAGCCCAGGAGCUCAGGAUGAGCCGGGCACAUGGCAGACACCAUCUCGAAGGAGAAGAGAAAGCAGCACCAACUCAUUAGCAUCGAGAGUGGGGAGAAGCCUGUGAAGAGCUGCCUGAGGCCGCUGUGGAAACUGCAUCGUUGCUGAGAGAGAUGGUGGAAGGGCCGAGACGGGACGGCAACACCAGGCGGACAGAGGUGCUGCUUUCAGUAGACGGUCUGCAGCUCCCCGUCCAGAGGGAGACUCCAUGGGCUUGAGAGCACAUGCUGUGUAUGUGGUCUUACAGACCCUGACGUGCACCUGGGAGCCAGUCCUGCCUAAGAACACAGCGCAGGAGCCCAUCAGCAGACAUGAGGACCUGGUGUGAAGCCUCUGCGGCAUGCGCAGGUGGACACAGACCCUCACACACAUGCUGGUCAGAGUUCGUGGUCUGCCUAGGUGGACUGCCUAUGGACACAUGGGUGUUUGAUCUAGAGAAAAGGACCCUUUGCAGACUUGAGCUCACCUGUGCACAGAGAUGUUUCUGGCAGGGCAAAGCCUCAUGCAAGAGCCAAGGCAGGAGCAUUCCUCCGACACCCGGAGCAGGCCCUUCACCCCACUUUGAGGGCAGGAUGUUCUUCCACAACUAUCUGAAGCACCAUCUGAAGAAUGAGAGUGGCAGACUUGACUUGGUUAAGAUGAAUAUGACAUUGAGAGAGAGAGUAUUUGCACAAUACAUCUGAGAGGACUUAUGUCCACGCUAUGUAAAGACCUCUUCCAAAUCAAGAAAAAGGCAGCCUUAGGUACAUCCCUAAAGAGGAUUUCCAAAUGACAGAUAAGCAUGUGAAUGUACACUCAACACACUACUCAGCAGAAAAAUGGAAAGCAAACCAUAACAGAGUAUUGUUACACACAAACUCUCAUCCACCAAAACAAGAGUGUAGUAAGCAUACCUGAGAGGGCCUGCUGUUGGCAGGCCCGUGGGGCAGCUGGAGGUCUGUGCUCUGCUGGUGACUGUGGAUUGUUUGUUCCUGCUCAGGAACAUAGAAUGUCUGUGAAGUCCAGCAUUUUCCUACCUGUGAUCUUGUAGUUCUACCCAAAGGAGGUGCAUAUAUGUGUUCCCUGAAAGGCACAUGUAAGAACACUCAUAGCAACACCCCUGCAGGACCCCGAACCUGGUGCCCAGAGGAGACAAGUGAUCUGUGCUGGGCUCACACAGGAGGAGACUCACGUGCUGUGGAGUUAAGGUCUGGCCAGAGGAAUGCCUGGCACCAAGCACCAGGGGCCUGGGUAGCCGUCAUGAGGAGGAUGCCUUGGUGCCGGCUGAGCCCUGGCUGGACAGUGUCUCCCUCAUGUGUUUCUGGACUGGACACUUGGCACGUGUGCCCUGGACUGCAGAUUCACUGCUUGAUGGCAAUUUCUGUUAAUGAGGAAGGAAUGGGCAGCAGCAUUUCUGAGAAAUUGUGGAGGCUUAGAUUAUUUCCAGGAAUUGUGCAAACCAUAAAUAGUGAGAUGACAUGUGACCCUGUUCAACCAGGGGCUUGUUGCCAGGUUGGUGCUGUAGACUUGGGGCACCUGAGCAGCGAGCUUCCUGUGAGGAGCCACUCAGCCUGACUGGAGUUGGCCACCUCAGCGUGGUCGGAUGUGGGCUCUAACUGGUCAGUUUCAGUGAGCAGAGCUGAGACUGUUGAGGGUGGGGGCAAGCCACAAUGGUGGGUCAUCUUUCUUGAGACCCUGGGCCUGCUCGGCCUUGCUGUCUGCCAGAACAUGGUCCCCAGGCCAGACGGUCAAAACGCUCUGUUUCCAUGCUUGCGGGAGUCCCUUGGCUUCCGUCUGAGGUCUGGGGCACCAGGCAGAGUUGCUGUGUCUUGCUGCCCUGGCCCCCCUUUUGUUUAAUAUGGGUUUGGGGGCAGGAUUGCUACAGUUUUGAUAGCCUCCAGAGACUUCCAUUUGGAGGAAUUGCUGACCAGUUGUGGGGGCCCUUCCCACAGGAGUGGACCUGGUGUGAAGGCCCUGCCGCGUGUGCAGGGUCUCCUGCCCUCCAUGACUGGAGGAUUGGAGGAUUGAGAAAGAGCCUCAUUUCCCAGAAACUAAGCCCUGGGUGCUGCCCUGGGUCUGCACCAUCAUGCUCCUUUUUCCCCAGGGGAGGGUGGGCAGGGCCCCUACAAGCAUCAUCGUCCCCAAACAAAUACCCCUUGAGCUUGGUCUCCUUCGUGAGAAAAUGUGCAGUCCCUUUUCCAGUGGCACUUUGUAGCACCUCCUUCUGCCCAGCAUGGGCUGGCCCUGGGCCUGAAGGCGAGUGGGGCCACCAUUGUUGGUCUCUGAGCUGGAGUCACCGCAGUAGCCUGUGUGCUCUAUACCCCCAGCACCUGCCCCCAAAUCCCUAAUCCAUUUUCGGCUGGCUUUGAGCUACAGACCCAAAUUGGGCCUCUGUGGGCAGCACAGAGGAGCUUUGCCAGACUUGCAGGGUGUGCUGAGGGGUCCAGCCAGCCCCCUCCCUGUCCUGUGUCGGGUCUUGCUGGGAGGCUUGGCGGCCUGCAGGGUCAGCUCUGCCCCACCACAGCCCUCCGCAUCUCCUAGCGCCACCUCCUUCACGCAGUGGGGCAGCCAGCCAAGGCACCAUUCCUGGUGGCCUGCAGGGGUGGCCCAUACAGCCACUCUGCUCUCAGCUUGUGGGGGCUUCCCCUGAAACCCAGACUUGGAAAACCAAACAUCCCGAGAGGCCCUGGGCACCCAGUGUGUCUGAGGCGGUCGUGUGGCCUGCUUCCUAGAGCUUUGCCAAGGAAGUGGGCGUUCUCCCUUCCAGCUCUUCCGGGCCAGGUCGCCGUGGAGUGCCGGAGGUGUGCUAGGUGCACCUCUGGAGUCCUCUGUGUGCUGGGAGCUUUUGGAAGUGUUGAGUGGGCCAGGCCUCCCUCAGCUGGGCUCUGCUUUAGGGCCUGUUGCUCCAGGGGUCUGAGUGGCUAACGUCCCUGACUCGGCACCAGGAAUGGCACGGGUCUUCCUUGUCUCCCAUGGAGAGUCAGAAGUGCCACCUCCUGGUCCUGGCCUUCCCCGUGCUCCGGCCCUUGCUCAUGGGUCUUUCCUCUCAAGGUGCUUCUGGGUGCAGUGCUGUCAGCUUUGUGUCCUAGAAGUGGAGACCAGGGCUCAGAGAAGUGAGGCCCUUGCCCAGGCUGGCAUAGCCAAGAGGCCUCCCGUGAGUCAGGAGACUCCGAUGUCUGUGGGUCCCUAUGGGCAUAGUCUUGUGCUCAGCAGGCAGAAUGGCCACGUGGCCAGUGCCUGGUGAGCGCAGAUUGUGGGCUGGGGGUGCGGGAGCGUGGUUGUUCCCACUGGACAAAUGGGAGCCCCAGGGCCCAGACAAUGUCUGUGACUUGCUGGACCUCACAACAGGUGCCAGUGCCACACAGGACUUGGGCCAGGGUUUUCCGAGAGCACCCUGAAAGCUCUGGAGGGGGCUGUGGCCGCAGGAGGAGGCGCGGUGCAGGCUCUGGCGCAGGGCCAACACCCCUCCCGCACCCGCUGCCAGGCACUGCUCACUUCCUCCCACCCACACGGGAAGGGGAGGUGAUAAUUAUUGCCCUGGACGAGUAGCGCUUGUCGACAGAUUUUUUAGAUCUUUUAUUUUAUAUUCAUCUAUCUGCAUAUUUAUUUAUUUAAAGGCCUCUGCUGACUCCCUCCUGUCGGUGUGGCGCAUGGGAAGGAGGACCGGCCAGGUGCUCCACCCCGCCCCACUCUUCAGGAGAGUCACCACACUCAACCUGUGGGUUGUGAGGAGGUGGGAGAAAGAGUGCCUUGGCCUUCUGAAGGCCUGGGGUGGCCAUUGUCCUUCCUGCAGCUCUGUCACUUCCAGAGGCCUUAGGCACUGGUGCAGGGGCCACCCUGAUGCCCAGCCCUGGACCGGCUGCACGAGUGCACAGCGGUCAGAGACCUGCCAGGGGCUCCUCCCCAGGGCGCGCUGGACCCAGCAUGGGCUACCCCGUCCCCCCAGAAGAGAGCCAGGAGAAGACACAAGGCAGGGUGGAACUCCCUUCACACUGGGUUCUGGGGCCUGUCUUCUAGCCCUGAGCCGUGGUCCUGUCCCCACCUGCUGACAGGGGCCCUCCUCCAUGGCUCAGCACACUGGGCAUCCCGCAGGUGGCCAUAGCAGACUCUGGGUCCUUCCUACUGUGUCUUCUAGACCUCAGACUGGGCUGCCCUCAGAGAAGUGUUGCUGGGGAGGCCAGAGGGGUACAGUGACUGCCACACAGGAGGUGCAGGUCACGAUGUAACUUCCAUGGAGUCCAAUAGCUACUCCCCCUGGCAUGAGUUGACCAGAACCUGCAUGUGACCACCUUGACCUUCAGCAUGGUGGUCUUUGUUUCAGACAGAUAUCAGAAUCCUACAGGGUCAUAGAACAUGAGUGAGCGUGGCUUUGCAGGUGACAGAGGGGAGGGUACUAGAGCCUGUCGCAGUGGAAGUGGGGGGGAGGGCAGGUUCCAGGCAUGGAUUCGCCAGCUGCCGACACUCCUGGAGAGCCCAGCAGGAGUUCUGGGCUGGGAUUGCAGCCCUGCCCUAUGUUGUCCCUGUGUCCUAUGCUGAUUGGUGUCUGAGGAGCUGCCUUGGCAGGACAGUGCGUGAUCUGAGUGGGUCCAUCCCAGGGGAAAUGGGGAGGAGGCAGAGGCCCACCUGGGAUGCCCACACCCAGUCAUUUCCACACUGGCUACCCUAUGUCCUGUCCCAGGACAACGGCCAGGGACAGGGACCAGCCAUUGUUCAGGGCCAGGUCCCAGAGAAGCUGGCCACACUCUGCCCACACUGUUGCCCUUGGGCCCUGCAGCAAAGGCAGAUGCACCAAGCUGGCUAGGCUUGUCAGAAGGGGUCCUUUCCCAGGGUGGGAGAGGACUUUGUGCCCUCCACAGAAGCUCAGAGAGACCAAGUCCAAGUCCUUGGGGACAGAGGGGCUGGACUCUGUAGCUGGGGAACUCUUUCUCAUCCUGAUCAGUGCAGAGGCUCAGAUGGAGGCCUGGUGACUGCCCUUCCCACCCCGCUCCCACGGAAAGCCCGGAAGUGUUCCUAGAUUGUUCCAGCAGAGAAAAUGUGGUUAGUUGAAGGGAAAGGCACCAUUUUCUUGAUUUCAAAAUUUGGUGGAUUAAAAAAAUCAAUAGAGAAUAAAGGCAAGUUGAGAAAACCCCUGAAGCCCUCCCCCUGGUCCCUCAGCUGGGGUCCCGGGGUGGGGUCUGUGCCCUGUUUGUGUGGUGUCCUGGCAGUUCCUCUCUGAGCAUCAGUCUUCAGUGGUCCUGUCCUGCAGCUGGACACUGGGUCUGCAUGGGCUCCACAGCCCCAGACAAGAGGGUGGACUUCGUGUUCAUGUGCACAGGGCUUAUUUUCUCUGGCCACAAUGGUGGCCCCGGAAGCUGGGAAGUCACAAUGUUUUGUGUCCAAGCUCUGCAUCUGGGCCUGGGAUGCAGCCCUCCUGGCUGUGGUGUGGCUGUGGAGUGGGGCCUCGCGGAGACUCCCUCAGUCCUGGCCCUGGCUCAGUCAGAGUCUGACUCCAGUGGCUCUGGAGUUGUCGAGCCGAGGCCUGCUGCCUGCAGUCCCUUCUGGUCUUGAGCUGAGGCAGCCUACAGGGGCCAGGGACUGUGGGGAGAAGCCCAGGUCCUGGGCACGGGGUAAGCAAGAGUCCGUGAGUGACAACAGGGCCUGUGUCUGUCAUCAGCAGAGUCCCCAGUCCCCCUUUGUGGAGCUGGCUGAUGAUGAGAAGAUCUUUAACGGCGGCGACAACACGUGGCAGGGCCAGGAGCAGGCUCUGCUUCCAGACGUCACCGAGGAGGACUUGGAGGCCAUCCGGCUGCGAGAGGAAGCCAUCCUGCAGGUGGAGGUGGGUCUCUGCGAGGGUAGUGUGGGUGUCCAGGCUCACCCCAGGCUCCCUGCCCACAGAGGUGGCUGGGGCUGCAGUCACUGGUAGCCUGGGUGGGAGGUGGGGCCAGAGUCCAGGCAGCCAAGCCCACUUCCUCCUCCUGGCCUUGGUGGGAGCCAGCCCUGCACUGGGGCUGUGAAGGCACCACCCACUGCUUGCUGUGCUGCCCAUUCAGGCUUCCAGGAGGUCCCUAGCACUGUGGAAGGAACCUUGCUGCCUGGGGCCCCCGAUGGCAGUUUUUGAGAGCUCUAGCCCUCUGUCCAGGAUAGCCUGUGGCUGAGGAUGCUGCCCCAGGUGGCAGGGGAGCCCAGGGCCCAUGCAGGGUGGGUCAGCUGCUGCGUGCCCUUGGUUUUUGAAGACCAAGGACUCUUGGCUGGCCUACCCGAUGCUGAAGUGUGUGCAGAAUGCAGCUUGGCAGGGUGUGGCUCCACUGGGCCUAGGUCUGUGCCCAGUGUGCUCUCCUCCCUCUCCUGGGACUUCCUUGUCUGCAGGGGCUCUGGGGCCUGCAGCUCCCAGGGGCUGGGCUUCUGAAGUUCAAGGCCCCUGAGAGCAGGUGGUAGAACAGGAACCUGGGCGAGUUAGUAAGCCAAGUCACUGGCCCAGGCCUGUCUCUGCCUCUGCUUCCCUGACGGUUAGCAGGGCUUUCUCUCUCCUUCCAGAGACACCCCAAGUGGCCCUGGCUUGUUCCCCUUUCUUCCUGGGCCCUCACUUCUGGGCUACUCCUCCCUGCCUCUGCUGCACCCCACUCCCCAGGCUGGUGGAGGAGAGCUUAUGUCCCAGGACCCCUGCUGAAUGUGUCCUUCCUGCAGAAGCCGUCCCCCACUCCAGCUUCUCAGAGAGGGUCGCUGCCUGCCCCAGCCUGGCCCUGGUGGGAGAUAGCUGGGCUUAUCUCUGGCUAGAUGGAGAUGUCCGGAGAACACUGAACACCCGCAGGGGAUUUUGUCUCUGCUGGAACCGCAAGGGCCUCUUACCCUGGAGGAGCUAAGAUAGGGAUGCGGGGUCCCAGAAAGUCUGGGAGGGUUGUGGGCCUGCCCCCGGCAGCUCUAAAACCCAACACCUAUCCGAGGACAGCCCUUGGGAACCACUGGCUUAGCUUGUCCCUUGAGCACAGAGUGGCUCUCAGAAGGCGGAGGGAGCAGGGAGACACCGCCAGCUGCUGAGUCCAGGGAGCAGAGCCGGAAGGAGCAGCAUGUGCUGCCACAGGUUCCACGGCCCCCACGGAGACCCCUGGGGUGUGGAGCCAUACCAGGCAGCCGAAGCUGAGCUCAGGGAAGGGUGGCCCUGGGCCAUGGGCCUCCUGGACCUGACAGCAGAGGCGAAGAGGCGGGUCGUGGGAGCUGCUGUUGCCCUUUCACUGGGAGGCCUCAUCCCGAGCCUGCAGGUCCUGCUCCCAGAGCCCGAGCAGAGGCCUAAGGGCCACCUGGGACCUGUGUGACCUUUUUUGAUUGCUCUGGGUGGACAGUGACAGUCAAGUGGCUCAUGCCACUGCAGUAACCCCAGGGUCAGGUUCAAAAUCAGAGGCCUUGGCGGCCCAUGUGCCAGGCCCUUCUCUGUGGGACGGGAUGUGUUUUCCGGUUUUGUAGGGUGUGUGCAGAAUGGGGCUUUCCCAGGGGUGACGGGCCCAGCUGAGAGAUGGAGGGACCCAGCCUGGGGCUCUGAGCUGGGGCUCUGGACUGUUCUAGAACAAUGGUUUUAAUGCAGGAUUAAUAGGAGGGUCUGGGCCUGUGUGCAGACCAGAGGCCCUCGCGGGUGGCUGGGGCUGGUAUGAUCCCAGUGCCUCUCUCAGCUCAACAGCAUGCUGGGGCUCAGCUGGGGAGCCUCUUGCACAGACCUCGCCUUUCAGCCUCAGUUUCCUCCGCAAUGCCUAGGAGCCUGGCCCAGCACACAGCUAGUCCCGAGUGCCGGGCAGAAGGGCAGUGGGUGGCAUGUGUCAUGCGGACCACGGUCACUCACAGAGAGCACAAUACCUGUUGUCAUUAGCCUUUGAAAACCUUCCCCCAGGUUGCAGUGGGUCCUGUGACCACAGCUUGCUGGGAUCAGGGAGGGUGGGAGCCAGCCAGCCAGCCUCUAGGGAGUAAUGUGACUGUAGCAGAUGGCCCACACCUUGGGGGCCCCAUGGGCCAGUUGCUCUGGAGUUAUGGCAAAGCAAGGCCUGUGUGCGCAGGGGGGUGCCUGGGAGCAGCCUCAGGAGGGCAGAGUGGUGCCUUCCUCUCCCUGCACAGCGUACUUCCACUGGAGUUGGGACUCCCCCCUUUCACAUCCCCUGGGGGUUUGGGAACAUUUUGGAAUCACUGACUGAGACUUGAGGUCCAGGAGCCCCUUUGUGGUCUUCCCUUCAGAACUGACCUUUUUGGGUAAACAUGGGGGUGUGGAUGGGGAGACUGAGGCUAGGGUGGAUGACUGAUGUCGCAACAGUGGGUUAUUGUGUCAGAUGCCCUCAUGCCACCACCUUGCUUUAAGGUAAGUCCUUGAGGGCAGGCCACAAAGGGAUGCCUGAACCCCAAGUCCCACCUCUAGAGAUCUGAAGGUAGUCAUGCAAAUUCCAGAGCCCCUCGGGGAUGUGGGAGGGUUCUGGGUGAGUGGUUGAUGAGAAGUCCUGGAUUGGGCCUGGCGCCGGGCACUGUGAGGGGGUGUGCAGAGCUGUCUGUGCUGGGAGCCCCCAUUCAGUCAAUUGGUGGCCCACCUUGUAUCCUUUCCCUCGUCCCCCUCCCCAGAAUCGUCCUGCAGGGCUUGGCGUGUAUGCCUGGCCUCAGGCUAGAUCCUCCCAGCAAGCCAGGGAGCCUCUUUGUUUUCAUUUGUUUGUUAAAUAUUAUUGUUAAAUAUUAUUAAACUUAAAAAAAUAAGUUUAUAUUUAAAGAAAAGCUGCAAAAUAGCGCAUUAAGGACCUGGACUUUCAUUCAGCUUUUCUUAGUGUUGUACUGUAGUAUAGCUAUCAAAACCAGCCGGUUAAUGUUGCCACCAUGGUCCAACUACUCCCCAGACUGUCUCCAGGUCCCCUGGUUCUCCCACUUAAGAGUUGUCUCCUGUUCCAGGACCCAGUCCAGAGUUCCUGUUACAUUGAUUCGUCCCGUCUCUGGUCUCCUCCAGUCUAUUACAGUUCCUGGGUCUGUCUUUCAUGACUGAAGCUCUUGAUGGUGCUGAUGAGUAGUUUUGUAGGCUGGCCCUCUUGGAGACGACACAUUCUUUGCAAGAGCCUUUCUCUCCUUCUUGUACAACAGUGGACUUAAGAAAAACAUUAAAACAGUGCUGGACUCAGGCAGAGUCCACCCAGUGCAGGAAGAGACUCGGACCCAGGCAAGAGCCCUGCCGUACCUGGGUGUUCACAACCUGCUCACCUGCUUGGCCUACGAGCUGUGCCUGGCCUUCUCCUUGUGACUGAGGCCUCUUCUAAACAGGCCCCUGUCCAGCUGGGUAAGCAGGAGUAGGCUAGGGCACCACUUAUCCACCCUGCAUGCAGCUCCUCGAGAGAGAAUGUCAUCCACUUCCCAUGACGGGGGCUACGAGGUGGAACCCAGUUUGACCCCUGACCUGGAGGCCUGUCUCUGGAGGACGCAGUACCCAGCAUUUGAACCUCUACCCCAGGCUGUCUGCCUUUUCCUAGGCAAGGCAUAGGCACCUGGGUGUUGGGCCAGGCAUGCCCCAGGGCCCUGUACUACACCCACUGCUUGCCUGUUCCUACCUUUAGACUCUUAUGAUCUGAGGCAGCCUAUCUCUGGUCUCCUACCCUAGGGUGCCUCUCUGGAUUUGGUCCCAGGAGGGAGCCCCACCCUCCCAGGACCUAGGGUAUUGGAUGCUGGCAGCUCCCGGCCUCCUGGCUAUCAGCCUGGCUGAACUGUGAAGAUGGAGAAGCUGUCCAUCUCAUUAUCAAGAGCAUGAACUUUAAUUGUGUUUGAGCAGCGCGAGGCCAGGUGUGGAAGAAGAGGAAGCAAGAUCGAUGGACCAUGGCGAGAGGUGUCUGAGUACCCAAUUAGGUCAUGUCCAGGAUUUGCUGUCCCUCUCCAGGGUGGGCAGCCUUGUCCCCAGGGUUGUCUUCUGCCCUGGCAUUCUGGAUUCUGUCUGUCUACUCAGGCCUGUCCAAGAGCUCCACAGCUGAGGGACUCUGUGCAUGCUGCUGACCAGCCCACCUCUUUUUGCUCAGCCAGAAGUGAGUUUGUGCCCAGGGUGGCCAUCUCCACCCUCUGAGGCCUGGCCUGAAGACCCCAAGAGGAGGUGGGGGGCCUGCAGCCACACAGUAAGGCCCCUGGCAAGUGGUGGCAAGUCAAGACUCCGACAUCCUCAUGCCACUCCUUCCUUAUCCCUCUCUGAGUCCUGGCUUCCUAGUUGUGCUGGAUGAGACCGUGGAUUCAACGGGCUGUGAGGCGUUCUGCAAAUGGACAUCCCUGUGGCAAGGGUGAAUGGCUUUGGGAACCUCUCUGUUGUCCCGGUUGCUAAUGCUGAACCUGGUUGGUCCUGAAGCACUGCCCUUCUCAGCCCUGCGGGGGCCCCCAACACCCCUGGCUCUUGUGUCUCCUUCCUGUAGGGCCUUGCCUCUUCUCUGCUCUCCCUCUGGCCAUCCCCUCAGUUCUCUGAGGACCCGUGUGGCUCUCGGUCCUGUCUGGUCCCUGGAGUCAUUCAGUCCUCCCUCCUAUCCCCUCCUGUGGCUCCUCUGGGUGGGUGGCCCACCCCUGUCCCCCAGGUGGGCCCUGAAUGACCUUUCCCUGUUUGGCCAAGAUGUGAUAGGGUGGCUGUCACUGCAAAGGAAACCCAGUGCCAGGACUCAGCCAACAUGCACGUUCCUUCUUGCCCUUUAGUCCAGCCUCCCACCUGCUGAGGAGCCCCAUGGAACUGAAUUGUGCUAAAACUCAGUGGCAUGAAAAAGCCACCAUGGAGUUCAACAUCAGGAUGUAGACACAGCUCAUUGGGGUUGGGUAGUAUCUACUCUGCUGUCUGGAGCCUCCAGUGGGAAGACUUGAGAGGCCAAGGGUGACUUGGACAGCUGGAGGCUGAAGACUCUUCCACUCUGCCUCUGAUAACGUGGGCUGGGAUGUCUCAGGCCAGGCUCAGCUGCACUGUUCAUUGGAUUGUCUCCAUCUGGCCACUUUGCACAGCUUGGGCUUUCCCACAACGUGGCCGCCCCACGUGCUCAGACUUCUCGUGUGGCCCUUCAGUUCUUCUUGUGUGUGUUGCAGUCAUGGAAGGUACACAGUGUCACUUCCCUUGGUGCUUUGUAGUUAAGUGAUCGAAACCUGCCUGGUUCAAGGGGAGGGACCUGGGUCCCACCACCAGUGACAGAAGCAUCCAGGGAUCCAAGGCCAUGGUUUAAGCCCCCCAAGGACCUUAGAAUAAUCUGGUCCCUGUGCUGGUUACAGUGGUCAAAAUUGCUUGCCUCAAAAUUUAGGGAUGAAAUCUGGUUACUGUGCUUGCAGGCUCAGUGAGUCAGGAUUGCAGCAGGGCCAAGCCACAGCUUCUCUGCACCUUGAAGCCUUGAGGUAAGGCUUGAACCCAUGGCGACUGGUUCUAGCCCCUCCAGCAUCCUGGCCCUGCUGCCUGUUGGUGGAGGUUGACCUGGGGUCUCGGCAGGACUCCAUACCAGUCUCUUCUAGUGUCGUGUUUCGGGAUCACGUCUUGACAAGGAGCCAGCCCUGUUUUGUUUUCUGGCCUUGCAGAUUGUGCAGCAUCUCUGCCAGGUUCUGUCUGUCCAGGACCAGGAGAUGGACCAUCAUCCCCAGUUGGCAAGCCAUGCCAGUGUCACUUUGCAGGACGAGUGAGUGGGUGGUUCGUAUCACUGUCUCUGGGAGAUGCAGCCCUCUGUGCUUGUCCCCCAGCAGCCUGGCCUCCUCCUGGCCCUGGGACCUGCUGGACCUGCUUCCACCCUUUGCACUUGACCCUUGGCCUGAAGCCUUGCUCCGUACACUGGAGCAGCUCCCUUCACCAGUGGGCUCAGACUAGAGUGCUGCCCGCCUCCGGAGCCCACCCUCCUGAGCUCUGUGGGACGUUCUUUGAUUGCCUGGGUACUAUUACUGCCUUUUGUUGGAGCAUAAGCCCCAUGGAGUCUGCAGUUUGGCAUUUCUGGUUAUUGUUUUCCUGGCACGGCAGAGGAUCCUGACACCAGGGGUGCCAGUGACCAUUUGUGUGGAAACAUGCAGGUGGGUGGAGGUCUGAGUGCCAGGUAGGUAGGUGAGGGUGUCUGUGGGAACUCUGGGAGUGGGUGCUGCUGCUGCUGUGGGCACAGCUUGGGCCCACACAAGACCCCUGGGGGUGGGUGUGCAGGGGCUGAGGUUAGCAAAGGAGGAGCAGAGGCUCAGGGGUCACAGCUCAUGUGUGGACGAGCUCACGGGACUCUCGGCCAGUUGGCCUGGCUUCAGAACAGGGCUGUGCCGCUGCGAUGCUCUCACAGCUGCCUCGUGGUUAGUCCCAUUUCAGAGGAGGAAAGAGCCAGCCCACGAGGCCAGCCACCCCUAUGGUGUGACUUGACCCCUGGCCACAGGUGCUGCACCAGUCUGCAGGAUAGCAGACUCUGACUUGUCCCUGGGCCAUGAGGUUGAAGAGAUGGACACGUGGCCCUGGGCCACUGCGCAUAUGUGACAGCCCUGUGGCACUGUCCAGCUCCCUGGCCUCUGCCCAGCCUACUCUGCCCACUGGCCAGAUGCUGCAUGUGCUGCGUCCCCUCACCUUGCCCGUCUCACCUGCUGGAGUGUCCUAGCUGUCCUGUCACCCAGCUCAGGUGCAGGCGCUGAGCAUAAUACCAGCAGCAUGUUGCCGUGGCUACCUGGCAGGCCCAGGAGGGCGGAGGACCAGAUGAGGAGGCUGCCUAGAGCCCCAGCCGCCCUCCCUGCACUGGGCGCACACAGCUGGUGGCAGGGGUGUGAUUGGUGUGGCUACUGUCAGCUAUGGGUAGGUGAAUAAAAUAAGUAAACAGAAUUUGACUAUUCCGUUAAGUGCAAUUGUGGGUCGAUGGUGCCAGGAUUCUAACUGAGGAGAGAGUAUGUGAUUGAGACAAGUGCAGUGGUGUUCUCUUGUCCGUAAAAGCAGAGGAAACAUACCACACGUGUGUGCAUGAGCACACACAACACACAUAUGCCGAGGUUUUAUUAUGUCCGUGUGAGGUGGCUCCGUGGUAGCAGUGAGGGGAGAUUCUAUGAGAGCACUCAGGAGUUCUGGGUUUAGAGGAAUCAUGAUUCCAGCCUUUACCAAGUGCUGGUGUUGGCCAGUUUCCCAUGGCCUCCUGCCUCCAGCUGCCUGUGUCAGCAUGUGCAGCUACAGCACCUGGCCGCUAAUCCUGCCCUGGGCCUGCUUGAUGCCCCAGAGGGCUCCCUCCUGGGCAGCCCCUGAUCCAGGUGGGAGGGUGUUAGGGCUUGUAGGUCCCUUGUCCUUAGGCCCAGUAUCGACCUGUGUCACUCCAGACCUCAAGGCAGACUUCUGCCUGGGAAUGGCUCCCACCCUGUCUCCAGGUGUAUGUGGGGGCUGGGCCUCACUGGGAUCUGCCCAAUGCCCAUGUGGUGAUGGCAAUCAGGGGGAUCCCUUCUGGACCAGCUGCCCACCUCAGAUCGCCCUGGCACCAUGGGCCCACUAGAGACGCACGGUCUAGGUCCCACCUGCCUGGUUCUGCUAUCACUGCAGGUCCAUUUGGGGCCCCUCAUCCCUCUGUUUCGCACAUGGCAUUGGGUGCUGGAGGGGGAGACGUAGCUGGGAAGCCAUGCCUUAUUCCUGGAGAAGGGGAUGAAAGCAAAUGUUCACCUUCCUGAGGGAGCUCCUGCAGAGGGCCUGGGGCCUCGGGGCACCCAGGGCCACAGGGGCUGUCUUCAGGGCACGGGUGCCCAUUCCUGUUCAUCCUGGAGGCCAGAUGGGGCUCCUCCGAGAGCUCGUGUGGCUGGGUUCACCUGUGCUCUGAGCAGCACCAGGAGAUCCCCACAGCCACGGUGGUGUCCUGGCCUCCUGGAGGUGGCCUGGGUUGCAGGCCUCACGUGGGGACAAGGGACAAGGAGGGGUCUGUGGCCUCAGGCUCACCAUGCCGUGCCUGCAGGCCUCUCUGUGUCAGUGGAGGUGGGACCUGAGGCGCCCCGGCUGCUCUGCUGGCCCCAGGGCAGAACCGAGGUUUCCUUUUGUCCAAGAUGGUUGGUGUGCAUUGAUCAGGGAGCCCCACGGAGGGUCUGAGCAGUGUGAGCAGGCCUUCUGUGUCCCAUAGAGAAGGCGGGGGACGUGGGACUGGCCUUGCUCCUGCACCCGCCGCUGCCCUGCCUGCUGAGCAGCAUGGUGAGGAGAAGGGAGCCCGGGAGGAAGGGGCUCUUCCUGUGAAAGCUCACGUGGGACUCCAGGCCGGCCAGUAGAACAUCUGGUGUGGCCCUGACGGCAGGGGUCAGAGCCCUUGCUGGGGCAGUCUUGGUCACUCUUCUGGAAGCCACUGCCUUCUCGCAGUCUGUGUCCCCCGCACCAGCCCUGGGUGUCUGUGUGUGUCCCCGCACUACUGUGGUACAAAUUAACUUCCCAUGUGUCCGAGCUCAUGCCAGUGGACAGUUGUCACUGUUCCCAUGCCCCUUUCUGCUGAGUUCAGCAGGAAUAGACUGAGUCCUUUGCUGUGCCUGUCCUCUGUCCUCUGUGACAGAGCUUGCUGGGGCCCUGACAGGUGCUGUGUGUGUGGUUAGUUGGGCCCGUGGGGACCUGGCUGGGGCACCCACAGCCCGUGAUAGACAGCGAUGGCCAGGCAGUGGCAGCCAACAUGCAGCCAGACCUAGCCACAGCUGAGGGCACCCCGGGCUGUGCAGAAGGCCCACAGCAGCCGCAGCACACCCACUGUGAACUGGAGAGCAGCCUCAGCCACCCCACCUCCAGUGAGCUCACGACCCACAGCGAAAGCCCUUGUGCCCUGUUGGUGCGUCAGGGGUUGGACCCGAGGACGCCCAAGCUCGUCCCCCCUGCUGAAGGAGUCGGUGCUCCCAGGCAGAGAACAGCUAGUGCAGUGAGCAUGUGGAGCUGUGGGGAGAAGCAGGCUGGGCUGCGGGAAGGACAGCUGCUCUGCUUCCACCUGCCAGUAGCCUGGGCCUCCUGGGCCGUGGGGUCCCUAGGCCUGUGGUCCUGCCCUUGAUUCUCCUCCCUGCCCCUGAUUUUCUCCAUGUCCCCUCACUAAGGCUGGGGCCUAUAGGCUGGGCAGGGGCUCUGAGCCCUACCUCCUGCAGGACAGCCCGGCACCCUGAUACCAGUGACCCUCUGCAGCUCCUGCUCGUGGAAAGAAGCGCUCGUGCGUGCACGUGAAGCCUGUCCCUUCUGGCCCCUGCACCAUGGGAAGUCCUGGGCACCGCCAGCUCCCUGUGGGUGACUGAUGUGUAGGUAGGGACUGGGCUUGGGUUGGCCUUGGGUUUGGGUGCUGGCUCUAGCAUUUCCUAGCUGUGUGUCCUAUGUAAGCUGCCCUCUGUGCGACAGCUUGCUCCCCUGCCCUCUCUGUGGAGUGAACUGCCUGGUGGGGAGAGGCGUGACUUGCAGCCUGUGGAGCCCAUAGGAAGGCCUCAGGAGUCUGCCACCCAGUGUAGCCAAGGCCGGGCUUGGGGCGCGGGCCUUGGCAUGGGCAGUGACCAGAGCCAGGCUUGGUGCUUGGCAGGGUCAGCGCCUGCUCUUUGAAAGAGCUGUGUCAGUAACCUGGAAAUCUGCGGAGGUGGGAUCAGUCUGCGGCCUGGCUGAACAAGGAGCCCUCAGCUUGACAUUGACGUCUCCAUCCUAGGCUGCACUCACAGCCAGGAACCCCAUUUCUAGAGCAUGUGGUUGUAAGGAGAAGCCUAGAAACUGUCUGGGUCUGGGGCUAGCCAGCACCAUCCUCCUGACUGGCACCCUCUGGGUGCCACAGACCCUAGCUGAGCCGAGAGCCCAGCCCCAUGCUCCUCAGCACCCUCCCGGCCAUGGCCAUUCCCACAGAGCAGCCACACACCCCUGCUCCAUAUUUAAGCCCAGUAAUUGAAUUGCAAUUGAUAGUACAUGUCGGUUUAAGAUCAUGCUAAUUGCUUCAUUUCCCAGAACACUCCUAAAAAGAAAAUGAAUUUCCCUGUAAUAUUUUCAGUGGGGUGAAAUGACCCUUGUGGAAAUCAAUCCUGGCUCUAGAAUGAGCUGCAGAGUGAGUGGGCGUGCUGGGGCGGGGCUGUGGCUCCCCUCCUGCAGCCUCAGCAGGCAUGAGGAGCUUUCCCGGCCUGAGAGUAAACCCAGCCUCGUGCCAGGCACCGUGUGAGGCUUAGCAGGGCUGUGCCUGUGUAGGCUCUGUGAGCUGGCCUGACUCGGAGGGGACUGGUCUCCCAGGGUCUCAGCACUGGCUAGAGGAGAAACUGUCCCUGUGUGAACGUCAUUCAGGAAUGGUGGGGUGUCCAGGAGUGGGCACAGGGGACAGAAUUCCUACCCGGAAAGGCCAGGGUGAUCCUGGGGCCUCUUGAGUCCCCCCUUCCUCCCUGUCCAUUGGGGCUAGGACUUCCCUUUUGGUUGGUGCCAGCUCAAAAGUGGCAGUGUGCACCCUUCUCUUGACACAGUCUGAUGUAAAAGGUCAUGGAGGUAUGGCCAUGUCCCUUACGAUCCUCAUGGCCACUUUGCUGGGCAGAAGUCAGGGUGAAGCCGGACAGUGUAAAGGAGGCAAAGGACCAGCGUAACAUGCAACAUGGAGGGACCAAGUCCUCUGGCCCUGGUGUCCACUCCCUUGCCCGGUUCUCCAGCUUCCCAGAGCCUCAGUGCUUGGAUGUCAAUGGGGCUGCCGCCCAUGGCCUACUCGACCUUCAUCCACCACCGGCCCACCUGCCCACCCAUCCUAUUCAUCUAUCCCACUCUGCCAAUUUGCUGAGCAGCACCUGUGUGUUGGCCCCUCCUUGAUACACAGAGGGGCAGGUGUGCUGUGUCCCAGGUGAGUGGGGAUGGGGUAUCCAUAGGAGUGCAGCCCUGCAGGUGGUGUGGCCAAAGUGCUCUGUGCUGGACACUUUCUGGCCUGCUUCUAUCAGGCUUCCACCAGUGUUGGGGAUAUGAUGUCCUGCACUAGACCACACGUGCCCAGGCAGACCCUGGUGCUCGUGCAUGCAUUGAGAAGCUUGUGGCACUGGGGUGCUUGGAGAGCUUGGGGCUUGGCCUGAGAGCAAGAUAGCGGAGCAUUCAGACUCUGCCCCACCUCUGACCUGGGGCAGCCUUGGCCUGAACUUACCUUUUCUGGGCCUGACUCUGCCCAUUCUGGGCCCAGAUUGCUCCUCUGACAGGAAGAGUACAGACCAACUGAUCACUAGUUCCCAUCUGGCCCAGGGCUCUCCAUAUACGGUGUCCUUAGUCUCUGUGCCUGUAGCACGCUGCCCCUAAUGCAGCUCCAUCCUGUUUCCUCAGAGCAAUUUGCUGGACGUGAACCAGAUCAUCAAGGACUUGGCCUCCAUGGCGUCGGAGCAAGGAGAUGCCGCUGGUGGGUACCCACUCUACCCUCAGGCCACGUAGCCCCAGCUGGCUCUUCCCCCAGGUGUGGGCACAGCUGCCUAAAGAUGACGGAGGCCCAGAAUGGCUUCUGCCUGGCUCUCCUCCUGCUCCACCUCUACCCUGGGCCUUGCACUGACUAGGGACUCUCUGGAGUGAAGGCCAGCUGCCUGGGACAGGUGACUGCAGCAUGGCCCUGAGGAUACGGAGGGUGGGGGCCUAGAGCCCCUUAGAGUCUGGUGCUGUCUCCAGUGACUGUCAGGAGCCAUGUGUGCCUCUGGGAAAUGGGUGUGCCUGAGCUGGGUGGAACAGGGGCAGUGGCUGGGCCUGCGGGCCUGGCCAGGGCAUGGUAUCCCCCAAACCCCUCACUCCAAAGGAACUGGGCCAGCUCUGCCAAUGGGUCAAAGGUCAAAGGCCCUUGUCCCUGGAGCUGCCCUGCUUCUCAGGAGGAAAUAAGAAGCAAGGCCAAGGCCGAGGCCCAGGCCUGUCCCUUGCUGGUGAGGGUUGCUGGGGUCGUGUGGAGCAGGGAGGCUUGAGGGUCAUGUCACAGUGUCCUCACCCACUGCGAGAGAGGGGCCUUCUCUAACAGAAGGGACACAGACCAGAGAGGCCUGGUGGCAUCCGCCCAGGCCCUCUGCUACCCCAGCCCUUCUGCUCUGCCUUGCUGUGGGGUCACCUUUGACCUCCCCAGAGAGGACCUCCCUGUCUUCCUCUGUGCUCCACAAGUUCUGGCCCCAGCAACUGGCCAUUUAUAUUUGGACAAUUUUUUUCGGGGUGGGGGGGGUACCACAGAUUGAAUUUAGGGCCCUCAACUACUGAGCCACGUCCCCAGCCCUAUUUUGUAUUUUAUUUAGAGACAGGGUCUCACUGAGUUGCUUAGCGCCUCGCCGUUGCUGAGGCUGACUUAGAACUUGCCAUCCUCCUGCUUCAGCCUCAUGAGCCGCUUGGAUUACAGGUGUGCACCACUGCACCUGGCACACUGGACAAUUUUAAGUGUUCAGACCUUCCUCUCCGCUGGGCUCUGUGCCUGCCUAGUUAGGUCUAGGGCAUUUUGAACAUGAAGUGGUUACUCUGAUCACUUUCCUUCUGGACUGAGCGAGGUGCUGGCUCCAUGGGUGGCCUCCUUGCUUGUGCAGAGCCCUGGGGGCACAGGGACACUGGUGUCAUUACCCAGUGUGGUAGAGGCCCUGUGCCCACCUGAUUUGGGGCUGGGGUGCACAGGUGGGGACUUUAAGGGCUUGCUCACAUGUGGGCCAUCCUGUUGCCCCAGGGGUGCCAGCCUUCUCCGUAGCUGCGGCCACCCAGAGUUCUGGCCCCAGCUGCAAGGUGGAGACGCCCUGGCCAGGGCAAUGGUCCCCUCGGCUUGGUUGCCCUCCAGGACCCAGACUCCUGCACUUACUCAUCUGCUUCUUCCAUCCCUGACAGCCAUCCCCUCACCCGGGCCUGUGCCUCUAACGAGGAGCAAGCGCCCCGAGCUGGGUGGGCCCUGGCACCCUUCUGGAGCUCUGCUGCUCCCAGGUCGGUGGAGGCCUGAGCCAGGAGCCUAAGCCUGGCAGCUGCCCUCCCUGUUGCUCCUGGACUCACCCUGUACCCCUUCAGAGCCUGGGCUCCCAGCAGGGCCUGCUCUGGGCAUGGCACUUGCUGAGCUGCCUCGUCACUGCUCCCAGGACCCGCCCUAUCCCUCUUCCCGUCUCCUUGCCUUCUGUCUGCCUCUAAAGUGGCCACCGCCCACUGCCCCCUGGGGCUGGCUGGCUGGGCUGGAAUGUCAGAGUGUGUACAAUGGCUUGUCCACCCUAAGGCCACCCAGUCCCCGUAAUGGACCCAUGGGAGAGCUGUGGGGAGCGGAACAAGCCAGGGCUGACCUGCACAUGGGCAGGGGAGUCACCUAGAUAGCUGGCAGGCAGGAGCUUCAAGAGUCGCCAGAUCCCCAACUGGUGGGUGUGGGUCACCUGUAUGUAGGACACUGAUGUGGGGACCUGUGAGGACCAGGACCACAGGCCUGGUGGCACGCUGUCCACAGUCUCUGCCUAGUGCUCAGCCUCUGGUGCCUUUCCAGGGUCCAGCAGCAGGAAGGCCACCAGCCGGCAGACCUCCAGCCCCGAGCCAGCAGAGGCAGCCCUGCUACCAGGGGUGGGGCUGGGCACCACACCCCUGCGGCCCAGCAGCCACUCCCGCACCAAGACACGCAAACCCAACUUCAGUCCCCAGGAGACAGAGGUGCUGGUGCGGAGGGUGGCACGCCACUACCCACUGCUGUUCGGGGCACUGCGGAGCACACCUGCUCGGAAGCACCACGUGUGGAGCAGGAUCCUACAGGCUGUGAAUGCGCUGGGCUACUGCCGCCGUGACCUGGGUGACCUCAAGCACAAAUGGAGGGACCUACGAGGGGCCGUGCGCAAGAAACUGGCAGAGAGUCCGGCUCCUGGAUUCAUCCUCACACCUGUGGAACGCAUGGUGGCUGAGACCUUCUCGACCCCAGCCUCCCAGGGCAAGAGCCAGGCAACAAGUAAGUGGGCCCCUCCCCACAGCCCACCCCUGGCCUAGCCUGGCCUGGCCUGGCCUGGGCAGUGAGCUGGCUGGCUUCCGGUGCACAGCCCCCAAAGAACGAGACUCCAGGGGAGUGCUGGGGGCCUGAGGAGACGGCUCAUCCCCCUCCCGGCCCCUCGGCUCCUGGGUAGGAAACCCAAGGCCCAGGCCCAGGCAGAGGCCUGCUCAUUUGGGGAGGAGGGGUCAGGUUCAUGCUGGCCCUGAGCUCACGGUCCACUGGGACUUUCCCCAGCCUUGGCAUAGUACAGCAAGGGGACCCUCAAAUCCAUCUCAAAAACUGAAGUCACUCAAAGCCCCUGGGUCUCAUGUGGCCUGGGGGGUCAGUGCCUUUGCCACCACCACUGGCGGCAGCAGCUUGGGGAGCUUAGACCUGCUGCUGGGCUCAGGGCUCCACGGCAGCUGCCACCUUGAGCCAUGGCCACAGCAGGGAGCUGAGUGCCUCCGUCCCUUCCCUGGUAUCUAGAGAGGACACUGGGGCCCCAUGGCCCCGUUUCCCCGUCACUCUAGAGAGACAAGUUCCAGGAUGGUGAAGGCAUCCCUUAGAUAUACAGGGCCCUACUCUGUGUAUCUAAGGGAGGUGCAAAGACUGAGGUCCAGGGGCCUGGCUGAGCAGCCCAGGCCCAAAGCCCAGGCACAGUCUCCGAGGCCCCGCUCCUCUCUGCCAUGUCUGCUGCGUCUGGUGUGGUGCGGCUGGGAGGCCUCUUUGGCCCCAGGCCAUUGUCCACUCUGUCUUCUCAGGAGUGCUCAUGACAAAGGUCAGGGCAGUGACUGUCCUUAGGCCACCAAGUGUUAAUAGCAGAGGAACCAAGCAAGGCAGCAAGCUUGGGUGGCCACAGGCUUGAAGAUGUGGCUGUGGCUGGGAGGAAGGAGGCUGCCCUGCAUAGCUCCCUCCUCCUCCAAGCUGGACCAGGCCUGGAGUGAGAGUGCCCAGGGUUGAUGCCAUCAGAUGGCAAGCCACCAGCAGGUGGAGGCUGCCUGGCCGGAGCCACGUCCAGCCACUAACCUUUGCUGUGCCUUUUGGUGUCAGAGGUGGCCUCUGUGUUGGUGAAUGCUGCUGGAGAAUUUGGCCAGAGCCAGGAGGAGCCCAGGCCAGUGCCUUCCCGCCUCAGCCUGCCUUGUCCGGGCCUGGGGAGCAGGACUGCGUGCCCUCCUCAGCAGGCCCUUCAGAAUCGCUCUGGUGCUCUUGGCCUCUCAGAGCGCUUCUUCUGCUGGGCUGCUCCAGGAACCACCUUUUCCAGAAGUCUCUGUUCUUGGCUGGGCCUGUCCUGCAGCCCACACUGCCUCUGAGCCCUCCCAUGAUGCGGGCUCGGGUGCUGUCUCCACUCUGCCUCCUCUGCUGCCCUCCUCCUCACCACCCUGCCUCACAGCCAGGCCUGCUGGACUCUCCUCCUGGGAAGCUCUGGAAGGACGUGGGGAUGGAGCCAGGAGUAAGAUGAGCCUUCUCAGGGUGGGGCAGCCAGCAGGACCCCACCUCAGACGGACCAGCAGGAGGUCCUGGGGGGACUCGGAGCCGUACCUGCUCUGAUCCUUCUCUUCUGUGGUGCCUGCAGCUGGGACACGUGGGCAAGGCCAGGCCUGGCUGGGAGACGUGUAGGUCCAGGACAGGUCUCGUGCUGGGCCUCAGGAUGCACAGGUCCUGAUAGGCCUGGGGAGGCCAGGGGUAUGGGACUAUUACCAUCCCCAGGGAGGCCUCGUGCCUUCUCCUUUAAGGCAGAGGCCUGCCGCUGUGUUCCUGAGGCAGGCUUGGGUGAUUCAGGCAAGGGUGUGCCCUGUGGGGCCUGGGUGUUCAGGUACUUUCUGCAAGUCCCCGACCUGGAGGGCAGCAGGAACGCUGGAGUAUACCCUGCAUCCCCUGCCCUGGGUGAGGCCCAGCCCAGCUUCCUUCAUCCCUGAUCGAUCAGCCGCAGCCCCUAUGGCCUUGUAGCCCUGGUUCUCCUAACGGAGGAGAAGCUUCUGUGGUGCCCAGGAACCUCUUGUGAGAUGGUCUGCAUGCCUCUGAUGUUUGUUGAAUGAAAUGACUGUGUGGGAGGAGCAGACUUGCCCUGAUAGGCACUGAGGCCAGAAGCAGGGAAGUAGCUGCAGGGCCGGCAGUGGGGUGGGAGUGCCCCCCGAUCAGUGCCAGCCUGGGGAAGCAGGACUCGUCCUCUCUUCAGCAGGCCCUGUCCAAGGGUAGCCUCUGGGGCUUAGACAGGGCCGGGCCUGGGGGCCUGGGGAAGUGAGCUGCCGAGCUCAUGGAUUUCCAGUUUCUGUGCUCCGAGGCUGCUGACAGGUGCACUUGCCCAGGGGCGCCUCCGGCUCUCUGCAUUUGUCCUGAGGGGUGGUUGGUGACCAGUGCCAUCUUCUUUAGCCCCUGGAGGCCUGCACAGCCCUUGGGCUUUUCAGAGGCUGUCUGAGGUAGAGCAAGUCCCACAUGCAGCGCCCUGUGCCAGGAGACAGGAGGGUGCCCUGUGGACCUGGAGCCUUCAAGGCAAGGCUUCUGAGCUGUCAGAGAGCCACCUGGCCAUGCCCCAUACAGCCUGGGGCUUAGGCAGGGCCGGGCCUGGGGGCCUGGGGAAGUGAGCCGCAGUUUCUGUGCUCCGGGGCUGUUGACAGGUGCUCUUGCCCAGGGGCGCCUCCAGCUGUCCUUCCUGCUUCCUUCUCUGGCUGCCCUCUGAUGUGACAGGACACUUUGAGUUUGGGGCAGCUGCAGCCUGCCCAGAAGAGGAAGAGGUGUGCUGCAGCCUUGUUGCCCCUUCCCUCCCCGUGCUGGGCUGUGUCCUGGAGACCUGUCGCCCUGUAGCCUGGCCUUGACUGGGUUGGAGGGUGGAGCAAAAGUAGAGACUGGGGGCUCAGGUCUGCCUGAGGCCUAGGGGUUUCUCAAAGGUAGGGCUCCAGGGAUGAGGCCGCCUUCUCUCAUAGAGCAGCCGCCCCCGCUGGAAGGCUGGGAGUCGCCGCUCCCUCUGCAGGCCCCAUGGGGCUGGGGGCACACGCUGCAGCGGCUCAAUGGCCCUCGGCCUCCUGGGCCAUAGGUGGGCCCUUUGCAGUGGGUGUCCGCUGCCUGAUUCCCGAGGCAGGCCUUCCGACCGCUGCCCCUCCCACAAGGACUUCACGUGUCUCAGGCGAGUGCCUGCCUCUGCUGGCCUCUGGGGCCUGCCGCACUGGGUGUUGACUGCCCUCUGCCCCUGUGUGGCCUGAGUUUGCCCAGUGGAGUCAGGACAACUGGACGUGCCUUCUGCCAUGUGGUGCUACUUCUUGGCCACUGCCUGGUGUAAAAUUUGUCCCCAGGACUGGGCCCAGGCCGUGCCUUCCCAAAGCCACUGGUCCCCAGCCAGCCCCAUGCUCUUUGAAUGGCCUUGUUGGAACCCAGCCACCGUAGAGUCCCACGUUCACAGCCCUGUCCUCUCAGCGGCACUGCAGGACCUGUCCCUGAGGGGGGCCAUGGCCAGAUGGGAGGCCGCCCGAGGCAGCCGCAGGCGGCUCUGGCUUUCCUCUUCACUCUUUCCUGAGGGGCUUUCCCCUGCCGCCUCCAAAGUCUGCUUCCCCAAGGACACUUCCAGGCCCUGGUCCUUCUCUCAAGGCCGAACACUGUCCACACCAGGGUGAUCCUUGAGUGGGCCCUGAGCCGCAUCCCUGCAGCCUCUGACCCUUUAGAGGCUGGACCUCGUUUCUUGAGUGUGCAGCCCACAUGGGAAGGAGCUCAGGGGCGGAUGCACGUCCAGCCAACCUGGGCUCGGGCUCCCCUGGGGCUCGGGCUCCCCGGGGCUAGCUCAGGUGAUGUAGGCUGGUCAAAACGUGGGCCUCCACCUGGUGACCGCCUUCUGCUGUGGUGACUUGCAGAUAGUACUGCAGCAGCACGUGUGGAGGCGGCCGGGGAGCCCCGGGCUGGGCUGGGCUGCCAUACCAAGUAAGUGGGUCUGAGGGUAGGAGCGCUGGCUGGCCCAGCCUCGGUCCCUUUGUCCCUCACCCAUCUGUCUGGGAAGCCAGGCCCUGCCUGUGCCUAGAAGGGACAAGCCCAUGGUCUUCUUUGAGUCAGGCCACUGGCUUACGUGUGGGCACUGGGAGGGGGGAAGAAGGGACAGAGCCAUGGUCUGAGUGGCUCCCGCAGUGGUCAGCACCAUCUCCUCUCAUUUGGACUCCCCACCACCUUACCCCUCAGCUUCCUCACCCGCCUGGCCUACAAGGUGGUGGUUAGGUCUGUAACUGGCACAGUGGGAGCUGGCCAGUGGGGUGUGGGCAUAGCGUGGCUGUGCUUCCGGGGAGGCCGGUGCACUGUGGUCCUCACUGGCAGGCUGCCCUAGGUAGCCCUGACCCCCUUGUCCCAGGAAGGCUGGCCGGCUCUGCCUGUCUGCCCUUCCUGAGCGCUCUCCAGGCCUCACUGUGGGGUGCUAGCCUGGGGCUCUGCAGCUGCCUGGGGCUGCUGCUUGGAGGUGUGGGUGGGUUUUAGGGAGGGAGACAAACCUCCACUGUUGCACACGAGCAGGACCCAGAGCAGACUUGAGGGCCACCAUCGCCUUGUGCCCACCACCAUGAGGAGGGCCUGACCGCGCCAGGCAGGCUGGAGACCUUAGUCCAGCAGGAAGGAGGGCCAGCAGCCUUGUCCCCUGGCUCACUUGCUCACUGUGUUCCUUUGGUCCCUGCUGGCUCCUACAAGCAGAUCCUGUCCCUUGAGUUUGUGUCCCAAGGACCAGACAGGUGGGCAUUCAGUCUGGACAUGGGGGUGGUGGGGUACCCUGGGAGUUCAGAGGCCCCCCAGGUUGGCUGGGGUGGGAGGGCUCCCCGGAGAGCACACACCUGCUGCGGCUGAGCCGAGGGAAGGUCUGCUGAGUCCUGAGGACAGGCCACUGCAGCCCGCUCCAGUGAGGAUGGUCGUGUGAGGGCUGUGACGAGGGAGGGGCAGCCACAGUGCCUUGCUUUCCUGGGGGUCUGGGGAAUGCACUGUGCUUGGCAAAAGCCCUCGGUGGCCUUGGAGAGCAGGAAACGAAGAGCCUUGGUGGGGAGAAGGUAGAGGCGAGGUGGGGCUUGCUGCCCCCAGGCUGAGGCUGACCUCCACGCUGGGGUGGGUGGCUGCAGGCCUCGGCUGGCAUUCAGCAGGAAUGUGUGACGGAAUGAUGGUCAGGGCCUGGUCACAGCUGCCUUCCCCCAUUUUCCAUCAUGGCCAUCAGAUUCAAGGUCAGUGUGGCCAGCGGUGGCCCUUUGUGAUGGCUGGUGAGUGGGACUGGGGCACCUUGGGAUGGCCACUCAGGCUCCUGUCCAACCCUCAGUCCCAGCCAUCUUGUGGCAUGGACAGGUCUCCACUCAGGGCCCUUCCAGAAGCUUCCUGGGGUGGGACUUGCAGGCCAGUGCAUCAGGAGGCACACACACAGAGGACCUUGUCCUGAAUGACAAGAGGACUUGAGUGCCCAGGACCAGCUGGUCAGGAAGGAUGCACAGAUGCCUGGGGCAGCAGAGGGAGAUGUGACCAUGGGGAGGAGGAGGAGGAAGCAGGAGGGGAGGUAGCCACACCGACCAGCUCCUCCCGGUGGGUGUGGGGCCCAGAACUUCCCCCACUGUAGAUGAGGUGAGUGGACACAGCAGGUGGUCUGCCAGAAGCCACCAGCACAAUGCCCUGCCCCCAUUGGCAUGGCCCUCCCACAAGCACAUCAGGAAGGGAUGUCUGCUGGCCUGUCCAUGCCCAGAGGCCCCAGGCCUUCCCCUUUCAGGUUAGGAAUUGGCAGCCUAGAGAAGCAGGGGAGGUCCUAGUGCCCCCCAGCCGUGGAGACCAGGCCCAGCUGGUCUGGGAGCUCAAGUCCUUUGGACCCUGGGAAGCGCAGCCCCCCUUCCUUCUGAGAUGGCACUGUGGGAACUCAAGGCAGGCGGGGGGCGGGGCUGGAUAGAAAGCUCAGUGGGAAGACGGAUGGAUGGGUCAAUGAAGUGACAAAAAGUGGAUGACAGACAGUGGGUAAGUGAGGGCUGAGUGGCUGGUGAGCAGGUGGGUGGAUGGAUCCAGGCGAGGAGAAGGGUAGUGGGACUGCCUGGGUGACAGAGCAAGAUGAACAGGUGGGUGGGCAGGAGGAUGACUGUGGAGAGACAGAGGAACGGCCAGGGUGCCAGUAGAUAGAGGGACCCCUGGGUGGGCAGACGGGAAAGGCGGCGGGGGACGGGGGGGGGGGCCCGCCCGGCUGCUGCAGCAGGUGCCUUUGCCUCGCGCACCUGGCCUUCUGCAUCUCUAAAGGGCGCCGUGCUAGCUGCCGAGGGGACUGGCCCUGAACGGCUGCAGGCAGGGGGCCUCGUGUGUCUGCUGCCUCCCACCUGCUCCCCUGUCGUGCCUGGUACUGCCCACUGGUGGCCAGCCCAGACUGACCCUCCCCUGUCUCCCUCUGUUAGCCGACGAGGAAGACGAGGAUGAAACUGCCAACUGCCUGUGGCGACCCCUGAGGACCCCGGAAGGGCCCAGUCCACCUGAACCUGACCCCCUGGACUUCCGAGGAGCUCUCCGUGCAUCCACCUCCUCACCCUCCCUGCCUGCCUCCCUGGCAUCUGUGCCCCCAGGGGCCGCGGGCAUGGGUUCCUUUGGGCCCUCCCCACCUUCCUCAGCACCAGCAUCUACGCUGCCCCUGCCCUCCGGGAGGACCCUGUGCACAGCGUCUGAGGCCUCCGUGUUUGAGCAGCAGCUGCUGGACUCCCACCUGCGGCAGGGUGCCCUGCUGGCCUCCUGGUCGCAGCAGCAGGGUGCGCUGAUGGCCCAGCAGAACCUGCUGCUGCAGCGGCUGGCGGAGCAGAGCCAGCGGCUGGCUGAUGGUGUCGAGGCCCUCAGCCGGACCCUGGAGCGGCUGGUGGCAGUGCGCCCAGCCCAGGAGGGCUCACCCUCCAUCCUAGAAGGUAGCCCUGCUGCUGGAGGGGCCUGUGGACCCACCAGAGGCCCCCAGGACAGUCCCCAGGGUGCCCACCCAGGCCCAGAGGUCUUCUCGGGGCUGAUCCUGAAGGUGGAGGAAGAGCUGUAGGACUGGCCCAGGGUCCCCUUUGGCACCAGGCCAGGGAGAGGACAAGGACUGAGGAAGCCUGGAGAGGGUGUGGGGCGUCUCCCCACGGUGCCUUUCUGUCCCUGGCCUUGGGUGGGUGUGGCGACCUGCCAGUCUGGCCUCAGCACCAACCUGCUGGUCCAGGCCAGGGUCUACUCAGGACAGUGGCAGUGAGUCUGACCUCCCCCUGCCUGGAGCCCCCUGGGCCCGUGGCUGCCGUUGGCUGCGGGUCACCUCUGCAGGCCGGCACCAGUGGGGGGAGGUGGGGAAAAGACGCUCAGCCCGGGGCCUCGGAGCCCUGGGGAGUGGGGACUUGGCAGCUGCGCGGGCUCAGAGGGCCCGGGCUCGGCUCCUUGAUUCUGGUUCAGGGGAGCCCCGUCCGUGAGCCUGGAGUUAAUUCUCUUCAAUUUUAUAUCAAUGUCAUAAAUACAUAAAUGCAGACAUGA
rnacentral:lncRNA from 1 species